AGGAAUAGAAGGGAUUUUAGGGAGAGAAGUAGGGAUGCUCGGCAUUGGCGGCAAGGUGGUCGGCAUGGUUGGCAAGCUUGGAAGUGGUGGCAGAGUAGUCUUGGGCAGGCCUGGCUGUGUGGUGGGCAGCGUCGGCAGUGUGGGCUGAGGCAGGGUCGUCGGGAUGGCAGGCAUUGGUGGCAUGGUGACUUUAGGCAAUGUUGGCAUGGCUGGUAGUGGCGGAAGCGACGUCGGGUUUGGUAGAGUCGGUAUUGUGGGAAGAGACGGUAUGGAUGGCAUAGUUGUUUGCAGCAGAUGACGAGCUCCGAAGCUCAUAUUGAUGAUUGAGAAAAUUAGAGCGACGAAGAGUACAAAGCUUUUUGAGAAAGAAGCCAUAUUGGUAUAUGGAGUCAGGAUAUUGUGCUGUGAUAGGCUCAAGGACUUGAAGCCAAUGAGCUGAGAGGAAUGGAUUGCUGAUUGUGUUGGAGUAAAUGGAGGGAGGAGAUGGCAGUUUAUAUAGCAAGAGAUAGUUAUAUAAAAAUUUAGGGUUGUGAUUAUAAGUUGGUGACUGGCCUGUGGGUAUGGUUAGGAAUAAACAGAACAAUCCUCAUUGGUUCUUUGUUAGCUCACCUUCUCAGCUCAAUCUUCCACAGGAAUAAAUAAUGAAGAAGGGGUCAAACUUUGUCUUCUGUUCCGUUCGGUCGAAUGGUCGUCAUCUCAUGAAAGUCAAGCUUCUGAUCUGUGUCCUCGUGGAUGGUAACUAGAUAACUUGUUCCAGAACUAUUGCUAACUGGGGUUAUCGAUAACUUGCUUCAGGAUUUUAACGUACUAAGCUAGGGUUUCGAUGUGUUGCCUUAACAAAUACCUUGUUACUCCGGACAUGUCAAUGCUUUUAACUGUGAUCAUCUUUGGUUUACUCCUCGGACUUGAAGAAGUAAAAACUUGUGGGACUUCAUUUACUUCCGAGUCUAGCUUUUGUACGAAGAUAAGUUUAUGAUCAUGGAAACAUAUGGCAUUGCGAAGUCAUCUCUCUCUCUUUCUCUCUCUCAAACUUGGAGGUCUAACGAACAUCUUUUCAUUUUUCUAAAAAUUUCCUAGUUUAAAAAGGUUUUGUAAAGCACAUUAGUUUAGUGAAGUAUAUGUUUAGUUGUAAUAACAAGUAAAAUCAUGCACCGACAUUAAGGUUCCCUUGUUUCACAAAAAAUGAACGAUUCAGAAAACCAAUUUUUUUAUUUUAAAAAUGAUCACUUAUAACAAAUACAAAAAUGAAUAAAUAAAAAUUAUUUUAAUUGUCCAUGAAAAUACUUAGGCAUAAAUUGUUGUCGAUAAUAAAAAAAUAUAUUCCAUUGAUUAAUUAUUUCAAACAUUAUAAGCAAUCAUUUUCAAGAAAAUAUUUUUCAAAUAAUUUUUUUCUGUAAAAAAAAAAAUAGAGCCUAAAUGGUUGAAAAAUAUGGUGACAUCUUAAUCAAAUAGCUAAUAUUUUUGUCUUCAAUUUAAUUUUUGUGGUUUUUUCAUGACCAAGUAUAUUUACGUGGCAAGUUCAGGGUUAUUGGAUCUAUAUAUGUGUGUGUAAUUUUUGUUGGAAUUGAUACCAACAAGGACCAUUCGAUACAAAAUUAAAGGAAAAAUUACACUUUGCACCCAAAAGGCAUGUGCACAACAUAUGAUAGCGGGAGAAGUUCACGGUAUUAACAAGUGUAAGAAAAUGAAACUUUUUAAAGUUCGGAAUUUAACGUUCAAUAACCCUAAAGCUGAGGGUUCAAAUUAAAUUGUGUUCCAAAUCUGUGAACAUAUAUCUAAAAAUACAUAAGCAACAGCCUGCACUAUAACCAUACUAACGAGUAAAAGGGUCAUGCAGGACAACCCAGAUCUGAUUUUGUCUUCUUCCCCUUUCACGUAGAAUUAAUUGCCGCCAUGACAACGAUAGGUAUUUGGUAAAAGUUGGCACUAACGGGGGGAAAUUUACUAUUAGUUUCUCCCUUAGAAAGGGAAGAAAUAACAAAAUCUCAUGGUUUACAAUCAAUUCAUUUCAUAUUUCUUCUUUUAGAUAACAAAUUUUCACAUUUAGAUGAUUUGUCGGAUGUACUAAUACCCUAUUACAUUCAUCUAGAAAUCCUGGCAUUUUUCAACGGCAAUGGAUUUCCACAACGUAGAAGAAAUUAACCCCAAUUACUUAUGUUGCUAAAAGCAACGAUUAUAAAUUAUCUGAUUGGGCAUGCACACGCACGAGUAAUAUGCCAUUUGAUUGGAAUGCAAAAUAUACGGAUUGCCGUAAGGUGUCAAUUCAAUAUAGUUGUAGCGCUUUUCAUUUCAGUUGCUUUUCUAUCUGAAUCUUUUUCUCAUCAUAAAUCCAGUUGAUUGUAUUGCACGAACCAUUGAGCUAGAAUCAAUGGAAAGAAUACAAUAACUUGAGCCAAGUCACCAGUCAAUACAUAUAUAUGAAUGAUAUAUAAAAAGCAACAUGAAUGAUAAAUAGAAUCCCAGAAGACAUCGUAACACACGACUCUGCUUUUGGAACAAUUCUACAAAGAAAAGGAGGCACUCCAACAAAUUGAAAAUACUCUCAGGUGACCUCGUAUGGUACUAAAAUCUUCAGGUGCUGGUGGCUGGAGGAGGAGCAAGAAAAGGAAUAGAAGGGAUUUUAGGGAGAGAAGUAGGGAUGCUAGGCAUCGGAGGCAAGGUGGUGGGCAUGGUUGGCAAGCUCGGAAGUGGUGGCAAAGUAGUUUUGGGCAGUGCUGGUUGUGUGGUGGGCAGCGUUGGCAAUGUGGGCUGAGGCAGCGUUGUUGGGAUGGCAGGCAUUGGUGGCACGGCGACCUUUGGUAAUGUCGGCAUGGCUGGCAACGGAGGCAGUGAUGUUGGUAAAGUUGGCAUGGUGGGAAGAGAUGGAAUGGAUGGCAUAGUUGUUUGAAGUAGAUGACGAGCUCCCAAACUCAUGUUGAUGGUUGAGAAAAUUAGGGCGAUGAAGAGAAUGAAGCUCUUUGAGGAAGAAGCCAUAUUGGUAAAUGGAGAAUGAGUUGUGUGUUGUGUAUAGGCUCAAGUGAAGAAAGAUUUCUACUUGCGAUGGCAGUAUGAGGAGAAUGAUUGGAGUUAAUAUAGCAAGAGAUGGUGUUGAAAUUAGGGUUGAGAUGAUGAGUUGGUGACUAGUCUUUUGGUGCGGGUAGGAAAGAAAUGGAAGAUGAGAAGUUCAUUGGUUCUUAGUUAGCUCACCUCCUCAUUUCCAUCUCCCACCGGCAAAAGAGAAAGGUCAAAUAGUUGUUCUCUUCUGCCAGAUGGCAAUGUGUUCAUGAAGUCAAAGCUUCAAUCGGAUCUUUCGUCUACAAGGAAUGUAACCAUGCUCCAUAAUUGACAAAAUUAUUUAAAAAAUCCUAAAUCUUAUUCCACCAGUUUUUUCCCCAGGCCCAGCCCUUCCGCCUCCUCCUUCCUCCUUCUUCCUCUUCUCUGCAACUCGCGCGCGGAGGACGUCGACGCGCGGAGGACAAUCUACGGCAGAGAGAGGGGAGUAGGCCGGCAACGGAUGGGACUCGCCUUCAAAGCGGAGCAGGUGGGGUGGGCGGCUGAGAAGAUGGCCGGUUCGCCCGCACCAAGGCCGGUCGGCACACCAAGGACCGGCGACUGAAGCCUCCGUCGACCGCCCCCCUCGGCUGAAGCCCCCGGUGACCACGGUGCCUUCGCCGGAGUCACCGUGCAUACAGACGUUUCCCCCUCCUCCUCCCUUGCGCCGAGCUUCGGUAGGUUCUGGCGAGUUUCGCCGGUUUUCGACUUGUCCAAAUUUUUGGGAACCAGUUUCCCGAGGACCUCGGCUCGGAGACGAGCGAGGCGGACGGACGCAGCCCGAUCUAUCGAGCUCGUCCGCCGUCCGACGCCACCGACAGCCGGGUGGGGAACGCCACCGACAACCCCCGUCCCUUUCUCCUCGCGUUCUGUUUUGGGCUCGCAAGACCGGGCUGGCGUUCUCCAGUUCGUGCGAGUUCCGGCCUCGCUUGUAUACGUGCUGCUAUCUUGGUCCAUGCUUGUUGUUUGUCAUGAGUCCCGGUCCAGGUUUGAGUCUCGGUCUGGGCGGAAAUCUCUCGUUCCAUGCUCCAUGCUCCAACUGUUCGAUAAAAUGCCUCAACUAGAUCUGCGAACAUCUUCUUAAAUUUGAUAUGCUUUCUGGAAAUAUUGGUUGUUUCGUACAUCCUUUGUUCAUGCCGUGACAGGAUCCUGGAGGGGUCUUUGCCGAACACCACUCCCAAACAACAAAGUCCAGGCCGGAACGCCCUUUGCCACAGUCAACCGAAAGUACGCAUUGACCAGAGCUUCGAGAGCCGCCGGACCGAUUGACCAGAGCUUCGAGAGCCGCCGGACCGACGUCGCCGGCACCGCCACCCUUCAUCAUCACCGGCCAGGAAUCGGUCACUCGCGAAGCACGACAUGCACAGGGAAACGUCGAAACAAGAUCAUACGAAGCGAAGGGGUAACGGCGAGGUUCCAUCAAACCCCACUUAACAAGCAACGACGGCUGAAAACAAAGAGCAGCCGCGCGAGUCUCACUCGGGCAUUGAUGGCGCCCGCGAGACGUCCCGUCCGUCGCCAGCUACUCUGCUCCGCUUCGGUAGGGCGUCCUUCGCGCGCGCGAGAUGCAGGGGGUUGGGCCAAAGGGAAUGGGCCUUGGGCCCGCUCGGGGAAGAAAGGAGAAGAGAACCGUGGGCCUUCUCUUUUUAAUACAUAUAUUUUAUUUAUCCGAAAUAAGGUAAAAUAAUAGAAAAUAAAAUAAAAAUAAAACUUAGUAGAUGCAAAUAAUAUCAAUGUCUAUGUGAUGCAAAAAUAUUCUUUAUUAGGGCCAAUUGAUCCUUAAUUUUCUAUGCUAUUUUUAUCCUAACCAUUUAAUCAAAAUUUAGAUGUCAACAUAAACUUAUAUACGAGGAGUUUCAUUUGGCCAUAAAAAAAGGAAAAUGUUGCCUUAAAGAAAAAUGAAUAAGUUAUAAAGUUACUCUGAAAAAUUGGUUUGGGGCUGAUUUUGUCUUCAAUAAUUUGAAAAACAGCUACUUUUAUCCAUAAAAACAAGAAAAUUUUACUUUCACAAUGAUAUAAUGAUUUAGUUUUGAUUUUGAUAAAAGUAACAGGAAAGAACAUAAUUUCAGGAUAAACCACUUCCAUAUUUGUAAGAAUUAGUACAAUAUGUUCGAUUUUCGAUUUCCGAGUGGUAAGUGAACCAGGAAUCAAAGAACUAGACCAAGAACCUGUGUUUAAUCAAUGCCUAUAACUCUGGAUGAUUUUUUUCUCUCUUACAUGUACAACAUUAAAAGACUUUUCGCCUUUUUUUUUUUUUCCUUUAAAGAGUUUUCACUUUAGAUGGCUUUCUUUUUUAUAAUAAAAGAACCUUAUCUUGCCAAAUUAUGACCCCAGCUCGCCGAUUGUUGCUGCUCAGAAUGAUAAAUUUGACGGUAAGAUGUUUCUCAGUUCGUCGUUUCAAUUUCUCCACCAAACUUGAAGUGCUUUUGGGUUAUAAAAAUGACUAGGGUCUUGACUACUUUCGGUUAAUUUUUGUUGAAAGUUAGCUCAUGGGAAGAUUGCCUGAUUGACUUAUUAUGCGAUUACCACGAUAAGAUUGUAAUAAUGCAUAAAUUAACUUGUCCUGUUGAUUAUUUUUUAACUGCACCUCCAUUGCAUCUCUCAUGUUUACUCCAGAAAUGGAAGUUAACCAUUUGAAAUAAGAAGUUACCCAUCAUUAGGAGCCUGCCAGAUUCAUGAAACUGCUCACCACAGGUUUGACGAAAUGCACAAACCAAGUCUGUAUGGAGUUUCAGUGGUCAUCUCUUGGAAUCCUGCUCACUUAGUCUCUCAGCAUCACUUGCUUGUUGCUACGUUCACCCCCUCCAUUAUCUCUCUCUCUCUCUCUCUCUCUCUCUCUCUCUCUCAUGUUGGUCCUCGAUGGUUGGCAUGGAUGCCAAUCAGUAGUUCUGGUCAUUUAUUUGCCAAUCUUUAAUCUGUGACAUUAGUAAAUAUUUUAGGAGGUGGAGAAAAUUGCGAAGAAAAUGAUGUUCCAUAUAGUUAUCUGGAAGAAUAGAUGUGAGGUGAAGCAAAUCUGGAGAAAUAGACUUCUGCAUAUUGUAGAUGAAAAGUAAGAUGAAGGAGAAGACUUUGUAUGAAAAAUGACGUUUUACCCUUUCCUGUGAAUUGUGAGUAUGAGCGAGCAUGAUCAUAAAAUACUACUUAAUACGAGAAUUGUGGAAAUUAUCAUAUCGGUUGCAUGCUAUCAAGACUUUGAUCCUAUAUCAAUUUGAAUAUAGUGGAUAAGCAGAGAAAAUAUAACCUGACUAUUUUGAAGGAGAAAGAUGGGAAAUUUUUAUGAUUGAAUUGGCAAAAGUACAAUAGGUUUAAGAUUUUUUGAACAAUUUUUCCUUGAAAAAUGCUAACUAGUGUCGCAAGAAACUUUUGCCUUCUCUUUCACAGUGUAUGGAUAUUGACAUAUAAAUUCACUUACAGCUCAGUUUCAAAUUCAAAUAGCAUUUAAAAUUUUGACAGGCUCUUUUUGCUUUUAUCUUUUGCUGAAUACUAAACAAACAAGUGAAGUUGCUGAUUUGAUGUCCAAUAAUGAGUGAAAUUGCCAUACUUUACUCGUCCCUUGGUAUUAUCUAACAUAAACUACACUAUAGUAGCUCCCAAAAAGUACCAUAAAAGCAACUGUUAACAAGAGAUACGCUUAUGACAAUCCUAGGAACACAAGGAAAAGGAUUAGAGCUACUCCAUGUCUGCAAAACAAAACAUCAGCUUGAUCUACUACACACAACUAUUAGCUAUUCAAAGUUUCAGAUUGUUCCAUCUCGUUUCUCAUUUCCGAGUGCUAGGUACUGACUCUUCCUAUCCGGACGACUUGAGUACUUUCAUCUUCUUCUUCUGGAGAAUCUCAGGUUGGCCUGGCAGUCUCUUCAUAAGAAAUUCGAAGACCAUUUGUCUAUUCGCUCUUCGUAUCUUCCUGCACUUGUCUACCACAUACAGUCCGUCAUAUGUGAGGGUGUCAUUCUUAUCCUUACGGAUCACUCUCACUGGCCUGUUCCUCUUCAUGCUGUUCAUUAGAGCUAAAUUCCCUCGAGUGAGCUUCUGAUCUUCAGCCUUCUUGUCAUGACCAGGCAUUCCACCCUGGCCCAAAUAAACCAGCUCUUCAGGAUGUGUCAGAUCAUCUGCAUAAUCCCAGGAAGCGACAACACUUGUGGCUAGGAUGUCUGGGUGAGGUCCCAUGUAAUUGAUACCGUUCUGAGGAGGGCGAUGGAGCCCGACAACAGCGAGUUCCAUCCUAUAAUAGAAUUUGUCUCCCACUUCCACUCCUGGAACAUCUCCGAUAAAUUGCAUGGCGCCGUGGACAUAUCCUACUCUUUUCUUGAUCUCUUUUGCAGCAUGAAAAUCUAUCCUUCUAAUGCACAUGCUCUUUUUACCUGCUUUUGAUUUAUCCCGGGAGAGCUCGCGACAAAUAUCUCUGUAGAGCCUUAGAGUUGCAAUCACUCUCUUUCUGGCUGAAUCAUGUCUGUCAUUGCGAGUGACAUUCGCAUUUCUGAGCUCAGAACACGGAGGGCUUGCUAUCCCACUAUCUGAUUUUGGAACAGCAUGCAAACUUUCCGGACCAUCUGGUUUGCUUUCCUCUAAGUAGUUCCCGAUGUAGCACCUGUCAAGAGACUUCCUCUUAGAACCUUUGUUCUUCAUAACAGGGGAUGCACCAGGAGAGCAUUGAACAAUUUUCUCGGCCUCUUUGAUUGUUAUUUGGGUGUCUCUAUUUGAUCCGUUGACGUUGUUGCAAUGAUCGUAAAGGGAGUUCUCUUUUCUAAGGUAUUCCUUAUUAAUUGUCCUCAUGGAAGAUGUUUGAACUUUUAGUUGUGAUUGUGACCCUGCUUCCUUAGCACCAACACCUUGACCAUCAGCAUGAUCUUUGUUCCUGCGCCAUUUGAAGACAUGUGCAGUUGCCAAGCUCUUGAUUGAAGAAUCACAAGAUUUGUCGGGAAUGAAUUCUUCUAUGAGGUCUUUUACCCGGGCACGACUUCCGCAUCCUGGAGGGAAAUCUCUACAAGUCAACAAGCACUUCUCAGAGUGAGGAUCUCUAGUCAUAUUCUUCAUCAAAAUACUGCUCUUAGAGCCAUCAAAAGGUGAUUGCCCUUGCAAAGCACAGUUUUUCUCAUUUCCAUGCCACAUGAUAUCGCGUGCAUUCAUAGAGCUCUUGACCAAAGCAUUGGGAAAUUUAUUAGGGACAAAUUCCCCUUCUUCUAUGCUCUCUGUCUCGUUUUUGUCCUCCACAUUCACCAUCAUACCAGAAUGGUCUUGCUUCAAAUUGGCUGUCUUGGAAGGAAAUAGUGCUUGUUGAUGCUGUGCAAGGCUAGGAAGAGGGGAGUCACUUCUGCAUCCUGCGGGUAAACAUGACAUACUCUUUUCCAGAGUAGAUUGUCUGAUGCUUUUCAUCACAGUGUUGCUUCUGCAGUCAACAGAACCUGAUUGAGACUGCAAAAUAUAUGUGUAAUUGGAAGAAGAUCCUAAAGCUGGAAAAACAGUUCUGACAGAAGAAACAUCCGCAGGCAUGGCCUUCUUUGACAUCUCUAGAGUCUUGUGAUUCAUCUUCUUCUCUUUAUGUUCUCCCAUGAGAAGACCAAUAGAAUGCUUUAAAAAAAAAGAACAGAAUAUGUCACCAUAAUAGCACCACUUUUUUGUAAUUUUUAAUGUUAUCACUUAAUUUGUGUAUCUCUUUUCAGUGUAAUGUCUGGAUUUUGUUGUCAAAUUAACCAUUAUUCAAACCUUGUAAGAAAUGAAAUUAUAGAUGGUAUCUCGGAUAGAUCAUAACUUGGCAAAAGAAAUUAUAUAUGCUUGUUGACGAAAAAAGUAGCUGCAACAAACUUGAGCAUGCAUCUCUAUUCCAUAAUUGUUUAAAUGAUAUUGGAAAACAUACCAGUUAAGUAGUUAAAAAAUGAGUUGACUGAAAUUGAAUUUAACUAUACUGACCACCUGGCAUUAGGGAUGGGCAUGGUUCUAUGGUAGCAUUGGAAUCAAAGAUCUAGACCAAUGGAAACCUAUAUGAUUCCAAGUUCUUAAGUAUGUAGGGUAGAGUUCGGGUACAAAAAAUUGGAGAACCUGCUUCGGCGAGUAGAUUUCGAGUUCUAGGUACGUGUAGAACCUGGAACCUAGAACUUGAGUCAAAUUUUUGUGUUUUUCUUGAUCUAUAUCUUUGCGCGAUCCUACGGUAUUCCAUAGCGUCCAAUGAUAAGUGUAUAACCUGAAACAAGUAUUCUAAGUUUUAAUUUUAUGACCGAGACUUUUACUUUACUAAUAUUUCGUAUUCUUCGUGUGUCUAAAUAUAAGUUGUGGUCAGUGAAUUAAAGUAAUAAGUGGUGAUCAUUAAAUGUGGUGAUUCACUGUAAUCGUUCAAUUAUUAAUAUAGGUGGAACCUAUGUAGUUCUUAGAAUCGAUCUUGGAACUUGUGAUAGGUAGAUUUCAAAUUCUAAGAUAUGCAAGGGAAGUUCCAGAUUCCAAAAAAUGAAGAACCUAUUUUAAUGAGUAGUGUAGGUUCUAAGUGGAACUGUAUGAAACCUUAAACCAUUUACCCCUAUUCAGCAUUGAAGCUGGUAAGGACCAUAGCUUUUCUCUGAAAGUCUCAAAAUUUAUUCUACUUUUGGAAAUGACAUGGGCCACAACUUCUCAUUUCAAUAGCUAAUUAAUAGAAUAUCCUUUCACACGGGAGAAUUACCAAAAAAGUCUUAAAACCUAUUGUAAUUGUGUCAAUUUAGUCAUAAACUUUUUUUAAACCAAUUUAGUCCUAAACUUUUUACAAUUGUGCCAAUUCAGUCCAUCUGGCCAAAAUUGGCGAACGCUAAUGUGGCAUUUUUUAAAUAUUUUUUUUUUCGAAUUUUUUAAUUUUUUUUCUCUAUCUUCUCUUUUCCUUGGCCGGCCGGCGCCGGCUAAAGGCGAGGGCCAACGAGGUUAGCCUUGUCGGCCACUGGCGAGGGCGAGGCCCCGCCGAGGCAGAGGACGAGCUGGUAAGGGCGGAGGCGGCGCUUGGUGGUGUGGGGGAGGAAGGUGAGGGAGUGGAGGAGGACGGCAAAGGCAGAGGUAGAGUCAAUGGUGCGGUGGGAGGAGGCGAGGUGACUAAGGGGGACGUGCUCGACGGAGGCGACGCUAGCGAGGGAGGCCUGCUUGAGGGAGCAAUCCUCGAUGCAGUUGAGGGCGACGACGAGGGGGAGGGACAAGGGGUCGGCCUAGUCGUCGCAGAGCUUCAGCGACCUUCAAAAAUGUCCCAAAUCCUGUAGUGCUAAAACCCUAAUCUCGCCCCGCCCCUCGCUAUCCGGCGUCGGCCAGAAGAAGGAGAAGAUGGGAAAAAAAAAGAAAAAAAAAAGAAUUCAACAAUUCAAAAAAUAUUUAAAAAUAUGAAAAGAAAAUAUUUAAAAAAUGACACGUAGCCGGACGAUCGGCGUCCACGUCAGCGCCGACCAGCCAAUUUUGGUUGGAUGGACUGAAUUGUCACAAUUAUAAAAAAAAAGGUUUAUGACUAAAUUGGCCCAAAAAAAUUAGGACUGAAUUGGCAAAAUUACAAUAUGAUUAAGAUUUUUUUAGUAAUUCUCCCCAUGCUUGAAGUCCCACAUUCAGGAGAUGAGUUAAAAAUGACGAGAGCAAUAUUGUUUGACGAUCAAACUAGGCUUUGCAAAUUACCUGCCUCAAAGCCGUUAUUGUUGCCGAGCAAAGUUUGGACGAACAAGAGAAUUCAAGGGCGAGAAACCUCCAAUCAAUCAACCCAUCGAUCGUUACUUUCAAGAUUCACUCAAAGUUCCAUUCCGUUCCUUUUAGUAAUUGAAGAGCGCUUGUACUGAGGCUCGAAUACUAGAUUGCAUGAAAUGUCUCACAAGUCCCACGAAUUUGUUAAGUUCAAACUUUUGACAAGAGAACAAUGCGGGAUGUUUCUAGCGCACUAUCCAUGAACCACGGCACUCCAAAACAAGAUUAGGUCAAAAGCAGAGCACAUGCAUGACUUACCCAUAUUUUGUCCAAAACAUCAUCGGAGUUGAAUCGAGAAACGCACGCCACGAGCCAAAGCAAGCCAAGCCUCAAAACCUGAAGGUGGGAGGAAAAUGAUCAAACCCUUACAGAAAAGUUCCUUUCAGUCUAAAACGAGCGAUGCUCUCUGCCAACAGGGCUAAGCAGUAAGAUGCAGCGUCCGGACCUGAACCUCGGACGAGACUAUCAAAUCCUAGACAACAUGGAAGAACGAGAAGAGAGGUUCCCGCUGAGAAGAAAGGAGAAUGCAUAAAGGUAGCUGCGUUUCGCCUUUCCUUUUGCUCUUACCGAGUCGGACGACGAGUCGCCGAGUGAGCUGCAGAUCACGAGUUUCGUGGAGCUGACGAAGCAUGCCAGAGGAAAACGACGGCCAUGGUUGAGAGCGAAGAAAGCUUUCCUCAACCUCUGCAAAAUCUCCGCUGAAAUCUGGAAAUGGGAAGUGGCAUGAGCUUCUCUCACUCUUACAUACCGUCAUGCAAUAUGUAUUCUGUUCGUACAACUCCGACUUUCGGUUCAAUUACGUAAAUAAAUUAAUUAAUAUAUAUAUAUAAUAUCGUGUCUGAAAAUUCGCAUUUUAGCCCGCCUCUUACUUGACCUGAUUACGAGAUUCACCAUCCGUAUUUAGAUUUUCCUUACCAUUGUGUCCGGGAAACAAAUACAUCUCACCUCCCCCUCCAUCCACCUAUUAUCUCAUCAAUGCUUUAUCUUAUAUUAAAUUAGACGGAACACGAUACGCGUUCGAUUUUUCAUAUCAUAUAAAUACAGUAAAGCAUCUCAAAUCUGCUCCAUCCAUUUGAGUUCUGAGUUUGGACAAAGAAAUUUUUUCUUUAUGAUCAUGUCUCUUCUAAUGUGGUAUGAGAUGUUAUUAUAUACGCUCAACAUAUCGUUCAAUGAGUUAUAAUUAAUCUCAUGUUUUGUUUGUCCAUUCACAUUUCAAUUUGGAAUUUAAUUACUUAAUAGCGCGUUUUGUAAAUGAUAAAUUUAGUUACUUCCUUCUAUUGAGGAAAAAGAGAACAAAAAGAGAGAAAUUCAGGAAAAUUUUGAAAAGCGUAUGCAACCAAACGAAUCGAGGAAAUGGAGAGAGCAGCCUGGAAAAUAUUACCGCGUGGCCGACCUUUAGUUUUCUGCUUGUUGACGUCAAUUUCAGGCUUCAAAAGGAAACUGCAUUGGAAUUAGGCUGGGUUCUACUUUUUCCAUUUUUGGUACUCAGUCAUCAAAGCUAACGAAAACACGGGACAACACAAUUUACAAAUUUAAAAAAAAAAAUCAAAUUUUUUCGGGAAGCGAAAAAUUUCCAAGAUGGGAAUGUUCAAACUUUCAUAAUACAAUAUAACGCACUCAAGACCACCCGCGAGGGUGGCUCCAUUGGUAGGCUCCAGGACUUCCAUGCUGGAGGCCAGAGUUCGAAGCCCUUGCAAUCCCACCAUAACUACUCUAAGCCCAUCACCUUCUUCUUCCCUUAUUAUAUUGAGAAUUCCAUUUUUAACCGAUUCACCCAUCAACAAAACCAAGCUUAGACUGAACAUCACCGUCAUCCAUCUCCAGUCACAGGACCGCCGCGGCCGUCCGUGGCCGCACAUUCACAAAACCAGACCGUCCCCCUGGGGCGACCAGUCUCAAAGGUCGCCGUGUUCGUGCACAGAACAUAAUUUCGAAGCGAACAUUUACGAUGCAGAGCAAUUCUUGAUGACUUGUUCAAUGGAUCUUCGACACUACUAGUUCGCGAGAGAGAGUCGUUCAGUAAUCAUUGCAUCAUAACACGAACAAGGAACUAACAGAUCGACUCGUAUAAAGAGGGCAUGGCGGGUUUAGUUGACAGACAAAUGGACAUGAGAAUCAAUGGGACUCCACUCGAAUUUGGCAAACCUAUUACAUCAAUAGUUCAGUUUCAAACACGUAACGAUUACAUUUUAACAGUCAACAGAGCUAAACACACGCCCCAAUAAUGAAUUAGACGAUUCUGGGAUUAACUUUAACGUUUCGAUUCAAUAGUAUCGCAUCAGCAAAGAUUUAGAUCAAAUCGUCAACAACAGCCCUGAUACUAGUCGGUUUUCGCAUAAUAGUACAUUAGUCUCUGUUCUCGAUCAUGGCGGUACCGAGAUGGAAGGUUUCCGACCUUGCCUUGCCGAGGAGAAAUCCCGAUGGCGGCUAAUGGUGGAAACCUGCACGAGGAGGUUCUGGAUGGCAUCUCCGAUUACGGAGCUUCUAGCAGGAUUGGCCACUUCCAGUCUCCUCUAGCCAGAAACACAGAUGAACAUUGGAGCGAUCGGGUACUGCUGCUUGGCGACUGAACCGGGCGUACAAGAACUGUGGGCGUGUCAGAUUGGGUACUUACAGUGCGUGAGGGAUUGCGAGGCGCGGGCGUGGUCCUAGUGAUCGAUGGGGAUGAGUCGAGACUCAUUCCGAUUAAUCUAUCCAGACGAUUUCUUUCAUCUUCCUCUUCUUCUGGUGAAUUUCCGGUUGGCCUGGCAGUCGCUUCAUUGUAAAUUCAAAGACCAUCUUCCCUUUAACUCUGCUUGUCUUCUGGAACCGGUCUACAACAUACAGUCCAUCGUAUAUGAAGCUGCCAUCCCAGUCCUUACGGAUCACUCUCACUGGCUGGUUCCUCUUCAUGCUGUUCGCUAGUGCCAAAUUCCCUUGAGUAAGCUUCUGAUCUUCAGCGUACUCCUUGUCACGACCGGACAUUCUGCCGCCCUGGCCCAAAUAAAUCAGCUCGUCAGGAUUUGUCAGAUCGUCAGCAUAAUCCCAGGAAGCAACGACGCUCGUGGCUAGCGUGUCCGGUCGAGUUCCCAUGCAAUCAAUGCCGGCCCGAAGAGGACGAUGGAGACCGACAAUGGCGAGCUCCAUCCUGUAACGGAAUUUCUGUCCUACCUCCACUCCUGGAACCUCUCCAAUGAAUUGCCUGCCGCCGUGCACGUACCCGGCUCUUCUCUUAACCUCUUUAGCAGCCAAGAAAUCAAUCCUCCUAAUGCACCUGCCCUCUUCACGUGCUCUCGGUUUUUCCCGUUCGAGCUGGUGACAAAUUUCUCUGUAGAGCCUUAUAGUCGAGAUCACCUUCUCUCGGGCUGAAUCACGUCUGCCAUUGCGUGUGACGUUCUCCGCCUCUUUCAUUGGCGUUUGGCGCGAACCUCUGGCCAUAUUCUCCAGCAAAUUACUGCUCUUGGACCAAUCAAAAGGCGAUUGCCCAUGCCAUAUGACGACGUGCGCAUUCAUGGAGCUCUCGACCAAAGCACCGGGAGAUCCAUCAAGGAUGAAUUCCCCUUCUUCUGUUCUUUCUAUCACGCGUUUGCCCUCCACAUUCUUCAUCAUACCCGAAAUUGAAAAAGACGAAGUUCAGAUCUUGAACAACCACGGAAGCACAAGAACAAGGACGAAAAGUAACUCUCUGUUUUGCCCUUUUUGCUCUUCACGAGUCGGACGAGGAGUCAGUCGAAUGAGAGCGUUAGGCAUGCGGAACCAACAUCGACAGCCAUGUUUGAGAGCGAAGAGGAGCCUCAUUUUCUCCUUCAAUCAUGCAGAAUUUUCCGCUGUUGUCUGGAAAUGGCACGAGCUCAUCCUCACGUUCUUACAACCAACAACGAGAGCAUUGGGGAACCGCACGAAUCCCAUUUUCCGUGGAUCUAAAAAAUGACCGCGCUAUUUCCACCACAGCUUUGUUCUUUGCGGUUCCGACAUUCUUCUCUUUGUUCUCUCUCCUUUCAGCAGAAGCUGCAUAUGCCAGCCUCACAAUGUUAUAUAUUUUCAGAUGUAUGCAAUUUUCUGGCUGAAGAAACUAAAAUUAGUAAAAAGUUCGUGGGGGUGAAGUAGACCCAUUUUUCAACCCAAAACCAACAGAGCAAUACUGUGUUGAUGCGGCACCCAACUCGUUGUUGAUUCAUCCUAAUUUUUUGGUAAUUUAGUGUUUGUCCAGACAUUUAACUCGAAAGUUGUGCGAAAUUCAUUAGUGUCAGUCGGAAAAAGAUUUAAGUAUUCACACCUUGCUAUAAGUCUAGGAAAAGUUUGUGACUCCGUUAUUCAUUUGAAGUUCAGAUCUCCAUAUUGGAAUUUUCUCUCGCUGUAACUUAACUAAGAAAGAUCGGCAUGAACAUUGGGGUGCUCGUGCACCCUUCCAGACUGCAAUCAUCAGAAUGAAAUUAGACCAAAUGGACGUAAGGGAAGAGGUGAAAACGAGAGGGCUAUGCAACGACGAACAUUCAGGGGUGAGCGCCAGGUUGGGCUCAACUAAGGUGGAAGUGAACCGCUUUACAAGAGCAAGGGCAUUGGUUGUCACUCUGAACAAAAUCCUCCACCCUCUGCGCCCCACUCCAAACCUGUGUGGACGGUGUUUUUGCGUCAGCACGUGACUCACCCACUUAUCUACAUUGCUCACGCCACACAAAUCCUAACCCAUGAACCGACCCGACCUCAGCACCGAAGCUUCCUCACCGACUUGACGGGCCAAUCCAGAGUCACCUAGUCUUUAGAUGGAACAGUUUAAGAGAAAAGUAACUAAAAGAAUAGAGCUUGGGUUGGGUUGACUACGCCGAGUCCGGAACGGGUAUGGCUGACUAUCUGAGUAAAAGCUCAGAUUGAUUGUCAAAAUCCAAGAACAAGUCGAUCUAAAGCCACAGUAAAAGCUCUCCCUCAAAGAAAUCGAUUAGGUGGGAAUAAUUGAGAUUAUACCACGACAACACGUCCACCAAACAAGACUAUCUGAGUCAACACACAAGUGUAGAACAUCCAAUUCAAGAGCAGGCAUAUCAUCUUUCACCUUGCUGAAAGUAGAUGUCCAGAAGAAAGCUUAAAGAACAGCCAUGGAAUGCUAGUAAGUAAAACUACAUUAUCACGACAAAAAGGCCAUUCCACCACUGCACUUCAGAAGCAUUGUUCUUAGACUUUGUUGAAGGCGACGAUGUCACAACUCUGAAUGUAUUCAUUGAUAGGCUCAGCUUGAAGAUUGUUGACACCUAAAUUUUGGCGACCCAUUUAGUCAUUUAUCGUCUUAAAAAUUAGGGAUUAAUUUUAUCUCUAAAAAAAUAUUAAUUGCAUAGCAUAUAGAUUUAGGUGCAUUUGUUUUUAAUUUGCAUUUUUUUUUACAUUUAUUUAUUGGACCGGUGGCUGAUGGGUUGAAUUAGCAGUUUUGGGUUUUAAAUUAGCAGGCUGGGCUAGGCUCACGAAAGGAGAAAAUUAACCCAAGCCCGUCGUUAUGUUUAAUUAAUCAUCUUAUGAAAAAUUAAGAUUUGAUGCGAUAUUAUGAUGAUUUUUGAAAAUUAAAAAAUAAAUCGCAUUGUAAUCUUAUCUUUAUCAAUAGAUGAUGAAAUCAGGGGAGAAUAUUUUUAAGAUAAUAAUUUUUGUGAUCAAGAGGUUAUAAGCAAUAUUCGUGAGAUGAAAGUAUUAACAAAAAAAGAUCUUGUUUUGUUUCGCCUAUAAAAGGAUGCGUACGGAGAUCAAUGAGGGGGGGUGUUUUUUUUUAGGUUUUCUCUUCGUCAAAAAGAAAAAAAAAAAAGUCAAAGGAAAAAGGGAAAACAGAGGGAAAGUGACGUGAGAGAGACAGGUGAGAGAGAGAGAGGAAAAGGGAAAAGCAAACACAAGACCCCUACGUUUCGGAAAAGACGCAGCAUUACGAGCUAUUCGUAUAAGUGAAAGGGAGGGGCAAAGUGAAGUAAAAGAGAAAAGCAAACACAAGACCCCUACUGUUCAUCUUCUCCUGGAGUUCUUCGCUGUUGAAUUUCCGCCGGUUCCUGCUGCGUCCCAACCCGUGCGAUCCGACACCAUCCCUCGUCGUCACCAACCACCGCGCCUGCAGCACCUCCAAUCAGUGACCCGCCGCCUCGUCCAAGCUCCGCCCUGUCUCCACCGGUCUCUGCCCGCCGGACGCUGCAGUCUUGCCACACCGACGCCGCCUGGAAGCCGAGGCCAGCCGCGGCCACCUCGCUCGAAGCCCCACCUUUGUCCGCCCGAGCUCUCCCGUUCGUGUCGCGCUGACCCACGAUUUCGGUGACCCAUUGCCGCCCAACGCCUCCCUGUGCCGCGCCGACCCAAGUUCCUGCUGUUCGUUGCCGCCGGAGACCGUCUUCGCCGCCGCUGCGACCCAAAGCCCGCUGCAGUCAAGCCCGAGCGCCGCUCGUCGCCCAGCAGCCGAACGCUGCUCCCCGGCCUCGCCUGAAUCGCAACGCCUGCUGCUCGGAGCCAAAGACCCGUGAUCCACCUACUGUUCGGAGCCGAAAACCUGAGCCAGAUCUGCCCACCGCCUGCACCGCGUCGGCUCCGAGCCUCCCCCGACGACUGCUGCUGCUGCUCCCGUGCCGUCCCUGUCUCGCCUGACCCGCGACCAACCGUGCCUUCCCUUCGCCGGAGCUGCCCUGCCGGACCGACGCCAGUUGCCGUAGGUGACCUGCCACGAGCAAUCCGUGCUUGGGAAGGGAAAAAGAAAACAGAAAAAAAAAAAAUCAAUUAGGUAGUUUUUCUUUUUUAUUUACUUUAUUUUAUUUUUUAUGUUAGUUUCAUUUAUUUACUUUGUUUUUUAGUAGGAUUAUUCUUGAAUGAAUGGUUGAGAUUAUGACAUGAGACUGCCUCUGAAAUUAUGGAUUGACAAUCCGAUUUUCGCGCUCGAAAUCCGACUCGCAAUUCCUUACAAAAAUCGACAAUCCAAUCUCAAGCCCAGGAUUCGACCGAAUUCACAUUGGUGUCAUAGAAUUACUUAAUUUAGAUACUAUAUGAUUAGGUAUCAAAUGAGCAGGCUCGACAAAACCCUUGUAUAGCUUCUUCGAUUUCUCGAAAAAGAGAAAUAUGACCGACAGUUGUUCGAAUGUAUAUACAAAUAAUUUCUUUUUUUACACUUCUUACUAUUAGAUAGUGCCCAUAAAUUUCAUGAUAGGUACCCAAAAAAGUUAAGUGCUAAAAAAAUAUCAACUCUAUAUUUUUUAUGAUUAUAAUGUCUUUAUAUCAUCAAACAGAUGAAAUCCGAAUCCAUUUCUCGAUUCGAUUCACGAUUUAGUUUAAAGUUGGCCAACUCGAUCUCAUGCGCGAGAUAUGGUUUGUCGAUUUUUAGAUAUCAAUCUUAUCUUGUUUGAUUUUCUGUUAUUAAGUUGGUUGAGUCAAUCUUAUUUUUGUAAAGAAAAUCCAAAAAAAAAUGUUGAAUUAAGAUUAGGUUUGGUUUGGUUAUUAUCUUUUAUAUUUAGAAUAAGAAUUUUACUUUAAAUCGUGGAAAAGAAAACCAAAAGAAAUUCAUUUAGGAUGUUAGUUUUAUCAUUAUUUGAAUUGCAUUUGAAAAUUUUAAUUUCUUAAAGAAAAACACAAAAAAAAUCAUUGUGCAUAUUAGAUUAGAAUUGCAUGUUUCAUUUUAAAUUUAGAUCAUCUUUUUUAGAUAAAUUGCAUUUUAGAGUUAGAUAAUGUCUUAAUCCCUAGUUUAAAUUAGAUAGAAUCUUAAUCUAGCUAGAUCAUUUCAAAUUUCAUAAAAUUUGUCUUAGGAUAAAUUAGUUGCAAUUUCUAGGAUAGAUUGCAUUUUUAAAAUAAAAAAUAUCAUUUGCAUGUCAUAUAAAAUCAUUUUAGUGAUUAUUGUUAGGUUCAUUUCUAAUUAGAAAUUGACCGUCAUCAGAUUAGGUCAUUUAAUAAAUGUCGCGUGACAUAUAGCUCGCAUAUUAAAUUGCAUGUUGCAUGUCAUUUUAGUUGAAAUAAUUUUGUACGUCAUUGCAUUGCAUUGCACGUCAUUAGAAUUAAGUCAUUUUAGAUAAUUUAGAUUGCAUAUUUAAUUAUUGCAUGUUCAUUAAGAAAUCACAAAAAUUCUUAAUUUAUUCAUAUAGUUUAGGACAUAUUGCCAUGCCAUAUCAUUUCAUAUUAGAUUAAAAGCAUUCCAUUGCAUAUGGUCUAUAUUUUUGUUGAAAAAGAAAAAACAAAAAUUGAGUAAUUGCUUGUUAAUUAGAAACCAUAUCAAUGGUUGUUGAUGUGGAUUUUAAUUUAACACUGCAGAUGCUUUCAUUGCUUUGAGGUAAGUCCUGCAUUAUUUAAUUAUUUUCUUGGGUGUUAAAUUGAUGGUUUGCGCACUUACAUGAUUACCUCACAUGUUAGAGAGAUAGAUUAAAAUCAAUUUAAGCUGCCUGCAAAACUUUUUUUUAAAUAAAAGAAAUAGUACCGAAAGGGCGUUAGAGAAAUCUAGCGUAAUCAAGUCCUCCCCGUACUCAAAUCUCUGGUUCGUAGGAGUAAAGUGAAUCUCCCAUUACUUUACUUGGGUUUCUAAUCGACCCACCAAAAAUAGAUUAGUGGAGACUCCUAAUUUAAAAAUCAAUCGCAUGUUAAGAAUUUAAACCUAAGUCGCGAAUUGGUAUAAACUUGGGAGAGCCCGAGUUAAGUUUAGGCUUAACAAUCCAUUAGCCAAAUCCUAGGUGGUUCAACCCCAAAAUAUUGGUCGCGACAAAGAUGCUCCUUGAUGAGGGUGUCCACUGAGACAAGGUCAUCCACAAUGGUCAUCAUGAUCUGCAACUUCUUAAUCCCGUAACCCACUGGAACCAGUUUCGCUGCUAGGAAGAAAGCAAAAGAAAAAAUCCUCAUAAGGGGAUAAACAUGACAUUCAGUGACAAAGCAUUAUGGUCAUACUGGCGAUAUAAUGAGACAGUCAAAACUUACAAGCUCCCAAGAAGAGCCCAGGCAUCUCCACACUCCUAACAGCCUCUUCCAGCUUCUUCAUGUCUGUCUCAUCAUCCCAAGGUUUCAUAUCCAAGAGGACAGAUGACUUUCCACCUAUAACAGGAACCGGAAACACACACAAGCCAAGAUAUUGAAAUAACUGAUGAGAAUUUUAUUCCAAAAAAAGAAACAAGUUCAGGCUAGCAAGCAGCUUAAUCAACGUGAUAAAUAAGUUUCUAAGAAUUAGGUUUAACACCUUCAAGCAAGCAAGCUGUAUACAUCUAUCUAUCUUUUGUUUUCUUUAUCGCAGAGCAAAGUUCACUUACUGAUCAUAUCAGGUAUAAACGUAAAUGAACCAGGACGCAUCAGCCCCCAAGAGUCAAGAUAUAACAGCUGCUACUAUUGCAUGUAUUUUUUUUUUUUUUAUUAACCCAGGAGAGAAGUGACUCCAAGAAAGUGAAUUUAGGAGAAUGAUUGCAAAGUUACUUUCUUUCUUCUUUGUGAAUGCCUUUUUGGCUGCCUCCCUCUCUUCUGCAGCUUUCUGGUCCUCCUUUGUCUCUUCACCAAAGAGAUGCAAGUCAUCGCCAUCCUCAGCAGGAGCAGCCUGGUGAAAAGAAAAUGAAACAUCAAAUCUUGACCAUUCAAAAUAGAAACGUCAGCAAAAGUCAAAACUCUACCGAGUUAAAGCGAAUCUUAAAGAGAUGCAUUCAGUUACUUAGUGAUCUAAAGGUCAACUUAACAUAAGGUCCUUGUUUCGAAACUUAAGACUAUCUAUUUACUCAUACAUGUAAUUCCACAGGACAAGAUAAGGACAACUUUCUCCACGAAGGCAAGAUAGUAGGGUCUAAUCACUUAGUCAUUAUUAAGUUGUUCAAACCUAGAUCAAAGCAAGAUCCCUAUUCUGUAACAUGUGUAGCAGUGUGCAUAACAAGCAUUCACUGAAUCAAAUGAAACAAUGUUUCUGAGUUUUACUCGCCACUAUGGAUAAAAUUCCAUCGGUGCUUACUGAAGAUUGGAAGGGAUAAUUUUGGGUUACAUAAAGUGUAAGAAGUUAAUAGAAUUAGCAAACGAAAGGUUAUAUAGCUAGAAGAAGCGAGGCCUCUAGCAACAGGACCACCUCAUCUGCCACGAAGGCUUUACAGACAGAACAGUCUCUCCUGAUAAUAGAAAAGCAUACCUCGAUGAAAGUAAAAUUGACAUUAUUGAGGAGAUUAGCCUAUAUAUAAAACAAGAAAAUCUGUAACAUCACUCAGAAAGCAAAGCUUAUGAUGCCAAAUUCUUAUUAAAACAACAACAAACUGAGCCUAUCCCUCAGAACGGGGUGAAUAAAUCCUUCUACACCAUUUCAUUCGAUUCAAUUUCUCAUCAAAGUCUUAAAAAAGAAGCCACUGCAUCAGUACAUAUAGCAUCCCCCUUAAUUUCUUCAACUAGAGCACCUUUGGCACCUACUCUAACACCAGCAGCUUUGCCAGGGAAGCUAAACAAUUGAACAAAAUAGGAGACAUUAGGAAGCAUUCGACUCUAAAAUCAAAAUAAAAUGCUAUAACAAGAUGAGAUGCAACAAUGCCGAAAAUUUCUCAACUUCAACAAAUUCAAAGUACACGACGCAGGCAUGCAUUGAUCUCCUCCCCAAACCAUACCAAGAAAAUCAGGCAAUCGAUAUUGUUGACCUUAAAUUGAAGAUAAGGGCCUCCGAACAUGCUUUCAUGCAAGUCUAUAAAUACAAUAGGCACUCGUAAACACAGAAAAAUCCUCGCUUUUCAUGACCUUUCUCGUAGUAGUAGUAGUAAUAAUAAGAGUAAAUGUCAUGAUUGUUGGGCCGGUUAUUCGCAUUGCAUACGCUUAUUAGCUUUUGAAAGAGUUUCAGUGUUACGCCUUUGGUUAGGACUAUUUUAUAAAUGAAUCAAUAGAAUAAAAUGAGAUUAAAAAACAACAAUAAAAGUAGACCAUAAUCCCCAAAAUUUUUGUCGAAAAAAAUACGUGCUUAGGCUUUUCUUUGCCAAGGAAGAUGAAUGUAUGAAUUAUUUAUUCACAUCUGAUAAUUCUAAUUAAAUUUAUGAUGAUAAUUAAGAUUUAAUGUAUGCUUUCUAAAAUUUGUUGGGCCAUGCAUCUUACUUGUUUCAGUUGGAAAUCCAUUAGAUGAUUGGUAAUAAACGAAAAGGCCGCGCCGACUUCAAGGUAGGACUUCAGCCAGUGUCCUGUGAACACUAAUUUUAAACUUUUGAAAAUUGGAACAGGUCUCCGAUUAAACAACCUGAUCUUGGAUCCAAGUUCCAAAUCUGAUGUAUAUUGUAACUAUUUCUGUUUCUCUGAGGGCACUGCAAGGGACACAUAGAAAAAAAGAAGAAGAAGACAAUUUGACGAAGAGGAUACCUCAGUGUAUGUCCGCAACAUGUUUGGAUCUACAGUGCAAUUUGGUUGUUAUUUAAGUUUUACGUUGUGUUACUGAAAACAGCCAUUGUUAUUAUCUCCACGUGCAAAAGAAAAAAUAGGUUUUGCAGAUUGAUCCAACCAAAAUAAUAGGUUUUGCAAUAUGACUUCACUGUUAAGUUUUGUGCGUCAAUUUGGUUGUUAUUUAAGUUUCAGGUCGUAUUACUGAAAACAGCCAUUGAUAUUAUCUCCAUGGCAAAAGGAAAAAUAGGUUUUGCAGAUUGAUCCAAACAGGGAACGCAACAACUUCGUUACUUUGAAUAUCCCUGACAUCAACGAGAUGAAUGGAAGGGUGUACAUUUUUGGUUCGAUCUUUUUCAUUGGUUCUUUUGUUGACAUUGUCAAGUUUUGGCUUGAGACUUCUAAUGGAUGGUUGAUUGGGACCAAUGGUGUGAAGACUAGAGGAGCUGGAUCAAGUUUUAGUGAUGAGAGGGACGGAGGUAGAGAGCAAAAACAGGUUGCAAUGGCUAUCGGUGUGAAAGGGAUUGCUGUAGAGAGCAAGACAGGUUUGGAGAUGAUGAUCCAAGCAGGGAAAGCGGCUCUGCCCAUUCGGGUGAUGAGGAUAACUCGAGCAAUCAUUUGUGGAUUGUGAUCAAGAUUUAGAUGACAAUGAGUAGGAGAACAACAGCAAGAACCACGACAACUGUGCAAGGAAGCUGGGUCUUAGCCAUCUUAGGCCUACUAUAAUGCAGGCCAAGCAAAUGGCUGGACAAGAUAAAGAAUUUAUAGGAUCGGUUUUAUUUGUUUGCUUUUCGUACUGUCCUCUUCGUAUUUCUUUUUUUUUUCUUUUAAAUAUGUUGAAGUAAACAUGGUAUGAGAAAAGAAAAUUUUUCUAUUCUACCGGUUCUUCUAACUACAUAAUUUUCUUCAUGCAGUUUACCGAUUCAUUCUCAUGACAAGUUUGUCAUGGAAAACAAUUGUCUUAUGGUUAUGUGGAACUUUUCUUGAGAAACUUCUGAUCUUAGCUAUUUGUGCAGGAUUCAUAAGAGCCAUUAAGGAGAUAGUUCUAGCUUGUGCCAUUUAUGCUAACAGGUUCUUUGUUGUGACAAAGAUGGCAUUCUAGAACCACAUAUGUUGAAUCAAGAAUGCCUUGACACCCUCUCAUGUGUGUUGCAAAAAGUCAUACGCUUAUAUAUUUUUUAGGGUAGUCGAUAUUUUGACCUUCACGAGAGCUCGAAACUAGACUGGGAGUUAAUGUCCGGUGAUCAUAUUGACGUGCCAAGUGCUUAUUUUAGAAGCACGUCGCUACAGUCUAUUUUGAGACUCCAAACAAUUUUUUUUGUCUGGAACAACAUUCAAAGUGCACUUCUAUCUAAAUCUUUUUUCCUAAUGAAUACUAUUCAUGAACUUGUUGCUUAAAGAGAUUUGUUUGUAAUUUAUAAUUAUGGACAGCUCGUGUUUUCAAUUGAAAUUAGAUCGAUUCAUAUACUCAGACGUGAUAAUGAGCUGUGGCAGCAACGAAAAGAACAUAAUAAAACGUGAGCAAAGUAAUGUGUGAUCAAUACAUAUCAUAGAGGUACGAAGAUACAUGGCAACAAACAUAAACAAACAGAAUCCCAAGAGACAUCUCAUAAUAAACAAACAUUCUAAUAAAUUCUAAUUAAAGAUACGCUGAGACAAAUGACGGAUCAAUGGUACUAAAAUCUGUAGGGGCUUGGUGGGCUGAGAAAAGGAAUAGAGGGGAUUUUAGGGAGAGAAGUAGGGAUGCUUGGCAUCGGUGGCAAGCUGGUCGGCAUGGUUGGCAAGCUCGGAAGUGGCGGCAAAGUAGUCUUGGGCAAUGUUGGCUGGGUUGUAGGCAGUGUCGGCAAUGUGGGUUGAGGCAGGGUCGUUGGGAUGGUGGGCAUGGGUGGCAUGGCGACUUUGGGCAACGUUGGCAUGGCAGGCAAAGGAGGCAAAGACCCUAGUUUUGGUAUAGUUGGUAUGGUGGGAAGAGUCGGUAUGGAUGGAAUGGUUGCUUGUAGCAGAUGACGAGCUCCGAAGCUCAUAUUCAUGCUAGCGAAAAUUAUGGCAAUGAAGAUAACAAAGCUUUUUGAGGAAAGAGCCAUAUUUGGAAAGUGGGCAAUAGAUGUUAUGUUGUGAUAAGCUCAGGGACUUGAAAUUGAUGAGCUGAGAGGAAGGGGAUUGGAGUUUAUAUAGCAAGAACUGUCGGGUAGAAUUAGGGUUGUGAUGAUAAGUUGGUGACUUGCCGUUGGGCACGGUUGGGAAAGAAUUAGAAGUUGAUGUCUUGAUUGGUUCUUUAGUUAGUUCACCUCCUCAUGUCAAUCUUCCACCGGCAUAAAGAAAGGUCAAACCUACUUUUUGCUGUUUGACCUGCCAGAUGGCAUUAUGUUCAUGAAGUCAAGCUUCAUUCGAAUCUUUGUCUUAAUGAAAGGUGACUAAAUAAACAACUUAGUUUUCGGGAGUAAUCAGGUAAAUAACUUGCUUCCUCCUAAGUAGGGCGGUUAUUGCCGUACCAACUCGCUUCUUGAUUUUUGAACAUAUGGAGCUAGCGAUUCCAUGCGUUGUGUUGUGUGCUCCGCCGCACUUUGUAGAUUAUAUUUGUCUUAAUAUUUUUUACACUUGUUAGUUUCUAUCCGUUGAAUUAUAGCCUUUCGUGGGGAUGACCUUGGGAUGCAGGUCUCACUAUUGCGACCUCCCUUUUGACUUUCGACGCCCUCUUACAUCCCGGGCUCUCCAGAGCCACCAAUUGAUGAUUUAUGAUUCGAAUUUUUAAUCUGUAAGUUAAUUUUAAAUAGGAUUAUCCAUUAAUCGAUUUAAGACGAGUUGAUUAGAAACCCAAAUAAAAUAUCAUGAGAUAUACUUCACUCUUACGCGACCAGAGAAGAGAAUUUAUGACCAGGGACUUGAUUACACUAAUUAAUCACUAACGUUCUUCUGGUACCUAACUUUGUUUAAACAUCAAGUAAAAUAUUUAUACGGCAUUUUAUACUAAUAACAAGUUCUAGGAUUUUAUCCUUUACCCAAAUAGAAAGAAUAUGCAUUUCCAUGCAUCAUAAGGAAUAGAAAUCCAUGCAUCAUAAGGACGCAAUUGGAAUAAAUUGAUAUUCGCUUACAAGAAUUUAAACACGUUUUUUUUUUAAUUUUAUUUUAUGCAUUUUCACACAUUUUUUUUAAAAACACUCAAAAGACCAUUUUUAUUUUUUAUUGAUGGUAUAUUUGUAACAAAUUUUACCAAUUUGGGGUUUUUUGCAAUCGAAUAAAUAAGUUUUGGAUAAAUUUGUCAUAAAUAUAUCGGUUUAUAGUUUUUUAUGAUCAAUCAAAUAAAUUUGCUACAUGUGUACCAGUUUGAGAUUUUUCAUGGUCAAAAAAAUAAUUUGGGAGAAAUUUGUCACAUGUGCACCAAUUUAGGGUUUUUUUAGGUUUUUAGGUUAUUAACCAUUUUUAUUGUUAACCAUCGACCAAGGUGGCAUAGAUGGUAGGGCCUUGGACCUCCUCGGUGGAGGCUAAGGUUCGAAUCCCCUGCGAAGCAGGGAGGCAGUCUAGCUACUACAUGAUGACUUAAGCGUGACGUCGAGGUGGUGGUUUCCCUGCUAGCGUCACCUGAGGGUUUAUGGGAACAGCUGUCGCCCAGUAGCGGUUCCUCCAGCACAAAAAAAAAAAAAAAAAACCAUUUUUAUUGUUAUAUUUUUUAUUUUUUAUUAUAAAAAUAAUAUAUUAUUAAAUUAUAAAAAGGGACCAGGGUCGGAUCUUCGCAUCCGACCCGAGUUGAAGCCAGUCCAAGCCCUCCUGGUCCGGGCGCAGAGCGGACUGAGCGCAGCGAUGGGCUCGUCGAUAUAUUUUUAGUAAAAAGAACCCAGCCCGUAGUCCAUGCACCAAAUUAAACCUAAAACCUAGACCAAGCUGGCCCACACACGUCCGGCCCAAACCGACCGGAACCCUACCCGGCUAAGCCCCGCACCGACCCGAUCUGCAGCCUCCCCUUUCUCACUACACUCACGCAACAUCGGCGGAGCCAACUGAGGCGAGCGGCACCGGUCGCCAUGGCUGCGCACAGCGGAUCUGCAGCACCUCGUGUUGAGGGACCGGCGGAUGCGACGGCAAGGCGGCAGCAACAGUAGGGAUGGCAGUGGACGGCGUGGCUUGACUGGGGCGCCGCGGCAGCGUUGCGGCGGUGGUCUCGCGUGGCCAGGGUUUCCUCGGUUUGGCCGGGAGAGGACUCUCUCUCUCUCUCUCUCUCUCUCUCUCUCAGGUCCCGCCCAGAUCGAACGCCCUCAAAUCUCAAAUCGAAUCCUUAAAGAACAAUCCAGGACGUGCACAACAAUUAAAGGAAGGUCGGGGCCGGAGCUUGUGCGCCGGACGACCACGAGCUCUGACCUGGCCCGACCAAAGCAAGGCACAAAAAACGACCAGGGGGGUCUUCUGAGCUUGCAGGCCUUCUCCGUCUGGCGGGCUCGCAGACACCCUUUUCAUAGGCCGAGGAGGCCGGUGGACGGAGGCUUCGGCCACCGGUCCUUGGCGCGCCGACCAGACCUCCUCUCGGCCGAACCGGUGUGCUCUCGGUCGUCCAUUCCGCAGCAGGCUUAGCCCUGCUCUACGUCUUAGCUCGACGGCAUUGAUGACGCCUACGAGCUGUCCCAUCCGUCACCGGCCUACUCCGCCAUAGGUCGUCCUCGUGCGCGUCGUCGUCUUUGCGCGAGUUGCAGAGGCGGAGGGGAAAGGAGGAAGGAAGAAGAAGAAAAACAGAGAGGGAAGGCGGGCCGGAAAGGGCUUGGCCUUGGGCCUGCGUAAAAAAGGAAAAGGGGCUAGGGUCAGGCCCAGCCCCAAGCCAUUUUUCUCUUUUUUAAAAAAAGGGAAAAAAGUCACGAAAAAUCCUGAACUUUACCCAAAUGGACACAUUUAUCCCAAACUUUUUUUUGUGACGUGAAAAACCCCAAACUUUUUCAAACCAUGACACAUUUACCCCAAUUUUUUUUGACACAAAAAACCCUAAACUUUUAUUAUGUGACAUAUUUACCUCGAAAUUAUAGGGCAUUUUGGUCUUUUCAUUUAUUUUUAUUUAUUUUCAUUUUUUUCAUUUUUUUUCUCUUCUCUCUUCCCUCUACCAGCGGAGGGAAGCCGACAUCUAGCAAGGGCUACCCUCGACAGCGUCAGGCAAGGGUCACCCCUCGCCGACGUCGGGCUAGGGCGGCCUUCGCCGGCGUCGGGCAAGGGCCGCCCUCGCCUGCGUCGAGCGAGGGGUGCCCUUGCUAGAUCUGGUGAGGGCCAUCCUCGCCCGACGCCAACAAGGGCCAACCUCGCCUGCGUCGGGUGAGGGUGUCCCUGCCUUCGCCAGAUCUGGCGAGGACCGUCCUCGCCCAUCGCCGGCGAGGGCGACCCUCUCCUGCGUCAGGCGAGGGUGUCCCUACCCUCGCCAGAUCUGGCGAGGACCGUCCUCACCCAUCGUCAGCGGGGGCGGCCCUCGCCUGCGUCGGGCAAGGGUGUCCCUGCCCUCGCCAGAUCUGGCGAGGGCCAUCCUGGCCCGACGCUGGUGUUGGGCAGCCCUCGCCUGCAUCUGGCGAGGACGACUGGCGAGGGAGGCCGUCGCCCGACCCCGGUGAGGAUGACUGGCGAGGGAGGCCGUCGCCCGACUCCCGGCGAGGGCCGUCUUCGCCCAACACUGGCCCGGCGAAAGGAAGAAGAAGACAAAAAGGAAAAAAAAAAAAGGAAAAAAACAGAUUAAAAGACAAAAAAGCCCUUAGUGGGAUAAAUGUGUCACGGUUUGAAAAGUUUGGACUUUUUCACGACACAAAAAAAAAAAAAAAAGUUUAGGGUAAAUGUGUUGCUUUGGGCAAAGUUCAGGGUUUUUCGUGGUUUUUUUCCUAAAAAAAAAUUAUUUAUCUGAAGAUAUGGUAAAACAAGGGAAAAGAAAAUAGAAAAUUCAACUUAGUAGAUGCAAAUGAUAUUAAAAUUUAGGUGAUGCAACAAAAAUUUUCUGUUAGGGCUAGAUCGAUUCCUAAUUUUUUUUUGUAAUUUUAAUUAUAAAUAUUUAGUCAAAAUUUAAGUGUUAACACCCACAACACGGUAUCCCUAUUCGUUUCGGAUUGGUGAGUGCAUGGUGGAUUGCAGAAUAGAGAUAAGAUUUUAUUGUGAUGUUCGAUUUAAACAAAUAUAAUAUAUGUUACAUUAUUUGAUUUCAUGAAUGAGAUAAUAUUCAUCAGAAUACCUAAAAUGUUAUUGAAGUGAAAAUUACAUGAAAUAAAGUGAAUAUCGAUUAAUGCACAUAACUAUUCAUUUUGCAUUGUUUAAUAACCUUGAUAAAUUGUUUUGUUCUAGACAAAUUUACGUGAUUUUAUCUGAAUUUAAAACAUAUCCCACCUACCACCAAGUCAUUUUUGUUUUUUCGGAAAAUUAUCAAUUGCAUGUCAAUAUACACCCAUUGCACACAAUCCAUCUAUUAGAUCGCAUGAAAUUCAUGUGAGACUCACAUGAUUCAAUGGAUCACAUGCAUUAAUCCAACAUUUUCAAAGAUUAAAUAAAUCAGUAAUUAUCAAGAUUACUUGUAAUUAGUAGGGGGUGGAAUGAGCAGGUGUUGCUGGGUUGGCGCACCAUUCUUAUGGUGUAAAUCCGCCCCCAAACGAUGCGGGGCCCCGCCGAGCAUGGAGAAUCCGCACCCUAUGCCAUCCUCAACUUGUAUCACCGCUCAUACUUUUAUAUUUAUCUGAACUAGACGAACGUGAACCAAAUGAUAUUCCAUUAAAACUAUCGCUUAAGAUGCAACUACCUAACCGAGACAAGCAUUUUCCUACUAUUUUUGUUAUUUAUUUUCAUAUUUAUCAGUUUUAUUUUAUUUAUUUAUCUUUAUUCCUUGCGUCCCUUUUUAGAAAUCCUUUUUGUUCUCUCGUUUGUUUUCUUACUCAGAAUGUUUCAACCUUCCCAUUUUGCCAUGUCUAUCUUUAUCAUUCUUCUUCUUUUUUUUCCCUCAUGAGUUCACCUAAGAUUACACUCAAUUUCCCUGCUCAAUCCCAUUCAUCUUUUUCAUUCUUUCACUCUUUCCCUACCCGCCAAACAAAAUCCUUGUUCUGCCAUACAGAGAGAACAGCCCCAUAUGCUACAUAACCCAGACCUCUUUGCACAGCUACAUGAGAACAUCCACUAAAACGUAUUCUGCUGUUGAUCUGAGUCGGUGAAGGACUACCGAGCGAGAGAUGAGCAGCACUUUGGGGCUUCCUCGCAGAUAAAUAAGAACAAAACAGAGGAGCGUUCUGAAGCGGCGAGCGACCAGCAGCGAAUGAAGGGCGGCGGUUGAAUUUCACUUCCCAGAGAGGAUUUCUCGGUGAGGUCAGUGUAUGUGCUCAAGUGGUCUGGACUGCAUCUCUGGAUUUGAUGGGCUGGUGUGAAUGAGGCCAUAUGUUAGAUGGGUUUGACUUGUGAAUGAAUUGUAUUUAAUAGCCAAUGGGCCUACGGCAAAUGGGUUUGGGUACUUGCAUAGAUGGCUGAAUUGGACUCUCUUUUUAUUUAUUUGUUUAUUCAUUUUUUUUUCUAUUCUAGCAGAAAUGUAUGCUUGACUUGUAGCCAUCGCCAAAGAAAGUUUGACUUCAAUUAUGAAAAUGCACGCCUGUGUCUCUUCUGCUUAGAUUCAUGCGUAAAUGGAUCAAGGUUCUUUUUUAGGCCCGCAAAUGAAUCAAAGUUUGAGAUUAUAAGAUUAUAGUGAUUACAAAAUGAUGACAUAUGAAUUUUUUCACGAGACCAGAUCAGAGACACUUUUAUUUUGCUUCCAGAAUUCUUCCAUUUGAGAAACCACUGUCCUUUUGGAAUCUUUUUCAUUGAGACUCUUGGCUGCCAUUAAAAGAUUAUUUGCUUAUACUACAAAAUCCUCUUUUUCCAUGAAAAAAGUUUCUCUUCCAGUCACAAUAUUGUAGACUGAAGUGGACAUCUAAACGGUGAUCUUGUUAACAAAAUUUUGCUUAACUUCACAUACAGAACUUGCACCUAGGGGUCUUUCUGCAAGAAUUUUGAGAUUCGGCCUUUGCUAAAGAGUAGCAUGAUGUCAAAGCUUGCAAAAGACUACUACACUGCAUGAGAAGAGAAGAGGUCGCUUUACAUCAAGAAUCCUAUGAAAAGUAUUAUUAACAACAUGGAACACAUGAUAAACACCAAUGGUGACAAACUCCGGAACGCCUUUUUAUUAUGUUUCAUGACAUAGCUCCUUCCUAUACACAUCUCUAUCCUUGGUUUUUGGGAAUUUCUCUGAAUUUCCUGAAAUGCAGCUUGAAUCUACACAAGAAGAAUAAGAUUGACUAAUUAUCAAUCAAUGAAGAUAGCUGAGACUAUAGCAUCACAAUUUACCCCACGAAAGGUAAGGUACAAAUGCAUAAACAUCAUUUGCAGCGUCACCAAAACCUGGGGACAUAUUUUGCCAAAGAAUUUAGUUGUCUCUGAUUAGUUGGCAGUUGGACCGCAAUCAACAAAGACUUCAUUAGCUGGCCGAUGAAAAAGGAAACAACAGACUUGGGAGAAGUGAUCAAUUAGCAACACUUUCCUUGUUUUUGUUUAGGAACAAACCUGAUGUUAAUAAGAUUAGGCUGAAAAACUGAAGUGCCUAAACUACAUAAGAGAAUUGUACUUGUUACUUAGGGUGUGUUUAUUUCAUGAAAUACUCAACAUUUGGAAAAACAUUUUUUGAAAAAUAAUCGCUUGUAUCACCUACAAAAAUGAUUGAAUGCAAAUUUUCUUUCAAUACCUACAAAAAUAGUGUUGGUAAUGAAAACAUUUUCAAUUGACAAUUUUUUAAGAGAUAUAACCAAUCAUUUUUCAAAAAAUGUUUUCUAAAUCUUGAGUUUUUCUAUGAAACAAAUGCAUGUUUAGGCUCCAUUUAUUUCACAGAAUAUAUUUUCUAGAAAAAUAUUUUCUUACAAAUAUGUUUUCAAAUCAUUCAUUUUCCGUGAAACAAAUGAAGUUUUAGUUAUUUCGCCAUAUGCAAUUAGCAAAAUCAGCAAAGUGAUGGAGUUUGCUAAGAGGCGAAUUUCAACUUCAAAAAUUCAGUGUUCCAUACAUGAGAACAGAGCUUAUCAAACCACACCUAUAUGACAACAUUCAAGGGAUGUCAUCACACAAUAAACUAAGAGAAAUGGAGGAGAUUGUCAUCAUGCAUCCUUGUAGACAAUUUUUCAGGUGAAAUUCCAUGGCUCAAAUUUUAUAAGCACACAAGUUACUAUUUCAUAGUUAUGGUACGAAUGGCAAUGCAUACCUCCCUCUACAAAGCCUUAUUGAGUUCAGGAGUGAAACCAUUAGUAUGCAACCGUAUCAAGCAACUUUGCAAUAGGAUAUCAGAUGAGGAAAAAAAAAUCAGCAUGUACGCAUUUCAUAAACAGAGAAGUAGGAUCCAAAGAGCAUACGCAAAGCAGAUUUAAUUGAUAAAAAAAAAAAAAAAAAACUACACGCAUAGUCAGUCGAGUAUGUGCUUUUGCGAUCAGAUCAAGUGUUUGGAUCUUCAAAGCAUCAACACUCCUCAGGGACUCCAGCUGGCCCACAAGCCUCGUCAAAGUUGGCAUGCGAGAUGGGCCUCAGUUGCUGCCGAUGCUUCCUUUGCACAAUCCCUCUUCUUCAUUUUCGGCCGAAUUUUUUUUUUUUUUUUUUGAUGGGUCUCUGUUAUGAAAUUUGAAGUUCCUCUACAAAGUUAGCCAGACCCAGAUCAAUCACGUGAUAGUAUUAUGCCAUGGCCACAACAGGAUCAAACAGGAUAGAAACUAACUAGCAAAUUCUUGUUCUCCUUGCUCCAGCUUGUUUCCCUGAACCAGCGAAAAUUUGUCGCAAUUACACAAAAGUCAUCGACACAGCUCAUUGAGUUGAAGUCCAAAGUAAGUUUUGAUUAUUACAUAGGCCAACCAGACCAAUCACAAAAGCAGCACCGGUUUACCUCGCUAGAAUAUAUAGGAAGCUGGUCUAUAAUAAUGCAGGAUAGACUAGCCAAAACUACUUAAUCACCCACCAGAAAAAAAAUGACCCUUGAUUUUUAUAAUUCAUGCUCAAGGGAACAAUAAGAAACUUGACAAGGUUUCCAAUCAUCACGGAGAAUUGAAAGGUGUUGUUUUGAACAGGAUAUUAUCUACUGUUAAUCGAAUUUGAUGCGAAAAAAGAGCUCACAAAAGAAUUCAAAAUAUCUAGAUGUUGCAUAUUUAGUAAAUCUCCAAUUGAGAUAGGGAUUUCUCUAAACGAUCACAAAGACCAGACACUCAAUUUUUUCAGCUUCCUCAAAGAAUUGAUUGCCACCAAUACAAAUGAGAAUAAGCCAUCAAAAAAUGAGUUGAUCAAUAAAUACCUUAUAAUUGCUGCUUUGUCGCCUCUACAAAUUAGUUGAGGCAACAUGAAGAUUCAAGGUCUUGAAGGAUUGAGAUUUAUUCAAGUGGAUUGUUUCCAUGAAAGAACAAGUCUUUCUAGGUGGAUUAGGUAAGAAAGCUCUGGCAAUACGGGCCCUUGAUAAGAAGUUCUUAGGUAUUCUAAGCUCAAAGGAAGCUCUGGUAAAGACUGAAGAUUGUAACAGUUCCAUAGUGCAAGGUGUUGGAGAGAAGAAAGAUUCCGAAUGCUUUCUGGUAGGUCGGAUAUCAAAGACACACUAAUGUCUAGAUAUUGCAAAUACUGUAAAUCCCCAAUUGAGUUAGGGAUUUCUCUCAAUGACCUACAACAAGCACUCAACUUCUCUAGCAUCCUCAGAGAACCAAUUGACGUAGGAAUCUUUGUAAUACCAGAAUUAUCUAAAAUAAGCUCUCGUAGUUCUUCUAAUUCGCCCACUUCUCUCGGUAGCUCCUUGAGACUGCCACAACCACUCAAUUCCAAGUAAACAAGGCUCUUGACUUUGCCAAUAGAAGGGUGGACCUGCAUCAGUUCUUUGCAAUUCUUGAAGAUGAGAAUUUUUAACUCUAUGAAAGCGGAGAGAUCAAGUGUACAUCUUAAAGAAUCAAUAAAUUCAAGUUGGAUAACUUGCAACCGCUUUGCCACCUAUACAAAGGAGAAUAAAUUGUCCAAAAUGAGUUGAUCGACAUAACGAAACAACCAAAAAAUCACAAAAAAUAGCUUUUUUCAAUCUUACCAUGAUUGAAUUCCAUCCUUUCCAAUCAUUUGUGAUCGAACUGUAUGACAAUUGCAACACCUUUAACUUUGGUAGAUGCAAAUCGUUUGCCGGAAAAGAUGGAUUGAGUUCAAUGUGAAGCCAAUGAAGCCACCUUACUUGAGAAAGGAAUUCGUUUAAGUCUUCACUUGCAGUCGUGUCCCCCAAUCGAAGGAACCUUAACCUCUGUGACAUUCUAAAUUGCCAAUUUGUGCGUGCCUGCAGCUGUUCAGCGGCCCCACAAUCUAAAAAUGGAUAAACUAAGAAUCCGUCGCAACGAUUCGUCUCUAUCAUUGCCGUACGCUGCAUAUCAAAUCAAACGACUAUAAGUGUUUGGAUUGGCUUUUAAUUUUUAAUUUUUUUUUUUAGUUUUUGCGUUUUUAAAUCUUGAUCUCGUACAAUUUGUCAUCCUUUCAACCUUAGCAGAUAAAUGUUAAGACCUAUACUCACAUUUAAUUUUUUGAUGACCUUUUGAAAUUUGAACAGUAUUUUAGAUUUUGACAUGAAAUAAAAAAAAAAUACUUCUUACUUUAGUAAAUCUAAGUGAAACACACCUCAAUGUUGUACCUCUUGCUUUUUUUCGAAUUUUUUGUUGCGCAUGCAUUUUAAUGUUUAUUUGAGCGAAAUACAUAAAACCUUUUAGAACACACAAAUGUUGACUUGUAAAUUUUCAAAUAAUUCUUUUUUACAAUUUUUUGAAAGAAGUUAUUAAAGAAUGCCUUGGAGUCACUUACUAAGCAACCAAGUAAUUGCUUAGUUUUCAAUUCAUUAACUAUUGUUGUGAAGUGUUUAAUCAUUGCUUUGAAAAUCAUAUAUAUAUAUAUAUAUAUAUAUAUAUAUAUAUAUAUAUAUUUUCAGAAAGUAUGUUUAAAAAGUGCUGUGACUAGUUAAUAUCUUAGAUUUGGGCGGAGAUUGGUAAAAGUUGCUUUCAGACCAAGUGAAAAUGAAUUAAAUAACUUCCUUCAAGAUAUUAUGGUUAGAUUAAGGUUUCUAACAUGUGGAACAAAAGGUUGUCGAUGCUGGCAAUAUCUUUUCUCAAACAAACUCUAUCAUACGAAAGUUUCUGGAGAAACAUAUUUAUUUGUAUUUACCAAAAAGAAGAGUGAAGGUAUAUAUAUGUCAGUUUGCAUAAGAUUGGCACCAUUUCCUUUGGCAUCUUAUAAGUCAAAACAUCCAGUUUAACUUUCCUGCUAGAACAGAUCAUUUAAAUAGUUGAAGAUGGUGAAAAAAAAAAAAAAUUCCCAUAUGGCUCUGAUUGACUUUAAUAACAAUGGUCGUUUUCCCCUCAAAAUUUCAGUUGGUCAUCGACAGUUUUCAAUAAUGAUCAAGUAUCGAAAUUUUAAAAGCUAGAGCCUUAAUUCCAAAGACACGAAGCUCCAUUUGAACUUUUUGUUGGAUUAAUGUCUUGAAUUUGACCACAGAUAAAUCAAGCUCCGACUCGACGUGGAUAUACAAUUCGGAGAACGAAGGAUUUUGGAGCUUUGACAUAGAGCAGACGUUCAGAUGAACAGACUGAGAUGUACAUAACAAAGGUCACAGGUAGCCAAAGCUACUGGCCAGUGGCUGGUCCAUGGGUAUGACUCAGCCAGUUGCUUGAAUAGCGGAGCAGUGAGAUGAUUAAAUGGAACCCUGCCACAUUUGGUUAGGCGCCAACGAGACAUGUCUAGUGAGUUGUUCUUUUUCUUUGAAAUUUAUUAAAUGAUCAAGUUCUUUACGAUUCGAAAUUAGAAAUAAGUUAAAGAAAGCAAUGUCAGGUAUGGCUGACAGUGCUUUGAAAGAUUUGGCCGAAGUGUCUAUAAGAGGCAAUCCUACGUAGCUCGUUUAUUGGUUAAGGAAAAUGCUUGUGUAUGUAGAUUAGCCACAUGAUUUGAGUUUGAUUCUUCGUACUAUUAAGCAUAAAUAAUUCCCUGUUUGAACUAUCCAGUCGAACUUAUUAAGCUUGUGUCUCACUUGGCAAUAAGAUUUAAAGGAGUAUUUCAAAGGCACAAAAUCUAUGUAAAUCUUGGUAUCCAUUUUCGUCAGAUAUGUUUUCUAGAGGCAUCUUAAUGUAAAUUGUCAGUGUUUAGCAUGGCAUGCUUUUCUAAGAGGUGAAUCAGAAAUUAUAUAUAAGGACUUAUUUAUUAACAUGCAUUUCUGGAGAAAAGUAAUUCCAAGACAGUGGUGCCUCUCACUCAACCUAUUCAAGAAAAAGCACAUGUGAGACAAUAAAGAAAAAAUCGACGUAGAAAUGGCGUUAUUUUUGCAGUUGAAGUUUGCUAAUGCUAUGUGCGUGCUUUGUUAACAUUAGGCUUAUUCUUAUGUGAACUUUGCAACUUAAAUUUCGAAAAUGAUAAGGAAAUGAUGAUAAGAAUUGGGGAUGAUGUGUGUUGAGAGGAUAUAAUAGAACCGCCAAAGGUAUGGGAUGGGUCGGUUAGAGAAAAAGUGCUAAACUAAGGUGAGAAUUUACUCUUUCGCCAUUCGUUUUAUGAGUAGAAGAAUGCUUAUACAAGGUUAAAAUUGGAAGGGACCUAAAUUGAGACCUAUCUCACUUUUCUCGUCAUCCUGUUAAAUUAGAAGACUAAACGUGGAGUGCGCUCCACGCACAAUUACGUCGGCUUGGGCUGGUGACACCAAUUGAAGUUCCAAAAAUAAAACAAUUCCCUCUUUAAAAAAAUGCAAAGCACACGUUAUUAUUAUUAUUAUUAUUUCUUUUUUGACAAUUGAUUAACUAUAUUUAGAUGGUGGGUUGUGAUGGUUAAUGGGGGUUUUCACUUUUAAGAGCUAAAAGACGAAAAUAGCCCGUGAAUUCAUUUAAAGAUAAUUCAAGUUGCUGUGAUCUUGAUUUUAAAGUGAUUUACGUUAAGAGACUCAAAGAGGAAUCACUCCCUUUAAGAAUAGUGUAUAGAUAAGUGUCAUAGGAUGAAUGUGGCAAGUAAUGCAGGAGACAAGCUAUGCAGGUGACAAAUGAUGCAUGUGGAAGUUAAACGCAGAAGGCCUUAGUACGUGACAAAGUGAAACUUAUCGCACACAAAAUAGGAAUUUUCAGAUAGUAUGGGCAGCUUUACAAGAAACCGAGUAUUGUCGACCAGAGGCAUUAGUAUAAAAGGGGUAUUCAGAGUCAAAAUCAGACACUCACAACACAACAGAGAGAUAAGAAUACUGUUUUGCUUUCGAGCGCGAGAACCGCGGAGUGAUGUCAAUAGCUCUCUCCGAUGGACUUAAGUUCGGCGCAAUCGAUCGACCCGGUUUUCAGUCAACAGUACCAAAAAUUAAGGAGACAUUGUUUUGUUUUGGUUAUUUGAAAGAGAUAAGAAUACUGUUUUCUACCUAAAGUAUUAAUUUUUUUUAGUCGACAUUUUCUUUUUAUUGUGUUUAAUUGGUUAUGGUAUGGGAAUCAACAAAUCGGUUUCAUGCGGACUUCGGGUUUUUGUGAAGUUGUAAGAAACUUCAAAAAGAGUUGAACAAGUAAAAAAGAGAGCAACGUCCACUAAUCUUAAUCUUAUUAAGAAGUGUCUAUGCGAGCCUAGACAAGAGAGGUUGGUAUACUACACUAAUAUCUUUGUGCUUAAUAUAUUAAUUUUAGUCUUUAUGCCUACGUAUGGCAUGAGUUCACCACUAAUUGACCCAUUCCUUUCUUUUUUGGGAUAAGUGCACUGGAAAUCCCAAAAUUUGUAAUAAAAGUACAAUUGAGUUCUACCUUUCAAAAAAUACAAUCACGUCCUAAAACUUAUCAUGAAAAUGAAUCAAGUUCUAAAAUUUUCAAAAAUUACAAUCAAAUUCUAAAACUUAUCAUGAAAGUUCAAUUAAGUCCUAGAAUUUUGAAAAAGUGCAAUCAACGAACGGGCAUCAUUAAACUAAUUUCACAAGUUUUAGGAUUUACAUGUGUAUUUUAAAAGUUUUAGGACUCAAUUACAUUUUCCUUAUAAGUGUUAGGACUUAAUGAUACUUUUUCGAAAUUUUAGAAUUCAAUUACAUUUUUGUCGGAGUUUUAAAACUUCUAAUGUACUAAUCCUUUUUUCUUUCACAAGACUUUUUGUUAGAAAGUUCCAAAUUGAAAGAAUUAACUAGUGAAAACCAAGAAUGGAAACAGUCACUAAAAUCCAGCUAAAAUCAUCAUCUCAUGCUAUCUUUCAUAAUUUUACUUAUACAUUAAUUUCUACUUUACAUUACAUAAGAGAGAAGUCUCUUAUAUAGAAAGGGGGUCCCAAACCUCAAACUUUUGUCAAAAGUUUCCACGCGAUACACAUACAUUUUACCAAAAUGACAUAUAGAAGUAAGAUAUAAAAUAGACAAAAUCAUAAAUUAAAUAGCCGAGAAAUUUGGAAAUUAGCCCAUAAAUAUGCCACAAUCAAAUUAAAAUUCCCUUACAUCUUACAAUCAAUUAAUUUGUUUCCUAAAAUAAUUAGCAUCUUUCAACAUUUAUUUUUGCUCCGACUGAUUCGACUUCUAGUCAAUUCAAACACCCCUAUAGUGAGCUCUUUUUGCUGAUGUUAAAAUAGUUAUUGAAUCAACAAAAGAAUGUGAUAUUGAAUCGUGUGAAUGAACUAGGGUUAGUAUCAAAUAAUGAAAUGACAUGAACAUUGACAAUUUAAGUAAAAGAUAAACGUAGUUUAAAAGUGGCUUCAUGCUGAAAAUUAUAGAACAAAUAAAAGGCAUCGAUAUAAUAAUAAGCAAAGGGCAUUGUCCCGAAAAAUAUAAAUAAAAUUAAACAACUUGGAGAGGAGAGAAAUGUUUAUUAGGAAAAGUCAAAAGGAAAAGACAACCGCAUGAAAGAAACAAAGAAAGAAAGAAAAAAAAAUCCCUCCUUAUCAUAACACCUAACAGGCUAACCUUAUCCAUGAGAUGAACAAGGUCAAUGCGAUAAACCUUAAAAAAAUGGUAAAAUUUUUCUAAUAUAAUUCAUAAAGGGAUUUUUACUAUCGUCUCUAUUAAAAGAAAGGAAGAGUGAAAGAGAGAUAAAACUAGUAGAGGGACGCGUGUCUAGAAUUUAAAAUAUAUAUAUAUAUAUAUAUAUAUAUAUAUAUAUAUCAAACAUUGGUUUUCAUAAGAUUGGCACCACAAUAUAUAUAUAUAUAUAUAUAUAUAUAUAUAUAUCAAACAUUGGUUUUCAUAAGAUUGGCACCACAAUAUAUAUAUAUAUAUAUAUAUAUAUAUAUAUAUAUAUCAAACAUUGGUUUUCAUAAGAUUGGCACCACAAUACAUACCGCCGUACUAGAAAGCAAGCACGUAUGCUAAACGUGAGAUAUUUUUUCAAUGUUACUGUUUUUGUUUAAUUUUUAGUUAUUUUAAUUGGCACUUAUUGCCAAUUGUUUUGUUAACCCGGAAAAUUUUAUUUAUCGGAUCUAUGAUGUUAUACUUCAUCUUUAUUCAAAAUUGAAGUCUUUCAGAUUAUCAAUAUUUUCGGCUAGAUAUGAAAAUUACAUGAUUAUAGUAAAUGAAAUUUUAGUGUAGAAUCAUAAUUAAAGGAUCUUAAAUUGAUUGUAAAUUAAAUAUUGGACAGAUGUAAUUUAUAUCAAUGAAUUUGAGCUAAAUAAUAUAACAUGUCAUCCUUAGAAUAUUUGUAAUCCAUAUCAGCUGUCACAGUUAAUCUAUGGAUAUGAAUCGAUGUUGACAUAGAAUUUUCCAUAAAAUGUGGGAGCGUUUGUCCAUAACAGAUAAAAGAUUAGAAAUUGAUCAAAUCAAUUAUAUAAAAAUAUGAGGACGGAAAAGAAAAGGGAGUGUCAUAUGUUACCUUCUUUUUCGUCAGUCCUUUGAAGGCUUCCUCGUCAACCCAUAGUCCGUUAUGUUUCAUGAGUGAUUGUCCUUUGUGGAAAAUGCUCCUUCCAAGAUCCCUCAGUUGAUCAUGCAUGCUUAAUUUACCAUCAUCUUCAAUUUUUAUCAAGCACCUCAGAUUCAACUCUUCAAUUCCUUGACUUGCAUAAAACUUAUAGUCGUCCCACAUGUACAUAGCAAAUUCAAUCUUUUUGUCAAUAAAGAAAUAGUCAAUAUCGAGGAAAAUCUCCUUAUUUUCAUAUUCUAAUGCAUCAUAACUUAUCUUCAAUAUGUUUUGGACGUCUCCAUAUGCUUGGUUUUUUAAUUGUCUCAGCAUAUCAUCCCAAACCUUUGGAUUUGUUUUUUUAUACAAGUAUGAACCUAUAACCUUAAGUGCCAAGGGAAGCCCACCAAGAAUGGAUAUGAUCUGACGAGAUAUAAUUGCAAAGUCACUUGAAGGAUGUUCCGUUCGAAAUGCAUGUUUGUUGAAUAAAAUGAAAGAAUGCACCUCAUUUAUCCUGCUCAUUUCAUGCUGGUAGUCUACCUCGAAUUUAGAUUGAUCAAGAACAAAUUUAUUUCUAGUUGUAACAAUUAUAAUACUUCCUGAAGCAAACCAGUAACCUCCUCUAGCCAAAGCAUCUAGCUGAUCCUUGUGAUCUAUAUCAUCCAAAAGAAUGAGAACCUUUUUCCUUGUGAAUCUAGAUUUGAUUAAGUGAAUUCCCCAAUCAACUGUAGACACUGCAUUUUUUUCUUGCAGUAUCUCAUAUAUUAGUUGACUCUGUAGAUACUUAAUACCGUGGCGCGAGGUCGUUUCUCGAAUAUCUGGAAGGAAGCAGACAUGAUCAAAUUUAUUCGAGAGUUGAUUGUAAAUGCACUUGGCAAGAGUUGUCUUGCCUAUCCCGCCCAUGCCAUAAAUUCCAAUCCUUCGAGCAUUGACGGAGGGACUAUCUAUGUGACUCAUAAUCUUCUUCAGCUGAUCAUCAAGUCCAACUAGUUCCUCCGCAACAAGUAGAGGAAAAUCUUUUCGUAACUCUCCUAGAAUAGUUUCGACAACACGUUCUAUCAAUUCUCCCUCAUGCCUGUCAAGCAACAAAAACAAUGAGAGACUCUGAACCUAGAGAUGGUCCAAGCAAAUCUUAUUCUUAUCAAGUCAGCCAGUCCCCGUUGGAGGUUGAUUUUAUUCGGUGGCGUUCAAGCUCUGGAAGAUUAAGCAUUGAUAUCCUUUGUGGGUGUAGUUUUUUUUAGUGAUCGAUAGUAUUGGCCGGACGGGUUGUCUUUUCUUUGUUUUUGGCUCUGCAGGGUAGACAAUUGUAAAAUUCUUGGGCGCCAUGGGAGAUUUGGUUUUAGCAGUUGCUGUUUAGCUUCCGGGGACAUUUUGGGGGAGUACUAGUUUUUGUUGUGUUUGGGCAUACUAUGAUUGUCCAUCGGGAUAUUUUGGGGAUUUCCUUGUGAGCAUAUAGUGGAAGUAGUUCAUCCAUAUUUCAUCGCUAUUGCAUGAAUAAGAAAACUUACUCAUAAAUAAUAAUAAUAAUAAUAAUAAUAAUAAUAAUAAUAAUAAUAAUAAUAAUAAUAAUAAUAAUAAUAAUAAAGUGGAAGAGAAGUACCCGCUAGCAAAUUCAUCGGAUUUCCAUCCAUGUAAGUUACUCACAUCUUUAAGUGCUUGUUGCCCUUCCUCAAUAUCUUUCUCAUCAAAAUGAUGCUUAUGCGAAUGGUAGGCCUCCCCAAAAUUUCUUUUCAGAUGCCGCACAUCCAAUGGGUCCACUUUGUAAAAAAUGGGCAAAACUAUAUGUGAAUUGCUCUUUUUGCAAUCCAUGAUAUGAAUAAGCUCACGGAGACACCAUUUGCUUGAAGCAUAAUGUCCAGAGAUGAUGGGAAUAGAAAUCUUAGAACAUGUGAUGGCAUCAAGAAACAUUGGACUAAAUUCCUCGCCAAUUCGGAUGCUGUUACAGUCCCUGAACACGCAGAUUCCUGCAGUACCGAGUCUGUGGUACAGGUGAUCGGUGAAUUCCUUUCGGGUAUCUGAGCCAUUAAAGCUCAAGAAUACGUCAUAUCGACUGCUACCUCCUUUAGUGGGUUUCGGAAGGAAGGAUGAAGGAGAGGAUGCUCCCUCAGUGCUCUCUUUUUCUUCCGCAACAAGCAUUGCUUUGUUUGCCUUGCUCAGGCUUUGCCCUUUCUCCAUGGAAGCCUGAUAGGCAAAAGUGAAGAGAGGGUGCCCUCCUGCUGCACAAAAUGAUCAAGACAAACAAAUGAAAAGGGUCGGAUGGAGAGCAUAUGCUUUUUGGGUGGAGAGCAUUUGCUUUAUGGACGAUUCCGAAUACAAAAUGUUCAACGAACGAGUCUACCUAAGUGGUUUCUAUUGAUUAAUCUAAUAUUGAAAGUUAUUGACUUGGAGCAGUGCAUCGCACAUUUUCUCUUUUUCAACGGCCCUCGGCUUUUAGAUGAGUGCACUUUUCCUAAUUGGGUAAAUUUUUCACCAAUCAUGUCUUUGAUCAGCGAAUUACAAGUUGUAGACGUUAAGUGACAUAAAAUUAAGUAAAGUGAAAAUAGUGAUGUUCAUAUUUUGUGAGACAUUAUUGAAUGCAUAUGAGUCAAAUGCAUCCCAAUCUUAGACAUGUGAUGUGAAAUACAGUAAUUUUAAGGAUUUAAAUAUAUUGAGCUCACAUGUAUUCAAAUCAUUUAAGAAUUUCUCUAUAGUGGUUCAACGUAACUAUUUAUUUGAAAUGAUUGUUAACAUUCAUAAAAUAUAGUACCAAAAUAUAAGUGGUCAAUCCAAAGAAAGAAAAAUUAAUAGAAAAGAUAAGUAAAUUUGUACGAAGUUAAAAAAAAAAUUUCUUUUUAGAAAUUAGGAACAUGAGGGAUGAAAAUAUAAACUCCCUCUCUCUCUCUAAGCACGUUCGCCAAUUCGCUGUCUCUCAACGAGAGUUAGUUCUACCCUAACCAUGGUAGCCUUCCGGGACCAUCCUCAAUAAAUGUGUCGUCCAUGCCUCUUUCCUGGCCCAUUGCUGGUGUUGACAGGGAGAGAUCCCUUCUUGGUCGGUCCUUAUAACUCAGAGCUCCCAUCUUUGACCGAAUCUACUUUUUUUUUUUUUAAAUCUUCUUUAUCACUCUUUCGUUUCCAUCUUCUGUAAAUCUGAACGGUAGUGAUCUUCUUGCUUUUUGAAAACUCACCGAAUCCCCUUUCGGUUUGAGCACGCGAGAAUCUUCUUGCACUGCUCUUUUUGUGCGCCCGUGAACUCCAACCCGCGGGGGCGAGGGAGAGCAUGUGAGAUAAGAGUGAACCGGGCGCAUGUACGCGAUAUGAGAGAUGAGAGGUAGGUUAGAUUAGAUGCAUGAGAUUAAGAUGAGUUAAAGGUUUUCUUAUUCCAAUUAAGCUUCCCUUAUCUCGUCCAAUCUUGAUCGAAUCUUGUAUCACGGUCAAUCUUGGUCAAAGCCAAACGGCAUCUUAAUUAGCAUUAGUUUUUUUCUUUUAAUUUAAAUUGGUUUUUCUUUUUCAAAAAGCAUCGCUUUGUUUGCCUGGCUCAGACUUUGCCCUUUCUCUAUGGCAGUUUGAUAGGCAAAAAUGAAGAGAGGAUACCUGCCUCCUGCAAAAAUAGAUUAUAAGAUAAAUAAAUGAAAGGGUUUAUUGGUCGAGUCUUUCUAGGCGGGUGUCUAUUGAUAAAUAUAAUAUUAAAAGUAAUGACUUGGAGCAGUGCUAUGCACAUGUUAUCUUUCCAAGGGGACUUACCUUUUAGAUGUGUGCACUUUGUUAACGGGAUGAAAUAAAAUUAACUUAAGUUAAAAUGGUGAUAUCCAUAUUUUAUCAGAUAUUCUUAAAUGCAUAUGAAUCCAAUGCAUUCCAACCUUAGAUGACGUGGAUUUUACGUGAGACCCAUCAAUAUCAAGGGUUCACAUGCAUUGAAUAUUUAUGCAGCAUUCGUCUAAGAAUUUCUUUAUAUUGGCUCCAGCCAUUUCUUUAAUCCGUGGUUCAAUGUAAGCAUCUAUUAAAAGCACAUGCAUAUAUCUUAUUUUUGCUAUCAUCGAGCGUUGAUUAUUGAUAUUCAUAGGUCUAGUACCAAAUAUCCGUAAUCCAUCAAAAAGAAAAAACUUAAUAGAAACCACAGGUAAUUUUCUAAGUCGCUUAAUAAAAAAUUUCUACUUAGGAAUUAGAAACAUGAGAGCCGAAAAUGUGAACUCUCUCACUGUCUCAGUCCGCCAUAGGGGUGUGCAUGGUCCGGGCGGGCGGUUCCCGACCUAGAACCGGGAACCCCCCGCUAAGGACCGGUUCCGAAAAAUUGGAACCGGGAUCCACCCAUUUGUUGCGUGGAUCCACCCGGGAACCGGAUCGCCGGUCCGGUCUGGUUCUCGGGUGGAUCCAUGGAACCGAUUUUGACGCGAAAUUUUUUUGGUUUUCAAUAUAAAACAAUUACGUGACAUCAAAGCAAGCUAAAAAAAGAAAAAUCAAAUUUAAGUACGUGGAACAAAGAUUUAUUUGUUGUAAUUAUAAAUGUAUCUCGUAGAUAAGAAAAAAUGCAAACAGAUGGAAUGCAACAUUCUCCCAUUUCCUACUUGUAAAUAACCAUAGAUGGUUAAAUUUUCUUUGACCAAAGGUAAAGGUUCCCUAGAGAGUGAGAUGAGAUGUAGGGUUUCUUUUAGUAAUUUUUUUUUUUAAUAUUAAAAAGGUUCCGGUCCGGUUCGGGUGGGCGGAUCCGCCCACGGAACCGGGAACCGGGAACCGGACCGGUUCCCUCAAGACCCACCGGUUCCGGGUGGUUCCGGUCCGGUUCCGGGCGGUCCGAGCGGAUCCCGAAUAUUUUGCACACUCCUAAUCCGCCACUUCGCUCUCUCUCAACCAGAGUUAGCUCUACCCUAACCAUGGUAACCGCCCAGGAACAUCCUCGAUAAAUGCGUCGCCCAUGUCUCUUUCCUGGCUCCGACCAAAAACAAAAACGUCUCUUUCCUGGCCCCAUUGCUGAUCGUGAAAGGCAGAAAAACCCUUCUUGGUUGGUCCUCAUCACUUCCCGCCCCCCAUCUUUGACCGAAUCUUCUGCACUUUUUAUUAUCUUCCCCAUCGCUCUUUCGCUUUUUAUCUUCUCUUAAUCUGAACGGUGCCGAUCUUCUUGCUUUUUGAAAACUCACCGAAUUGCUUUUCAGUUUGAGCACGCGAGAAUCUUCUCCUAUUCCCAUUUUAACUUUUGUUGAGCGAUUCUGAUCUUUUUUCCCUUGUUCAUCGAUCCUCCGUGCGUUCUUUCUGUGUGCCCGUGAACUCCAACCCGCAUGUGCGUGGGUGAGAAUGGGAGAUAAGAGUGAUCCGUGGGGAUGUACGGGAGAUGGGAGCUAGAUUGGAUCAGAUGCAUGAGAUUAGGAUGAGAUAGAGAUGAUCCCUAUUUCAACUAGGAUUAUUUAUCUUGGCCAACUUUGAUCAAAUCUUGGAUUCCAGUCAAUCUUAAUCAACCUUAGCCAAUCUUGGUCAUUUUUUGUCAGCCUAAUUGGCAUUAAUUUUUCAAUUUAAAUUAGUUUUUCUUCAAGCAACAAGCAUCGCUUUGUUCGCUUGGUUCAGACAUUGCUGUUUUUCCACGGAAGUCUGAUAGGCAAAAAUGAUGAGAGGAUAUCUUCCUGCUGCACAAAAAGAUCAAGAUAAACAAGUGAAAAGGCUAGUUGGAGAGCAUAUGCUUUUGGAGUGGAGAGCACGUGCAUUCUAAACAAUUCCGAAUACAAAAUGCUCAAGGAACGAGUCUUCCCAGGCGGGUCUCUAAGGACUCUUUCAAUAGUAGAAGUUAUUGACUUGGAGUAGCGCAAUGCACGUCUUCUCUUUUCAAUGGACCUCACCUUCUGGAUGCGUGUACUUUCCUAAUCGGAGGAAAUAUCCAUGAACUAUGUCUUUAAUUCACAUCACUUAUAUGUAAAAUAACUAAAGUUAAAACUGACUAUGCUCAUAAUUUGUGAGAUAUUUAUUUUUUGUGCAUAGGAGCUCAAUGCAUCCCAACCGUAAAAUAAUGUGGGUUUUUUUUUGGGUUCCACAAAUAUCAAUGAUUCAAAUGCACUGGGAUUACAUGCAUUCAAAUCAUCUAAUCUUUUUUUUUUUCAUAUUUGCUCCAACCAUGCCUUUGAUAUGUAGUUUAAUAUCAACAUCAAUUUGAAAGGACAUGCAAAUACUUUAUUAAGGGUGUUGAUUACUAACAUUUACAAAACCUAGUACCACAUAUCCGUAAUUAAUCAAAAAGGAAAAAAAAUUAAUAGAAACAAUAGUUAAAUUUGAAAGUCAUUGAAUAAGAAACUUUUAUUUAGAAAUAAGAAACAUGAAGAGACUAAGGCUGUGCAUGACAAUGCUUCUGUUCCAGGGAAGAUUUUUUUUUUUUUUUUUUUUCCGGAAAUAGUUCUUUUCUAUUUCUGCUCCGGGGAAUAAUUUCUGAGUAAAAGAACCCGUUUGGUAACGAUACAAAAUUUCUACUCUUGGAAUAGAAAAAGAAUAUAAAUGUGUUUGGUAACGCAAUAUUUUCUUUUUUGUAUUUGUUCAUUUUUUAUUCUUGCCGCCCACCGCUGGCCCGCCAGCCGCCACCACUGCAUGACCGCUGGCCGCCGACCGUCACCGCUGGCUGCCGACUGUCACCACCGACCGCCGCCGGAAGCCCAUCGGCUGUCGACGACCACCUGCUGACGGGUGGCGGGCGGCGACGGGCGGCAGCGACGUCGGGCAGCGACGGACGGUGGCGGCCGGCAACCGGCAGCGGCGACAACCGGCGGUGGCUCCAGGCAGUUGACGGUGAUCGCGACAAGAAAAGGAAAUAAAAGAAAAUUAAAAAAGAAAAUAAGCUUUCUAGAAAUUGUUCCCGGGAACAAGAAGCAACUUUUUUUUUGUUUCUCAAAACUGUUUCCAGAAACAAAAAAUUAGAGAAAUUGUUCCCGAUAAUAAAUAUUUUACCAAACAGGUUUCUGUUCUUUUUUUGUUCUGGAGAAUAAAAAAACAGAAAUUGGGAGAAAUAGGAGCGUUACCAUGCGCUACCUAAAGGUAAACUCCCUCCCUCCCUCUCUCUCUCUCUCUCUCUCUAAGCGUGUCUGCCAAUUCGCUCUCAAUGAGAGUUAGGUCCACCCUAACAAUGGCAGCCUUCCCGAGCCACACUCCCCAAAUGUUUCAUCCACGUCUCUUUCCUGGCCCUUAUGAAUGAUCGUUUUCUCUAUUUUUCUUUUAUUCUUCAUUUUAUAAACCUGCACUUAUACUCUACUAGUUUUAUAAAUUGCCCAUCGCCUUUCGAGUUUUCUCCUUUUUCUUAUUAUUGUCUACCGAAGCAGGUGUCUAUUGAUUAAUUUAACAUUGAAAGUUAUUGACUUGGAGCAGUGCAUUGCACAUUUUCUCUUUCCAAUGGGCCUCGGCUUUUAGAUGCGUGCACUUUCCUAAUUGGAUAAAUUUUCCACCAAUCAACUCUCUCUCUCAGUCCACUAAGGGCCUGCAUGGAAACACUCAUUGUUUAUGUUUAUGAAUUAUUUUUUUAUUUUUUUGUUCCUGGAACAAAAAAAGAACAGAAACGCGUUUGAUUACGUUUCUGUUCUUUUUUGGUUUUUUUUGUUCCCGGAACAAAAUUGGAACAAAAAAAAGAAACAAAAAAACUUACUUCUUAUUCUAGAAACGAUUUUGAAGAAACGCUUCUUCUUUUUUCUUUGGCCGGCGAUACCGUCGAGGGUCGGCGACCUCGCCGGAGCGUCACCGGCACCCGGCGAGGCCGAGCCUCGCCUUGGUUGGGCGAGCUCGGCCUCGCUGGAUCUAGGCGAGCUUGAGCUCGCCCAGCCAUGGCAAGGCGCCUCGCUCAGCCUCGCCGGAUCUGGGCGAGGCCGAGCUCGCCCAGCCAAGGCGAGGCUGCCGACCCCAUCGACCGGUCACCGGAGGCCGGUGACCGGCCGAAAGAAGAAAAAAUAAAAAAGAAAGGAAAAAAUGAAAAAUAAAAUAAAAAUAUUAAAAAAUUAAAAGAAACAAAAAAAGAAUAAAAUUUACCAAACAUGUUUCUAUUCAUUUUUUAUUCCCGGAACAAAUUUACCAAACGCAUUUUUCUGGUCAAAAAUUGUUCUCCGGAACAUAAAUACUUUUUUUUAUCUCUAUUCACUGGAACAAAAAAAGAACAAGAACAUUACCAUGCGGCCCCUAAUUCGCUCUCUCUCAACUAGAGUUAGCUCUUAUCCUAACCAUGGUAACCGACCAGGAACGUCCUCGAUGAAUACCCAUGUCUCUUUCCUGGCUCGGACCAAAAACAAGAACGUCUCUUUCCUGGCCCCAUUGCUGAUCGUGAAAGGCAGAAAAACCCUGCCUGGUUGGUCCUUGUCACUUCGAGCUCCCCAUCUUUGACCGAAUCUUCUGCAAUUUAUUAUCUUCCUCAUCGCUCUUUUGCUUUUUAUCUUUUCUAAAUCUGAACGGUGGUGAUCUUCUUGCUUUUUGAAAACUCACCGAAUUGCUUUUCGGUUCGAGCACGCGAGAAUCUUCUCCUAUUCCGAUUUUAACCUUUGUCGAGCGAUUAUGAUCUUUCUCCCGUUGCUUGUCGAUCCUCCAUGUCUUCUUGUUUUGUGCCCGUGAACUCCAGCCCGCAUGUGCGCGGGUGAGAAUGGGAGACGAGGGAUCCGUGUGCAUGUACGGGAGAUGGGAUCUAGAUUCAAGCAGAUGCAUGAGAUUAGGACGAGAUAGAGAUGAUCCUUAUUUCAACUAAGAUUAUUUAUCUUGACCAACUUUGAUCAAAUCUUGGAUUGCAGUCAAUCUUGAUCAACCUUGGCCAAUCUUGGUCAAUUUUUGUCAACCUAAUUGGCAGUAAUUUUUUAAUUUAAAUUAGUUUUUCUUCAAGCAACAAGCAUCGCUUUGUUCGCUUGGCUUAGACACUGCCCCUUUUCCAUGGAAGUCUGAUAGGUAAAAUGUUGAAAAUUUUCUAUAAUAUGGGUUUACAUUGAUUAAUUAAUUUUCUAUUUUAAAUUGUUGGGUUAAUAGAUAUUUUAAUAUUUGUUAAAUCUUAAGUAAUCUUAUUAAAUUGGAUUUUGACAUCUAUUAAUAACGAGUCUAAUUGAUCAGCAAAGUUCAAUUAAGUUCUAGAAUUUUGAAAAAGUGCAAUCAAGGAACGGGCGUCAUUAAACUAAUUUCACAAGUUUUAAGAUUUACAUGUACUUUUUGAAAGUUUUAGAACUCAAUUAUAUUUUCCUUAUAAGGUGUUAGGACUUAAUUAUACUUUUUCGAAAUUUUAGAAUUCAAUUACAUUUUUGUCGGAGUUUUAAAACUUCUAAUGCACUUAUCCAUAGUUAUCCCAUGCGUUCGGUGUACAUCUUACUUGCACAACCAAGUGCAAAUUGGGUAUUUCGUGUUAUUUUCUUUAACAUUAACUACUCACAUCAUCCGUUUUUCAAUCCGAUGUUAGCUAGCGAUUGAAGUGUAUCCUCAAAUUCACAAAAGAACCAAAGUAAUGAAAACCAUUACGAAUAUAUACGAUAAUGACAUUGACAUUGACAUUGACGACAAAAACUUAUUAAAAGCCACUCAACUAAAAAAAGGAGGACCCCAUAAAAUACAUGCAUUCAAAACAUCUAAUUUUUUUUUUUCAUAUUUGCUCCAUCCAUGCCUUUGAUAAGUAAUUUAAUAUCAACAUCAAUUUGAAAGGACAUGCAAAUACUUUAUUAAGGGUGUUGAUUACUGACGUUUACAAAACCUAGUACUAGAUAUCCGUAAUUAAUCAAAAAGGAAAAAAAAUUAAUAGAAACAAUAGUUAAAUUUGAAAGUCAUUAAAUAAGAAACUUUUAUUUAGAAAUAAGAAACGUGAAGAGAUUAAAGGUAAUCUCUCUCUCUCUCUCUCUCUCUAAGUGUCCGCCAAUUCGCUCUCAAUGAGAGUUAGGUCUACCCUAACAAUGGCAGCAUCUAUUUGAAAUGACCGUUGAUAUUCAUAAAAUCUAGUAUCAGAAAAAUUAAUAGAAACGACAAGUAAAUUGGUAUGUACAGCAUCUAUUUGAAAUGACCGUUGAUAUUCAUAAAAUCUAGUAUCAGAAAAAUUAAUAGAAACGACAAGUAAAUUGGUAUGUAGUUAAAUAAAUUUUUUUAUUAAGGAAUGAGAAAAAAGGUCUACUCUGUCUCUUUCAGUCUGCUAAUUUGCUCUCUCUCUCAACUAGGGGCGCGUUUGUUUCGUGGAAUACAUUUUCAGAGAAAACAUUUUCCUCAUUUUCCGGCGUUUGGGUCGCUCAGAAAAAUGAGUCAACGAAAAAUGUUUUCCUAGUCAAUAAAAAAUAUUUUCCUAACAAAGCUUAAAUUCAGGAAAAUGAUUUUCCAUUUGAAAGGAUCAGAAAAGGUUUUCUGAAUCUAUCAAAACUUAGAUUUGAUGCUUAAUUUACAAACAAUUAUUCUUAUAAAAAUAUAUUUUAAAAAAUUGAAUUUGAUUUUUUUUAAAAAAUUAAAAUUUGGAAAAAAUUUUAUAAAUGAAAAUAAAAAAUUCGAAUUUGCUUAUUUUUCUUUUUCUUUCUUGCUUUUUCUUUUUGCUUCUUCUUCACCUAUCACCGGCCACAAGGACGGCCAGUGAGCCUUGAUCUCACCAAAUUGAGCGAUCUCAUGGCCUUCGACAACAAGGCUUGAGCUUACCCGGGCCGAUGAGCCUUAAGCCUUGCUAAAUCGAGUGAGCUCGUCUCAAGCCUCGCCAGAUUGGGCAAGCUUGCAGCCUCUAGCGGCCAGCUGGCAAGCUCGCCGCUGGAGCUCGCCCCUUAUUUUUUAAAAGAAAGAAAAGAAAAAAUAGAGAAUAAAAGUAAAUAAAAAACAACAAUAUUAAAAAUUUAAAGUUUUUUAAAUUAAAAAUUUAUUUUUUCUAUGAUGAAGUGUGAAAUUAUUUUUAUGGGAUCAAAAUGACAGAAAAUAUUUUCAAUUAUACAUCACCAAAUAAAAGAAAAUAAAUUAUAUUCUUGAAAAAUACUUUUUUUCGAGAAAAAAUAUUUUUCUUUAUCAUUAAAUUUUUGGUGAAAUAAACGCACUCUAGAGUUAACUCUUCUCCUAACCAUGGUAACCGACCAGGAACGUCCUCGAUGAAUACCCAUGUCUCUUUCCUAGCUCGGACCAAAAACAAGAACGUCUAUUUCCUGGCCCCAUUGCUGAUCGUGAAAGGCAGAAAAACCCUGCCUAGUUGGUCCUUGUCACUUCGAGCUCCCCAUCUUUGACCGAAUCUUCUGCAAUUUUAUUAUCUUCCUCAUCGCUCUUUUGCUUUUUAUCUUCUCUAAAUCUGAAAGGUGGUGAUCUUCUUGCUUUUUGAAAACUCACCGAAUUGCUUUUCGGUUCGAGCACGCGAGAAUCUUCUCCUAUUCCGAUGAUAACUUUUGUCGAGCGGUUCUGAUCUUUUUCUCGUUGCUUGUCGAUCCUCCGUGUCUUCUUUUUGUGUGCCCGUGAACUCCAGCCCGCAUGUGCGCGGGUGAGAAUGGGAGACAAGAGGGAUCCGUGUGCAUGUACGGGAGAUGGGAUCUAGAUUGGAACAGAUGCAUGAGAUUAGGGCGAGAUAGAGAUGAUCCUUAUUUCAAGUAGGAUUAUUUAUCUUGACCAACUUUGAUCAAAUCUUGGAUUUCAGUCAAUCUUGAUCGAACUUGGCCAAUCUUGGUCAAUUUUUGUCAACCUAAUUGGCAGCAAUUUUUUAAUUUAAAUUAGUUUUUCUUCAAGCAACAAGCAUCGCUUUGUCCACUUGGUUCAGACAUUGCCCUUUUUCCAUGGAAGUUUGAUAGGCAAAAUAUUGGAAAUUUUUUAUAAUAUGGGCUUAGAUUAAUUAAUUGAUUUUCUAUUUUAGAUAAUUGAAUUAAUGGAUAUUACAAUAUUUGUUAGACCCUUAAGUGAUUUUAUUGAAUUAGAUUUUGGCAUCUAUUAAUAAUAAGCUUAGUUGAGCAGCAAAGUAUAGGCAAUUAUGUUUAACCGAAAUGCAUAAUAGGAGGGGUCCAGUCGACACCAUAUUGAUUAUGGUUUGCUAGAUCUCCUCUCUAGCCCAUAAAGAUAUAGGUUAUACCUAUGCUUAAUUCCAUUGAAAACUGUUAUACUGAAAUAGGUCAUAGAAAUAAAAAUCUAGUAUUUCAAAAGAUCUCUGAUUAUCAAAGUGAUCUAUUUUUUGUUUCAAGUGAAGCAAUGGUUCAAAUAAGUACGCUUUAAUUCCCCUGUUUUAUUGAUCUCGGUGUUUUACAGUUAUAUAUGGAUUCGAUUCUUCUUGAUUAAUUAGUUGUUUAUGUGGAUAAAUUUUCUACAUGUAGUAUCAGAGCAUGUCAUAUAUGAUUAUAGAACCCAAAAUUUUUUUUAUGGACAAAUUCGAAUUUUUUCUUUUUUAGUUGAAUAUGGGCGUUAUUUUUUCAUGUGGAUUUUUUUUAUUGAUCCUGAAACCAUAGGAUUUUUUUUCUACAUGUCGAGAUCUUUCCAUCCAUAUAUAAUUUGUAUAAUUUCGUUGAGAAUUGAGUGAGAAUUUCGAAUUUAAAAUUAUAUACACUUUGAAAAGUUCUAGAAUUUUUAAAUUACUUGUAAUUGAUUGCCGUUCUUUAUAAAUUGUUGCAUAUAUAUCUUUUUAUUGCAUUAAGAUAAGUUUUUUGGAUUUAAACAUGAGAAAUUCGAAAUUUGGCCAUGGGAGGCUUAGAUCCGAAAUUUUGAAGCUUGUACAUGAAAGAUUUACUCGUUUUUUCUUCAUUUAAUUCACUCUAAUCAAUUUAUAAUGAUGUUAUAAGUAAGACCCAUAAAUAUAUUUCAAGAAAAAUCAACUUAAUGGGUGUUUUUUUGUGUGUUCCAGGUCAAAACCGGGUCGUGUGACCGGGUUUUGAAGGGUUUUGGGACCCGGCUGGAGGUUGAAGAAGACCUCUAGCUAGGCUUGGGCUAAAAUAUGGGCUUUCACCCAUAUUCUAUUUCAAUUUCCAAGCCUGAGCCAAAAUGUUUGUAUUCUGAUUUUGGGCUACGCCCAUAAUCAUGAGCUUAAAUAAUGGGCAUAAGCCCAUUUUAUUUAUUCUUUUUCGUGUGGGCCUAUAGUCUAAUCUUGGGCCAUUUUAAUUAAAAGAAGGAUGGGCCCAUUCCAAGCAUCCGCAUGCGCUCUUGCGGGCCUGUAGGCCGGGCGAAGGUCAGGGCUCACGGGAGGGUCUGAAACAUUAAAAUAAAAAAAAUAGAAUUUAAAAAGAAAAUUGUGGCAAAAAUUGUUGCUUGAUAAAUGCAAUAUGAUCUUGGGAAGCACGUUGUAAAGUUCUUCAUAUUAUUCGAUGAAUUUUAGGCAUAAAUUUUUUGGAGUUCUCUAUUAAUAAAAAUUAGUAUAUACAAUAACUCACCCAAAGGGGGUUAUUGUGUAUAUUAAUUUGGAAAAUAGCAAGAAGAUUAAUUCCCAAAUUUAAAAGAUGGAGAUGUAUAAUUGAAAAAUAUUUAUCUACUCAAAGGGGAUAAAUAUUUUGAAAAUUAUAUGUAAUUCUCCUCUAUAUUGAUAUUAUGGAGAUGUAUAAUUUAAAGGAUUUGCCUGCCCAAAGGGGAUGGAUUCUUGACAAUUAUAUGUAAUUCUCCUUGUUGUUGUUUUAUAAACUUCAUGCUAUGGAAAAUAAUUGUGCAUUAUACACUCUGCCCAAAGAGGAGUUUACAAUGCACUAAUUAUUUUUGUUAAAUUGCUUAUUGCCCAUAAUUGAUCUUAUUGCAUUAUGUGUGACAAACAGUUACCUUCGCUAUAAAUAACAAUAAUGCCACGGUUGAAAUGUUAACUCGAUCAAACUUCAAGAGAUGGAAGCAAAAUAUAGAGUUUGUUUUGGGCAUCGUGGAUAUGGACUUGACUCUAUGUGAGGAUGAACCUUCUAAGCCUAAUGAUAAAAGUACUGUAGAUCAAAAGGAAAGCUUCAUUGUUAUGAAGAGGUCCAUUGUUGAGAAUCUCAUCAGUGGUUUGUCGAAAGAUACGAAUGCCAGACAGUUCCUUGAAACAGUGGGAGAAAGAUAUAGAGUCUCAGAUAGGCUGAAGUUGGAAACUUGCUAAGUGAGUUAAUGAACAUGAGGUAUAAUGCUGCUAUGGGUGUUAGAGAAUUUAUACUGAAGAUGAUUCGCAUUCAGUCCAAACUUAAGGCCCAUGAAAUUGUUCUUUCUGAAAAUUAUAUUGUAUAUCACGCCUUAAAUGUUCUGCCAACUAAUGAAUUUAGCCAGACUAAGAUUGCUUAUAGCGCUCAGAAUGAGACAUGGAGCGUUAAUGCCUUAAUUACCAAAUGUGUGAUUGAAAAGACAAGUUAAAGAAUGAGAAGUAUGAGUUCGCCUAUUUAAUUGCUAAUACCAAGUUAAAUUCAUCUAGAGGAAAAUGGAAGCCUAAAGGGUCAAAUGCUCAUGGUCCAAAGAAAUACCAAGACUUCAAGAAAAAUGGGAAUCCUGGGAGAAAUUGAGAUAGGAUUUCAAGUGUUUUCACUUCAAGAAGCAAGGUCACAAGAGAACUAAUUGCUAUAAGUUCCAAGAUUGGCUAAAAGCAAGAAAAGAAAAUCACUAAGGUGAGUUGGUUUGUUUUGAAUCAAAUCUGGUUGAUGUUCCUUUGGAUUCUCAGUGGCUUGAUUCCGGUACUACUAUUCAUGUGACUACUACCUUACAAGGUCUCACAAAUCUAAGGAAUCCAAACAUGAGGGAGUCAAAGCUUAAAGUUGGAAACGAUAUUGGAGUUGAAAUGGAGUGCAUAGGAACAGUUGUUUUGAAUUUAGAUUCUGGUUUUCACCUUAUUUUGAAUAGUGUCUUUUAUGUUCUUAGUUUUAGGAGAAACUUGAUAUCUCUUUUUUUGCUUGACAAAGUUGGAUAUUGUCUUUUUUUGCCAGUAAAAGAGUGGAUUUGAGUUAUGAUUUCAAAAUUAUUGGGAAUUGUGUUCUGUCUGAUGGAUUAUAUCGAUUAUCCUUAUCUCCCGAGAAACCAUAUUGUUCUUUCAAUGUCGAGAAUAAUGUUGCUAAGAGAUCUUUAGUCAAAGAAAGAUCUAUAUUGCUAUGUCAUAAGUAAUUAGGGUAUAUCUCCAAAGAAAGGGUAAAGCGACUCAUCAAAGCUUAUAUCUUCCUCCUCUUGACUCAGAUGAUAAUGGGACUUGUGUCAAUUGUGUAAGGGGAAAAUUGACUAAAACCAAAAAGAAAAGCGCUACUUGCAGUCAAAAUCUAUUAGAGAUACUUCAUACGGAUAUUAGUGGGCCAUACUCAACCAACUUGUGUGGAAAUAAAUAUUUCAUCACAUUCAUUGAUGAUUUCUCCCGUUAUUAUUAUGUUUAUUUAAUUAGAGAGAAAAUUUAUGCUCUUAAAAUGUUCAAAGUGUUUCAUAUUGAAGUUGAGAAACAAUUAGGAAAAAUUAUUAAGAUUGUUAGAUUUGAUCAAUGUGGUGAAUAUUAUGGGCGAUAUAUCAAAACUGGACAACAAAUGGGACCGUUUGCUAAAUAUUUGUAGGACUGUGGUAUUGUCGCUCAAUAUACAAUGCCUAGUAGUCUUGAAUAGAAUGGUGUAGCUAAAUGAUGUAAUCGCACACUCAUAAAGAUGAAACGAAAUAUGAUGGACAAUUCUAAUUUACCUGAAUACUUAUGGGGUGAUGCAAUUAAAACAACAACUUAUAUAUUCAAUCAUGUACCUAGUAAAUCGGUACCGAAAACACCUCAUGAAUUGUGGACAAGGAGGAAACCAAGCUUGAUUCAUUUCCGAGUGUGGGGGUGUCUUACAGAGGUGAAAAUUUAUGAUAUUUCUCAGAAGAAGACUAGAUCCAAGAUUACUAGAUGUUACUUUAUUGGAUACCCUGCCCAUUCUAAAGGGUAUAGGUUUUAUUGUCCUACUCGUGUCACUAGAAUCGUUGAAUCCCAAAUUGCAAAAUUCCUGGAAUUAGAUGUUGCUAAAAAGAGUUCUUCUCAAUCUUUCGAGAGGGAAGACCCAAACAAAACGGUCUCUAUUCCAUUGCCCAUCUUAAAUGAUGAUUCUAUGCGAGAGCCCUACAAAGUGGAAAUUCAACAAUUGGUUGCAAAUGGGUAUUCAAAACCAAGAAAGACAAUAAAGGCAACAUAGAGAGAUUUAAGGCAAGCUUAGUCGCAAAAUGGUACACAUAGAGAGAAUGCAUUGAUUAUUGUCGCGACCUACCCCUCGAGGGAGGGAAUAGAUUUAGGGGUAUCACCUAAAGGAAUGACCUAAGGCCAAUGAUUAGGUUCGGGUUCUCUCAAGCCCAUACCCCACGUGACAUUGGGAUUUUUUAAGGAAUUUUGCACAAAAUGAGUCACCACUAACCUAUUGGAGUCGGCUAAAAACCAAGUGAUGUAUGAAAGUGUAACUCACUUCCUACACAACCAGAUAAUCUAGGGUCGGGGACUUGAUUACACUAAUUGACCAAUUAGUGUCCUUUCGGUACCUAAUCUUGUUCAUUUUAAAAGAAAAUAUUUUUGUCAGGCAGUUUGGAUUAAUUUUAUACUUAUCCACUAACAUGUGAGGUGAUCACGCGGGUGCGCAAUUAUUAAAGUAACAAUCAUAGCUACCAAAAUCAUAAUUGCAGUAAAAUAAAACACGUGUAAUUAAACAUAAUUAAAUAUGCAAAUUAAACAUACGAUAUAAUCAAAAUCGAGCAAAUAGAGAUCUAAUUACACUAAGAAUGCAAAACAUAGCAAUUCCUAACCAAACCCUAUAUUUUUGGAUUUUUCGAAAUUUUUUAUUUUUUUUAAAAAAGAAAACUAAUUUUUCAACUUUUAAAAUUUUUUAAUAUAUACAUAUAUAUAUAUAUAUAUUUCUUUUUUUUGCCUGGGUCGGGUUGAUGCGGGUCGGGUCCGAACUGGGUUUGGUCCGGUAGGCUUGGGUGGGCUCGAAGCAUGGGCCCAACCCAAGAGGUCCCCUCCUCUCUUUUUAAAAUGAACCAGGCCCACAAGCAAAAACAGCCCAAACCCGGCCCGAAUUACUAGAAAACCUACCCAUUUCAUGACCCAUGCCCGACCCGAUUUUUCGUCGAAACCCUAAGGCUUCUUGGCUAUGCUGAUGAUUACGGCAACGAGCUUGACGAUGGUGGUGACACAGCGAGUGGCAGUGGCGACGCAGCAGGUGGCGGCGGAGGGCAGUGGCGGCAUCGCAGCUUCAAGCUGUAGGCGUCGCAGGGGCAGUGAUGGUGUGGCGAGGGCUGCAAUGGCAACGGCGUCCGAAGGGCAACGACGGCGUCUUAGCUUCAGGCUGCAGGCGUCACGGGGGUAGCGGUGGCGCGAUUUGAAGGGGUUGGACUAUUGGCGUCACAGUAGCAGCGGUGGCACGAUGAGGGUUGCAGAGGCGAUGGCGUCCGAAGCUAGAAGGCGGCGGCUCAAAUGGCGUCAGGGUCGGAGGGCGGCGGCUUGGACGCCUCUUCCCUCCUCGGAUCCUACCUUCUGCUCUUUUUUUUUUUUUUUUUUUUCGCACUCUGCUCCUCUCUACUCUCGUUUGGUCUCUGUUUCCCCCCAGUCCUCUUUCUCCAUCCACUUCAGAUCUAGGUUCCGGGGAAGACGGCAGUGAACGGCGUCGAUUGGGUGGCUCGCCGGCGACAGUGGUGGUGGCUCAAAGGUUCCUUCUCCUCCUACUCGCGUGCCCCCCUCUUUCUCUUGCUCCCUCUCCCUAAUUUCCCUCAAUCUUGAGCUCCCCCUCUUUCCUUCCUCCCUCUGCAAUUGCUGCUUUUUCUCUCUUUGUCAAUCUGUUCUGCCUAUUUCUAGGUUCCCCCUCCCUAGGGUUUCACGUGUGAAGAUGGGUAGAGAAGGGAGAAGCUCGACGCGGGCUGGGCCAAGGGGAGAGAGGAAAGGAGGAAGGCUGGGUUGGGCCAAGGCCAGAUUUGGCCCGACCUGGCCCCCUCGCAUCCCCCUUCUUUUUCAUUUUUUUAAAUUUUAAUUAAUUAAAUUUUUUAAUUUCUUUUUAUAUGCACUUGAAAAUUAGGUGUCAAUAAUUAUACAUAAGUUUUUUCUUCAGUGUCCACUAUAGACUCUUUUUGGAUAAUCAUGGCAUUGGUGGAUCAUUUUGAUUUAGAGCUUCACUAAAUGGAUGUCAAGAUAGCUUUUUUAAAUGGAGAUAUGGAUGAACAAGUGUAUAUGCAACAACCUGAACAGUUUAAAGAAGCCGAAAAAGAGCAUAUGAUGUGCAAACUUCAGAGGUCUAUCUAUGGUCUCAAACAAGCAUCACGUCAAUGGUACUUGAAAUUUCACAAAGUUGUGAAAUCAUUUGGCUUUAAAGAAAACAAGUUUGAUCAAUGCAUCUACAUAAAAUUAAAUGGGAGUAAAUAUAUUUUCUUAGUAAUUUAUGUAGAUGACAUUUUGCUUGCUAGUAGAGAUGUUGAUCUAUUGAAUGAUAAAAAGUUUUUUUUAUCUACAAAGUUUGAUCCGAAAGAUCUUGGAGAAACCUCUUUUGUUCUAGGCAUUGAGAUUCAUCGUGACAAAUCUAAGAAGGUUUUGGAGUUAUCUUAGAAAAUUUAUAUAGAUCGUGUUUAAAAGAUCAUAUGUAAACUUGCAAGUCAAGUGAAGCUCCUNNNNNNNNNNNNNNNNNNNNNNNNNNNNNNNNNNNNNNNNNNNNNNNNNNNNNNNNNNNNNNNNNNNNNNNNNNNNNNNNNNNNNNNNNNNNNNNNNNNNACGUAAUAUUGCUUUUGCUGUGAAUACUCUUGAAAGAUAUCAGUCAAAUCCAAGUCAUGAACAUCGGGUUGCAGCUAAAAAGGUGAUGAGAUAUCUACAACGGACAAAAGACUUCAUGCUUGUGUAUAGCAGAGUAGAGGACCUAAAGGUGAUUGGAUAUUCAAAUAUUGAUUUUGCUAGUUGUUCGGAUGACAGAAAAUCAACUUAUGGAUAUAUUUUUAUGAUGGCUGGAGGUGCUAUUUCUUGGAAGAGUACAAAACAAACCUUAAUUACAAACUCUACAAUGUAUGCUAAGUUUGUAGCGUGUUACGGCAUGUCAAUUCAACUUGUUUAGCUCAGAAAUUUGAUCUCAGAAAAUUGCAAGUUAUGAACUCUAUUGCUAGACCUAUGAUGAUCUACUGUGGCAACACUGCAACUAUGUUUUAUUCCAAAAAUGACAAGAUUAGCAAUGCAUUCAAACACAUGAAGAUCAAAUAUUAUACCGUUAAGGACCUGGUCAAAAAAGGAGACAUUAUGAUCGAGAAUAUUAGAACUGAGCCCAUGUUAGCUAAUCCUAUAACAAAAAGCUUACGACCCAUUUUGUUUAAAGAACAUGUAAAGAAUAUUGAUAUUUUAGAUUCUUUUGAUUUCUUUUGUUAGUGUGAGCUAUAUAAUUUAUAUUUCUAGAUACUAUAGUUAUAUGCAAACUGAAAAUGCUUUCAUGAUAUCUAUUAAAGCAUUUAUUUUCAAUGAUCAUUAUUGUUGAUUAUAUUAUUAUCAUUUCUCCCAUUCGCUGAGAAAUGGAAGUAUAAAACAAUAUCUUUAAAUAAAUUUUAAUUUAAAGAUGAUUGGAUGUCACUAAUGAUAAGAUCUCAUGUUGGAUUGUGACAUAGUUGUGCAAUUUCAUGUUGUUUAGAAAUUGCGUUAAUGCAGUUUCAUGUCGCUAAAAAAUUGCAUUGAGGACUGAUAAGAAAUAAUAUAUAUUUUGAUCACAUGUUGGCACUAUAAUGCUUAUUAUAUGUGAUUAUGGAAGGUCAUGUGUUAUGGUAUUUUCUUAACACAUUGAUCGUCAUAGUCCUAUACUAAGGUUAUACAUGAUUCGAUUGAUUUUAAGAUGCCGUUAUUGAAAUAUUAUUUUUUUAAAUUGUGGCCACAUAAAAUAAAAAUUUUAGUUGUUAACCUGAUAGUGUUGUUUUCAACAUAAAAUCUUUUUCAAAAAUAAAAAAUAAGUUAAUUAAUGUAGCACAAGUGGGAGAAUAUUGGAAAUUUUCUAUAAUAUGAGCUUAUAUUAAUUAAUUGAUUUUCUAUUUUAAAUAAUUAGGUUAAUGGAUAUUUCAAUAUUUGUUAAAUCCUUAAGUGAUUUUAUUGAACUGGGUUUUGGCAUCUAUUAAUAACGGGCAUAGUUGAGUAGCGAAGUGUAGGCAAUUGUGUUUAACUGAAACCCGUAAUGAAAUGGGCCCAGUUGACAUGCUAUAAAUUAGAGUUUGAUAGGUCCCCUUUCUAGCCUAUAAAAAUGUAUGUUAUAUCUAUUAGUUACUUAAUCCCAUUGAAAGCUACUAUACUGAAAUAUGUCGUAGAAAGAAAAAUCUGGCAUUUCAAUAGAUCUCUAAUUAUCAGAGUGAUCUAUUUUUCUUUUUCUUCAAGUGAAGUAAUGACUCAAACAGGUACACUUUAAUUCCGCUAUAUUUAUUGAUCUCGAUAUUUUACAGUUAUGUAUGGAUCAAUUCUUUUUGAUUAAUUGGUUGUUUAUGUGAAUAAAUUUUCUACAAAAAAUGAAGAGAGGGUGGCAUCCUAACAUUUCCGAGUACAAAUGCUCAAGGAAUGAAUCUUCCGAGGCAGUCUCUAAGACUAAUUCAUAUUAGAAGUUAUGACUUGAGUAGCGCAUGCACAUCUGCUCUUUCAUGGACUUCACAUUCUAGAUGCAUGUACUUUCCUAAUUGGAGGAAAUNNNNNNNNNNNNNNNNNNNNNNNNNNNNNNNNNNNNNNNNNNNNNNNNNNNNNNNNNNNNNNNNNNNNNNNNNNNNNNNNNNNNNNNNNNNNNNNNNNNNNNNNNNNNNNNNNNNNNNNNNNNNNNNNNNNNNNNNNNNNNNNNNNNNNNNNNNNNNNNNNNNNNNNNNNNNNNNNNNNNNNNNNNNNNNNNNNNNNNNNNNNNNNNNNNNNNNNNNNNNNNNNNNNNNNNNNNNNNNNNNNNNNNNNNNNNNNNNNNNNNNNNNNNNNNNNNNNNNNNNNNNNNNNNNNNNNNNNNNNNNNNNNNNNNNNNNNNNNNNNNNNNNNNNNNNNNNNNNNNNNNNNNNNNNNNNNNNNNNNNNNNNNNNNNNNNNNNNNNNNNNNNNNNNNNNNNNNNNNNNNNNNNNNNNNNNNNNNNNNNNNNNNNNNNNNNNNNNNNNNNNNNNNNNNNNNNNNNNNNNNNNNNNNNNNNNNNNNNNNNNNNNNNNNNNNNNNNNNNNNNNNNNNNNNNNNNNNNNNNNNNNNNNNNNNNNNNNNNNNNNNNNNNNNNNNNNNNNNNNNNNNNNNNNNNNNNNNNNNNNNNNNNNNNNNNNNNNNNNNNNNNNNNNNNNNNNNNNNNNNNNNNNNNNNNNNNNNNNNNNNNNNNNNNNNNNNNNNNNNNNNNNNNNNNNNNNNNNNNNNNNNNNNNNNNNNNNNNNNNNNNUAAAUUAAUUUAUUUAAAUUCAUAAAUAAAUAAAUAAUAAAAUAGAGCCUAAAAUGAAUCUAUACUAAUAACAUUAAUAAAUUUAUUCAUAAAAAAUUGGAAAGACAUUUUUUUGACUUUAACAAAGAGUUAUUGAUGAAUAAAUAACUAACAAGAGAUUAGAGUCAAAAUAAAUUUAUAUUUUUCUACGAUGAUCAAAAUUUAUCAUUAUUUAACAUCUAGUACUUUUAUUUUUCGAAAUAACUUUUUAACCCACCUAUUUAUUUAUUUUUUAGCCUUACCAUUUAUUAAUAAAUUUAUUUAACAUUCGAUUUUUUUGGGGGGCUAAAUGGGUCCCACCCAUUUAUUUCACCCUCUCCUUUCUUCCCCCACCCCCACCCACCGCCUAUGCUUGUCACUUCCCAAAAUUGAAGUCAUAUUGCAUGAGGCUUUCGUUUCUUCCCCAUAAGCUGUUAUCUCCUCUCCUUGCUCUUCUUCCUAAAACUGAAAAAGCAACCUCAAUAAAGUAACAGCCCAAAAACCCUAGCAGUCGCCUUCUCCUCUCCCUUGCUCGGUCUCUACCUCUUGAUCUUUGCUCUCUUUCGAGCGCCUCAUCAUAAUCGCUUGCCGCUGCCUCGCCUCCAUUCCCCCCUUUGCCGUUGUAACCUCGCGUCCAACCCUCCAUUGCGACAUUGUAGUUCUCCAUCUUGACGUUGCAGUCGGUGAUCGCAGCNNNNNNNNNNNNNNNNNNNNNNNNNNNNNNNNNNNNNNNNNNNNNNNNNNNNNNNNNNNNNNNNNNNNNNNNNNNNNNNNNNNNNNNNNNNNNNNNNNNNGUUCCACGAAAUCAAGGAUUCAAAUGCAUUGGGAUUCUAUGCAUUCAAAUCAUCUAAUUUUUUUUCAUAUUUGCUCCAACCAUGCCUUUGAUAAGUAGUUUAAUAUCAACAUCAAUUUGAAAGGACAUGCAAAUACUUUAUUUAGGGUGUUGACUACUGAUGUUUACAAAACUUAGUACCAGAUAUCCGUAAUUAAUCAAAAAGGGAAAAAAAAAAUCAAUAGAAACAACAGUUAAAUUUGGAAGUCAUUGAAUAAGAAACUUUUUAUUUAGAAAUAAGAAACAUGAAGAGAUUAAAGGUAAACUCUCUCUCUCUCUCUCUCUCUCUCUAAGCGUGUCCGCCAAUUCGCUCUCAAUGAGAGUUAGGUCUACCCUAACAAUGGCAGCCUUCCCGAGCCACACUCCCCAAAUGUUUCAUCCACGUCUCUUUCCUGCCCCCCAAUGAUCGUUUUCUCUAUUUUUCUUUUAUUCUUCAUUUUAUAAACCUGCAUUUAUACUCUACUCGUAUUAUAAAUUGCCCAUCGCCUUUCGAGUUUUCUCCUUUUCUAGUUCUCCCCCCCCCCCCCCCCCCCCAACCCAACAGCCAAAAUGUUACACAACAUAGGAGAUCGCUGUUCUGAAGAUUGUGGAAAAUUUGGACUUAUAUUAAAUCAGGAUUGCCAAUCGUAAGAAUAGGCAAAACCUGUCAAAUUAAUUCAAAGGUAAGAAAUUAAAAUUGAAGAUCAGAUUCUGGCAGAGAAUACAAGCUGGCUUUCUCAAUGAUCAUGGCAAUUAAAAUAAAAUCAGCAAAAAAUCGGCGCACUGUCCGGGAUCAGGGAAAGAUAAAUCAAGCGGAAGUAUGAUAAGAGGAAAGGGGCUGAAGAUAACAAUAGAGAAGAAAAAGGCAGAUUCGAAGGAUGAUAGUGUCGUGGGUGGAAGUGAUUUUUGGGCUGGAUCAGAGAGAUAAACCAGAUUGAACUUGGAUUGAAAAAUCUGAUCGUGAGAUUAAAAGGUAAAUUCCCCACUCACGCGAUCUAUCUCUGGUUUUUCGGCCUUCGGACGCUCCCCACUAGACGAACACCAUAUAUUCUGUUUAUACAAAAAAAAGAAGUAACAAUUUUUUUGUGAUAGACGAGUGAUGGAUUAUAAUCCAUCAAGUGAGAUUGGUUGAUGAAAAUAACCCAAGUCAUUGACCAAUUGAAAAUUAUAUUGGAUGGACAUCGACAUCUGUGUGGUGCAAUCAUCAUCAACUACUGAGUUGGUAAAAUUAAAAUGUAGAUAAGAAAGAGAAAUAAUAGUGGUAACUUACUGAAAAUUUGGGGAAAAGAAAUUGCUAAUAAGCAAUCCCACGUGAAGUAGUCAAGAGAUGUUCAGCAAGAGCAGCCGAUGGAGAAGGGUUAGCCAUCUUAAAAUUUGGUUCACUUGGAAACCAGCUGAGAGUGCAUGGAUUAAAAUGUCGAAUGAAGGCGCAGGUACAUAGCGAUGGUUAAGUAUCUUGAUGGCCUUGGAAGUUAGAUGUCCUUAUGGAUAAUGAAAGCCGGAGCAUGAACAAACCCGCCGAGCUCAACUUAGGAUAAUAACUGUUUAUAAACGAUUGUGACAAGUGGGCUAUAAAUACCCAUUACUUGCAUUGCCCUGCGUUUUGAUGAAUGCAGUCCUUUCAUUUUCCUGCUUUCAUUAUUUACUUUUAUAAUCCUUGCAUUUCAUUUUCUUUUAAAUAUGCCAAACUCUUCCUAUCCAAAAUCACCAAAAAGCUCAUUCUCAUGAGGAAAAAAAGCAGGAAUCAAAAUUUUUGGUGAAAGGUUUUUCACUGUCUGGGUAAACGCCCAUUUUUAUGCAACAGAUUCGUUCAUGGAGGAAGAUUGAAGAAGGUACGGAGUGGUGGCUGAAGCUUGUCCACGCCAUGAACCAUGAGUAAAUCGGCUGGUUGUGAGAUUUUGUGGGAACAUUUUCAAUUGUUUUAAAAGUUUAAGCUAUUCGAUAAAGAAAUAAUUCACUAUUUAAAUGUUUUAACACUCGCCAUCACGUUUAGCUGAUCUUUUUGCCUAGUAUUAGGCAUGCAAAUAUUUAAUUGAAGAGGCAAAUGAUGCCUAGGAAUUUGAAUUUGGAACCUUCGGUUUUGAUACCAUAUGGGGUUUUGUGAGAACACCAUCAACUCUUCUAAAAGUUUAAAUUCUUAGAUGAAUACGUGAUUGAUUAUGAUAGGUUUUUUUUUUUUUAAUGUUUUUGAUGGGUUUAUUUAAGCUCGUCCGCCCAUGUUGGGCCAAAACCCGGCCCAUAAGGGAAGGGCCCAUAGAAGAAAGCAGUUACUGUAAAACAAAAAAUAAAAAGGAAAAAUCUGGACAUUUAAUAUAUUUGAUAAGUUGGUUAUCAGAUAAGUUACGUAAUCUAAAGAUAAGUGAGAAUACAUUCUCUCGUUUUCCUAUGCUCUCCCAGUUUCUCCUUAAGGACAGUACGCUCAUUUGAAGAAAAGUAUUAGAAUUUCUCAUCAAAUUGCGACAACAGUGUUUAAUCUAUGGAAGACAAAGUAUGUUCGACUCUGUAAUGUACCUUAUGAUCGGUGUAACAUGUUUCUCGGCCACACUUCCACGUUCGUUGUUUUUUGGGGUUCGAUGAGAAGUGUCGGAUCCUUAUUUUUGGGAAUAUGUUUCUCGACAUUGGUAUCAGAGCAUUGUUCAUGUUUCUCGAUUACUGUAGAUGUUCAUAAAUUGUUUUUGAUUGAAUUUUCAUGAAAUGUUGCCAUUAGUCGUUGGGGAACAGAAAAUCCCGACACCCGAACUGUUCCCCCCUCGUUUUUGAUUUUCCGUAAAUCGAAACUCAUUUUUGAUAACAUAGGGUUGUAGCUCUUGUCGAUACGAGAAAAUUGACUGAUGGUUGGUCGCCGAGGGCUGCCGAACGUAUCGCCAGAAGAUUUGGCGUCAUCAGCGCGUGCAACGCACGUGCGAGCAAGGUGUUACACGCGCGGGGUAACCGCAUGCUCGUGCGUGGCACGCAUGCGACAACCGCCCGCGCAUGCGCGGCACGUGUCAACUAACGUCAUCGUGACGUCAGCCGGCAAUUGCCCCCGCAGGUGCAGGGCACGUGACGAGUCAUCGAUUUGAGCCGACCCGACCCAUCUUCGUUGACCCUUGACUUGCGUUGACCAUCGUUGACUGGCGUUGACCACCAUUGACUGGCGUUAAUCGGCAAAAAAGAGAGAGGAAAAUUAUGUAUUUUCUAUUUUGUUCGUUGUGGAUUAUAAGUAAUCCUUUUAUGUUCUGCAUUUGUUGCAUGAACCAUGAUAUGUUUUGCACACAUGCCUACAUUUCCGAGAACGAACGAAGAAAAUGUGAGACUUAAAUAACUAAAAACAUAAUUAGCUAAUUUUUUGUGGAAUGAUGGUGAUGUAGUAUCACACGUGGGCAAGGUUAAUCAAAUGAUAUAAAAAAUCAUCUGGAAUGGUUAUCCUAUGCUAGAUUUUAAGAAGGUGCUGGACUUAAUGAACACUUUUCCACUUGAAUGGCAAGUAGAAUUACAUCACCUAUGGGAGAUUAACAUGGUCGCGGAUUAUAGGAGGCUUGCAAUAGCUUUUGUAAGAGAGUACUAUAGAAUCAAGUUAACCAAAACUUCAACCAUUGGGUUGAGUGUCACAUGGCGCAUAAUUAAUGCGCCUUGGAAGUGGCAUGAGAGCUCUCCAAUGGUUUUUUCGUGGUUGACUAAUGUGCCUUCAAAAUUCUCAGAGAAUUUUACUAAGAGAUUAGAAGAGACUUUCCCAAUUUAUGAGAUAAAUGAGAAUAUUUUGGUUUUAAUUAUUUAUUUUAUUUUAUUCUUAGAUUAGUUUGAGAUGUUUUAGGUGUAAAUAUCUCUUUUUAUGUUGAUAUUUUUCCUCUAAAUAUAUUACUUAGUGUAAUGGACAUGUUUAAUUAUUGAAAGUUCAAUAUUAUCUAUUGUUGUAAAUUAAUAUGUUAAUUUACAAUUCUUUAUGGGAAGUUCAAGGAAGUUUUAGUGACUUUGCUAAUAAAUUAAUAUGUUAAUUUACAAUUCUUUGUGAGAAGUUCAAGAAAGUUUUAGUAACUUUGUUGAACUUAUUUUUUGCAUGAAAGAUUAUGUUAAUGAUAAUUUCAAGUUAGGAUUUUGGAUGAUGAUUGAAAACAUAGUGACCUUUUGAUUCUAAAACCAUAUUUGAAAUUAUUCAUUAACAUGAUAAGUUUAUGCAACAUUGAUGCAUAAAUAAUAGGCAUUAAUAAUUUGUAUAUAUGUGUUUGAUAUAUUCAAAUUGAUGGCUUCAACAAUUAAGAGCAUAAUUGCUGAGUUAAAUAAAGAGAGAAUUUGAAUGGAGAGAUUUGUGAAAUAUUGNNNNNNNNNNNNNNNNNNNNNNNNNNNNNNNNNNNNNNNNNNNNNNNNNNNNNNNNNNNNNNNNNNNNNNNNNNNNNNNNNNNNNNNNNNNNNNNNNNNNNNNNNNNNNNNNNNNNNNNNNNNNNNNNNNNNNNNNNNNNNNNNNNNNNNNNNNNNNNNNNNNNNNNNNNNNNNNNNNNNNNNNNNNNNNNNNNNNNNNNNNNNNNNNNNNNNNNNNNNNNNNNNNNNNNNNNNNNNNNNNNNNNNNNNNNNNNNNNNNNNNNNNNNNNNNNNNNNNNNNNNNNNNNNNNNNNNNNNNNNNNNNNNNNNNNNNNNNNNNNNNNNNNNNNNNNNNNNNNNNNNNNNNNNNNNNNNNNNNNNNNNNNNNNNNNNNNNNNNNNNNNNNNNNNNNNNNNNNNNNNNNNNNNNNNNNNNNNNNNNNNNNNNNNNNNNNNNNNNNNNNNNNNNNNNNNNNNNNNNNNNNNNNNNNNNNNNNNNNNNNNNNNNNNNNNNNNNNNNNNNNNNNNNNNNNNNNNNNNNNNNNNNNNNNNNNNNNNNNNNNNNNNNNNNNNNNNNNNNNNNNNNNNNNNNNNNNNNNNNNNNNNNNNNNNNNNNNNNNNNNNNNNNNNNNNNNNNNNNNNNNNNNNNNNNNNNNNNNNNNNNNNNNNNNNNNNNNNNNNNNNNNNNNNNNNNNNNNNNNNNNNNNNNNNNNNNNNNNNNNNNNNNNNNNNNNNNNNNNNNNNNNNNNNNNNNNNNNNNNNNNNNNNNNNNNNNNNNNNNNNNNNNNNNNNNNNNNNNNNNNNNNNNNNNNNNNNNNNNNNNNNNNNNNNNNNNNNNNNNNNNNNNNNNNNNNNNNNNNNNNNNNNNNNNNNNNNNNNNNNNNNNNNNNNNNNNNNNNNNNNNNNNNNNNNNNNNNNNNNNNNNNNNNNNNNNNNNNNNNNNNNNNNNNNNNNNNNNNNNNNNNNNNNNNNNNNNNNNNNNNNNNNNNNNNNNNNNNNNNNNNNNNNNNNNNNNNNNNNNNNNNNNNNNNNNNNNNNNNNNNNNNNNNNNNNNNNNNNNNNNNNNNNNNNNNNNNNNNNNNNNNNNNNNNNNNNNNNNNNNNNNNNNNNNNNNNNNNNNNNNNNNNNNNNNNNNNNNNNNNNNNNNNNNNNNNNNNNNNNNNNNNNNNNNNNNNNNNNNNNNNNNNNNNNNNNNNNNNNNNNNNNNNNNNNNNNNNNNNNNNNNNNNNNNNNNNNNNNNNNNNNNNNNNNNNNNNNNNNNNNNNNNNNNNNNNNNNNNNNNNNNNNNNNNNNNNNNNNNNNNNNNNNNNNNNNNNNNNNNNNNNNNNNNNNNNNNNNNNNNNNNNNNNNNNNNNNNNNNNNNNNNNNNNNNNNNNNNNNNNNNNNNNNNNNNNNNNNNNNNNNNNNNNNNNNNNNNNNNNNNNNNNNNNNNNNNNNNNNNNNNNNNNNNNNNNNNNNNNNNNNNNNNNNNNNNNNNNNNNNNNNNNNNNNNNNNNNNNNNNNNNNNNNNNNNNNNNNNNNNNNNNNNNNNNNNNNNNNNNNNNNNNNNNNNNNNNNNNNNNNNNNNNNNNNNNNNNNNNNNNNNNNNNNNNNNNNNNNNNNNNNNNNNNNNNNNNNNNNNNNNNNNNNNNNNNNNNNNNNNNNNNNNNNNNNNNNNNNNNNNNNNNNNNNNNNNNNNNNNNNNNNNNNNNNNNNNNNNNNNNNNNNNNNNNNNNNNNNNNNNNNNNNNNNNNNNNNNNNNNNNNNNNNNNNNNNNNNNNNNNNNNNNNNNNNNNNNNNNNNNNNNNNNNNNNNNNNNNNNNNNNNNNNNNNNNNNNNNNNNNNNNNNNNNNNNNNNNNNNNNNNNNNNNNNNNNNNNNNNNNNNNNNNNNNNNNNNNNNNNNNNNNNNNNNNNNNNNNNNNNNNNNNNNNNNNNNNNNNNNNNNNNNNNNNNNNNNNNNNNNNNNNNNNNNNNNNNNNNNNNNNNNNNNNNNNNNNNNNNNNNNNNNNNNNNNNNNNNNNNNNNNNNNNNNNNNNNNNNNNNNNNNNNNNNNNNNNNNNNNNNNNNNNNNNNNNNNNNNNNNNNNNNNNNNNNNNNNNNNNNNNNNNNNNNNNNNNNNNNNNNNNNNNNNNNNNNNNNNNNNNNNNNNNNNNNNNNNNNNNNNNNNNNNNNNNNNNNNNNNNNNNNNNNNNNNNNNNNNNNNNNNNNNNNNNNNNNNNNNNNNNNNNNNNNNNNNNNNNNNNNNNNNNNNNNNNNNNNNNNNNNNNNNNNNNNNNNNNNNNNNNNNNNNNNNNNNNNNNNNNNNNNNNNNNNNNNNNNNNNNNNNNNNNNNNNNNNNNNNNNNNNNNNNNNNNNNNNNNNNNNNNNNNNNNNNNNNNNNNNNNNNNNNNNNNNNNNNNNNNNNNNNNNNNNNNNNNNNNNNNNNNNNNNNNNNNNNNNNNNNNNNNNNNNNNNNNNNNNNNNNNNNNNNNNNNNNNNNNNNNNNNNNNNNNNNNNNNNNNNNNNNNNNNNNNNNNNNNNNNNNNNNNNNNNNNNNNNNNNNNNNNNNNNNNNNNNNNNNNNNNNNNNNNNNNNNNNNNNNNNNNNNNNNNNNNNNNNNNNNNNNNNNNNNNNNNNNNNNNNNNNNNNNNNNNNNNNNNNNNNNNNNNNNNNNNNNNNNNNNNNNNNNNNNNNNNNNNNNNNNNNNNNNNNNNNNNNNNNNNNNNNNNNNNNNNNNNNNNNNNNNNNNNNNNNNNNNNNNNNNNNNNNNNNNNNNNNNNNNNNNNNNNNNNNNNNNNNNNNNNNNNNNNNNNNNNNNNNNNNNNNNNNNNNNNNNNNNNNNNNNNNNNNNNNNNNNNNNNNNNNNNNNNNNNNNNNNNNNNNNNNNNNNNNNNNNNNNNNNNNNNNNNNNNNNNNNNNNNNNNNNNNNNNNNNNNNNNNNNNNNNNNNNNNNNNNNNNNNNNNNNNNNNNNNNNNNNNNNNNNNNNNNNNNNNNNNNNNNNNNNNNNNNNNNNNNNNNNNNNNNNNNNNNNNNNNNNNNNNNNNNNNNNNNNNNNNNNNNNNNNNNNNNNNNNNNNNNNNNNNNNNNNNNNNNNNNNNNNNNNNNNNNNNNNNNNNNNNNNNNNNNNNNNNNNNNNNNNNNNNNNNNNNNNNNNNNNNNNNNNNNNNNNNNNNNNNNNNNNNNNNNNNNNNNNNNNNNNNNNNNNNNNNNNNNNNNNNNNNNNNNNNNNNNNNNNNNNNNNNNNNNNNNNNNNNNNNNNNNNNNNNNNNNNNNNNNNNNNNNNNNNNNNNNNNNNNNNNNNNNNNNNNNNNNNNNNNNNNNNNNNNNNNNNNNNNNNNNNNNNNNNNNNNNNNNNNNNNNNNNNNNNNNNNNNNNNNNNNNNNNNNNNNNNNNNNNNNNNNNNNNUGAAAUGCAAGGGAUCGACUCCUUGCAGAAACCAAGAGUUAACCACCAUAGAGAGGAAAGCAUCUUGAGUGAAGAUAAUUUCAAGGGUGAAAUGUUAUAAUUAUGACCAGAAGGGUUAUUAUGCUCGCAACUGUCGUGAGCCAAAGAAAGUAGACACCCCCUGUACUCUUAAGAAUUUUGCUUAUGUGUCAAGUUUUAUAUUCUUAACUGAAUCUAAUCUUUUAUGAACUGUAGAUUCGGGAGCAAUAAACCAUUUAGCGAAGGAUAGAGAAUCUUUCAUGGAAUUUCGACGAGUACUGACUAGAACUAAGUGGAUCUAUAUAGGAAAUAACUACAGAGCCGAAGUAAAAGGAAUUGACACCUGCUAAUUGAACAUGCAUGAUGGACGCACUUUGUUCCUACAUGAUGUAUUAUAUGCUCUGGAGAUUCAUCGGAAUUUAAUGUUUGUUUUAAUGGUGGUAAAGCUUAGUUUUUGUUUGAACUUUCUUAAUAAUUGUAUGAAUAUGUAUUUGAAUACAAACUACUAUAGUUGUGGUUAUUUUCUAGAUGGUUUCAUUGUAUUGAAUGUUGACUGUGGUAAUGUCAAUGUUUAUUAUUCCCUUUUCACGUCUUCAAAUUCAUAUGAUAAUGAUGUGAAUGUAUGACAUGCUAGAUUUAGUCAUAUUGGCCAACAACGUAUGAAUAGACUAGCUAAAGAGGGCUUAUUGGGCAACAUUAAAAAAGUCGAUUUGCUCAUAUGGGAGUAUUGCCUAAUAGGGAAAACAACAAGGAAACCAUUUGGAAAAAUGUGAAAGAGCUGAAUUUCCUUUGCAUUUAAUCCAUUCUGACAUCUAUGGUCCAAUGAAUGUGAGAGGAAGGCAUGUGGCUGUUUAUUUUUAUUACAUUUAUAAAUUAUUAUACUUAUGUCUAUUUGAUUUCUCAUAAAUCUAAAGUAUUGAGUUGUUUUAAAAAGUUUAUGAACUUGGUAAAAAAUCAAUUAGAUAAGAAACUAAAAGUAUUGAGAUCCGAUUGAGGUCGAGAAUAUUUAUCUGAUGAGUUCAGAAAUAUAUGUGAUGAAAAAGGAAUAAAAAGAUUGUUUUCUAUUCCAUAUACUCAUCAACAAAAUGGUAUUGUGGAAAGAAGAAACAGAACCCUACUAGAAAUUGUUAGCUCCAUAAUGGCACAUGCUAACUUACCUAUCAUUUUUGGAGUGAUGCUUUAUUAACUGCUACCUAUAUACUUAAUCGUGUGCCUUCCAAAUCAGUUGUUUCUACUCCAUAUGAGUUAUGGACAAGUAGAAAAUUGGACUUAAGUUUUCUUAAAUCAUGCGGUUGUGCUACCUAUAGUCAUGAGCCCUCUCACAAAUUUGGAAAAUUGGGUCUUAGGAGCAAGAAGAAUAUUUUCAUAAGAUACUUUGAACACACAAAAGUAUAUGUGUUUAUAGGUGAGCAAAAAAGUGGGAGUAUAACUGAAUUCGAAUCAUGAGAUGUCACAUUCUUAGAGAAUGAAUUUCCUAAGAAUGGCGAAAUAGUUUAGGACUACUCCCUAUUUGAAACCUUGGAUCAAGAUAAUGAACUUAGUGGAGUUCGUCCAAGUGGGAGUAAUAUGAGAAGUGAUGAAUUUAAUUCAACUCACUCUUAAUUACAACCACAUAUUGAGACGAUAUUGUCAUUAUCUAAUCCGAGUGAGAGCAUAAUGGGGAAUGAUGUGCAAAGUAUACAAUCUCCCAUACGGCGAACAAAUCGCAAAAGUGUUCCCCGUCGACGUUUUGACAUUAAAGGGGAAACUUUUAUGGUUAAUUUACAAGAUGAAGAUGGGCCAAUAAAUGUAAAUAAGGUUUUAAAUUGCCAUAAUAAAGAAAAAUGGAUGCAUGCAAUGGAAGAGAAAAUAGAGUCAAUGAAGUCAAACCAUGUUUGGGACUGGUUGAUCUUCCGAAAGGACACAAAGCUAUUGGGAACAAGUGGGUUCUUAAAAUAAAGCGUAAAGUUGAUGGUUCAAUAGAAAGACAUAAAGCUUGUCUUGUGGCGAAGGGGUAUAAUCAACAGGAAUGAAUUGAUUAUGAGGAAACAUUUUCUCCUAUAGUGAGAUUUACCUCGAUUCGCAUAAUUCCGGUAAUAGUAACUAGUAUGGAUCUUAAGUUACAUCAAAUGAAUGUAAAUAUUGCUUUUCUCAAUGGAUAAUUAGAGCAAGAAAUAUAUAUUGAACAACUUGUUGGUUUCAUUAUGAAAUGUCAAGAAGAAAAGAUAUGUCGACUUUUAAAAUCAAUAUAUGGCCUUAAGCAGUUGUCGAGACAAUAGUAUAUACAUUUUCAUAAUACCAUAAUUGCACAUGAUUUUACAAUGAUUGAUGAGGAUCGUUGUGUAUAUAUCAAAAGAUCUAAAGAUCAAUUUGUGAUUAUAUCAUUAUAUGUUGAUGAUAUACUGAUUGUUGGAAGUAAUAUGGAGUUUAUUAAUACUGUCAAGAAUUGGUUAUCUUCUAACUUUGAGAUGAAAGACAUGGUGAGGCUGCAUAUAUUCUUGGAGUUAAGAUUUUAAGAGAUCGUUUGAAGAUAUCAUUAUCUCUUUCGCAAGAAAUAUAUAUAAAUAAGGUUCUUGAACGAUUUCAUACGCAAAAUUGUAAACCUAUAGAUACUCCUAUUGCAAAACGUGAAGGAUUGAGUCAUAAAAUGUGUCCAAAGACUCCACAAAAGAAGGAACGAAUGCAACAUGUUCCUUAUGCUAGUGCUGUUAGAAGCUUAAUGUACGCUAUGAUGUAUAUAAUACCUAACAUAUGUUUUGCAGUUGGAAUGGUGAGUAGAUACCAAUCCAAUUCAGGUCAAACACAUUGGAAAACCGUUAAAAGAAUACUGAUAUAUCUAAAGAGAAUUGCUGAUUAUACACUGAGUUACUAAGGAAAGGAUCUACGACUUGAAGACUAUUCAGAUGCUGAUUGUGGAGGAAAUUUAGAUGAAAUGAAAUCUACCUCUGGAUUUGUUUUCUUACUGAAUAAUGACGCCAUAUCAUGAAGCAGUAAGAAACAAACGUGUAUAGCAUUGUCCACAAUGGAAACUAAGUUUGUGGCAUUAUCAACAGCAAUAUAAGAAAGUGUUUGGCUUAAGAGAUUUUUAGAUAAUUUAGGUGUUAUUGAGAAUGUUGCAAACUUAUUGUUGGUUAACUGUGAUAGCCAAGCAGCAAUAGCAUACACUAAAGAUCCAAAAUAUCAUGGCAAGACCAAACAGAUAGAUACCAAGUAUAAUUUUGUCAAAAAUAUGGUUAUACGAAAAGAUGUGAACUAAUAUAGAUGUGUAUCAAAUCCUAUGACAAAGCUAAUACUUAGAGAUGUGUUCUGUGGGCAUGUGAAAUCUCUAGGACUGUGUUGAGGCUGAUGUAUUGAAUAUUGUAAUUUUCUUGAAGUGUUCACAUUUAAUGAUUUUAUAUUUUUAUUAUUAAUGUCUAUGAGUCUUUGUUUGACGUUUAUAUAUCUUAAUGCUUAGUGCAUUAUAUAAAAUUGAGAAAAUGUGUCAGACAGAUAAAAGAUUAGCCCACUCACAUGGAUAAUCGCCUCUAUUUACUAUGUAAUAAAUAGAGAUAAGAUGGUUUUUAAACUUAUUAUCUAGGUGAUAAUCGAGUGCUCAAGCUUAAAAUAUAUAUGUCACAUUAACUAAGUGUUAAGAUGAUGACAUAAUAUUUACUAUAUCCGAAAGUAAAAUAAUCCACAUAUUUUACUUCAUUUGUCUAUGAUGCCAGACGUGAGUUUUGAUGAAUUCCGUGAAAGAGUAGUUACGUGAACUCAAGUUAGACAUUAGGUAUGUCUGAACUAUCAUCUAUACGGUAUUGAAAGUGUAGACAUACGCUCCAUGGAAAAUGAGUUAAUAUUGUAAUACAUAUUUCAUACUACGUAUGCAUGAGACGACUAACAAGAGUGGCAAAAGUUUUGAUCUUAACUUUUAUGCCGUGUGAGACUCUUGAGGAAAAGAGUUCAUCAAUUAAGCGCCCUCAUGACUCUUACUUAUUCUCAAGAUUUCUAUUCAGUGUUUGCUAUCUUAGAAUGUUGCCAAUUAUCAUGAAUUAAUUCGAUCUAAUGGGACAUUUCUAGAAAAGCAAGUUGAUUUGAAAUUGAGAGUUUCAAGGGAAAAGGAAGAUUGAAUUUGGAGAAUCACAUUCUUGUUUUGUAUUAACUAAUUGACCAAUUAUGAUUGUUUUUGGGAUAAUCAUAAUUGUGAAUACAAUAUAUCAUUAUUUAGAAAUAGAUCAAGAGAGAUAUAAAUGUAAUCGAUCGAUCUAGAGUACUGCAUACUAAAUCUACUGAAAAAUGUGAUACCCAUUAUGAGUUACUAUAUAUUCCUAACAGAUGUAUGUCAACGAUCUUUCAAAGUAUGCUGAUCCCACAAAUUAUUCACCGGUAUAAAUGUUGCAGAGAGGUAAAGAGGAUUUUGUUCAGCCAACCAUAUGCGAGUGGGAGAUGAUGGUUUUUUUAAAAAAAUAUUUUUUAUGAGCUUAUUUAAGCCUGUCCACCUAUGUUGAGCCAAAACCUGGCCCGUAAGGGAAUGGCCCAUAGAAGAGAGUAGUUACUGUAAAAUAAAAAAUAAAAAGGGAAAAUUUGGGCAGUUAAUAUAUCUGAUAAGUUGGUUAUUAGAUGAGUUACGUAAUCUGAAGAUAAGUGAGAAUACGUUCUCUCGUUUUCCUACACUCUCCCAGUUUCUCCUCAAGGACAGUACGCUCAUUUGAAAAACAGUAUCGAAAUUCCUCAUCAAACUACAACAACGGUGUUUAAUCUGUGAAAGACGAGGUAUGUUCAACUCUGUAAUGUAUCGGUGUAACAUGUUUCCUGAGCACGUUUUCCACGUUCAUUGUUUUUUGGGGUUCGAUGAGAAGUGUCGGAUCGUUAUUUUUGGGAAUCCGUUUCCUGAUAGAUUAUUUAAAUAUUUUAAGAUUGAUGAUACGCGGACACAUGCCUAGGCCACGGUUUCUGCAUCUGUCGAGGAUCGUUUUGUCGUGAUCUCAAUGUCCUUGCUUCCUCGCAAUUCAACGAUCACGAAAGGGAAUCACGUGAGUGAAGGUGACUGGGCAACAAGGAGACAAAGAUCAGAGUUAACUCCGUGAUUCUAGAACGUGAUUUCGCAUUAUUUAGCACGUUUCCAUUAUGUUCUGGCACAAUUUUGCUUUAGGUCCCAGCAUUUGUUGCAUUUUAAAGUUAGGUUUGUUGGAUGUGUUCUGAUCUUCAUUUUACUGAUAUCUAGAAAGUGGAAAAUCGGAAGAAAGAUGUCGGAUUUUGAAAAUUGGAAAUAAGUGCAGGUUUUUUGAACCGACAUAUUUCUUGGAUGAGGGCUGAGGUCCAAUGAAAAUAGUCCAGCUUGAUAUGCUUUUUACAGUGAAGCUGCUCGAGUUGAAGAAGAGGAGGAAACUGUUUUAGAAACCAUGGUAAUCGAAUGGUUCCCUAUCAAUUUAACGUUCAAGCUUCACCUUUCCCAGUGGAGGAUCUGGGGAGAGAGUGUCUUGUGGAAGGAGAACGUACAACUGGUGGCUUCCUAGAAUAGUACGUUUGCAUCAGUCUUAGGCAGCACCUUCACACUGCAACCUGACUCUCUUGGUAUACCUCGGAUAGGGGUCAGGGCGACUCAGCUUGAUCUGUUGGCACUUGGCAGAGUGAUAUUCCCAGAUUUAGACAAAUUCCCAUCUAAUUAGGCUGUUGGGGAAAAAAAAAAAAAAGAAGGUCCUAGGGCUUUUCCUUACUUAAAUUCUGAUAAAGGGAAAUCCACUUUGAAGCCCAAUGUGAGUCCAAUUUGUGGUUAAACCCCUCUUCGAGCCCAAUUCCUGACAAGAAAUGGGCCCCUCAAAAUUAGCUCGGGGAAAGAACCUGCUGACGUCCGGCUUCAGAAUGGGAAGAAGAAGUGUCGUGAACCAUAUCGUUCCCUUGGCUUCAAAACUUAUGGCUUAGAUGGAUCUGCUAUUUGGAUGCUCCCGCUCUAUUGCAAGAUGAAUUCCGUACUCAGACUCAGGUGGCUAAGCCCUAAUCAGCCACCACAAACACCAUGAUGACUUGGAUUGUCUUUGCUGCUAUCUUCGGCUAAUUUAAUUAAUAUUGUCGUCGGCUGGGAAGGUUAGACUAGGAUUACAUUCAUCUUAGACACCACCGAGAUACCAAGACCGAUUGACCUAUGGAACUAGAUUGGGCACAUCUGUAACAGUAAUUCUUUAUCAUGGGUUUGUACUGAGGACUUCAACGAAAUUCUUCAUGCUUGGCAAAAUGCCUAUAGAACAUUACCAAAUUCACACGUGAUCGAUUGUGCAUUUAUGUAUAUUGAGUUUUUCUUUUUCUUUUUUCUCGAUCGUUCAGUUGUCAACACUAAUCUCUCUCACUUUUGCCUUCCACGAGGAUCAAACACCUGCCCCCACACUCACACGUCCCCAUUCCCCAUAUUCUUUGCUAGUAGCGAAUUGUGAUUUUUUUUUUUUUUUUGGUCGACAAUGGAUAUUGAGUUUUUCAAUUGAAAGAAAAUUUCAUUCAUUUGUCAUAAUCGAACAUGAAAGGAACAUAGAAAGCUUCAAGCAAAAUAAAUCCCAAAAGACUACAAAAAAAACAAAAACAAAAACAAAAACAAAAGUAUAUAACUUGCGGCUAUAAGGAUGCUCUCAUCCCAAAAAACCAAAUUUGUUACAACAUAAAAAAAAUAAAAAAUAGACGGUCAAUCAUCAGAAUCACCAAUGAUAGACACAUGCCAAGGUUUCUACCUCCAUAAAUUAAAGUUUGUGGUGCGCGCUUAAAUUUGGCAUCCUCUAUAUUAUGGCCAUACGGAGACGACAAUAUGUUAAACCACCACAAAUCAAACGUCUCUUAAAAACUCUCAAAUCCAGAUUUAUUAAGAGAGUCUACACUUAAAUAGUGAGAGGAGACCUUCCACCAAAUCUCGAAUAAGUCAUUCAACCAUGUCUCAGGCAUCUUAAUGGCUAGACCGGUGAUAACAUUCUCACAAAAUUUUCAACUACAUAGAGAUUUAUUCGCCACAACGAGUGAAGAAAAAAAACAACAACAAGAAGUGAAAGAAGAUGCCGAGCAAAGUGGGAAAAAAAAACUCUUAGAUUAGAUUGAGAGAAGAAAAAAAAAAACAAAAAAAAAAUCCAAGCUUAGAAAAAGAAAAGUAGAAUAAACCAAGCUCUCAGCUUUCAACUGAAGUUGAGAGCUUGUAGGAUAAGUUUCUUUAUUAUUAUUUUUUUUAGGGGGGGGGGGGGGGGGGGAGAAGGGAGUUACUGACAAAGAGAUUACAACGUGUGAGUUGAAAAUUAAUGAUAUUGAUUUUUUUUUGUCCAUCCUAUUUUAACUCCCAACUCACUUUCAGAUUUUUGCCUUACCUCUUUGUAAAGUUGUUGACACCUAAAUUUUGACAACACAUUUAGUUAUUUAUCGCAUUAAAAAAUUAAGGAUUAAUUUUUAACCCCUAAAAAAUAUUAGAAUUAAAUUGCGUAGCAUAUAAUUUAGGAGCAUUUUUAUUAUUGCAUUUACAUCGGACUGGUGACAGAUGGGUUUAAAUUGGUAGUUCUGAGUUUUAAUUUGACGAGUUAGACUAAGCCCACAAAGAGAGCAAAUUAACCUGAGCCCCCUUUUUUUUUUUGAUCGAAAAUUAUCUUAUGAGAAAUAGAGAUUUGAUAUUUUCGGUGAUAUAACGGUGGAUUUUUCAAUAUUUUUAGAUAGGGCAAGUGUGACAAAGAGAUAUUGCGAACUUAUCUUUGCAAGAUUUGGAAUUAGAGAAAAAUCUCAUUGCAAUCUUGAAUCUUUAGCAAUAUGUGAUAAAAUCGAUGGAGAAUAUUGCAUUUGGGUGGUGAUCUUCAUGGAUGUUGAUUUGAAAAAAAAAACCCUAGUCCACCCACCUAUAAAAGGAUUGCUACACGACAGUUAAGGGGUCUUCUCUUUUGAUCACUUGGCAGAAAGGGCCUUCUUCAUUCCCUUAAAAAAACACAAAAAAAGAAAAAAAAAAGAAAAAAAGAAAAGGCUUUUGAGGAGAAAAGUCAAGGUCAGCUAAAAGGAGGCUGAAGGUACACUAGCAGAGAGAGAGAGAGAGAGAGAGAGAGGGAUGUGUGAAAUGACAGGGUGAUAGGGACAAAAGAAAAAAGGAAAAAAGAAGAAACAAAACAACAUAUUGUUCUUUUUCUUCGCGGACUCUCCCCACCGGUGUUCGCUGUUGCCGCUCUUCGCGCCGGUAGCUGAGCCGCCGACCGCCGCUACUCCGCCGGCGACCCAUGAACCCACUCUACUCCACUAUCGCUCCGCGCUCUCUAAAAUACUGCCUCUGCCGCUCUUGCCGUGCCAUCGCUGGAGCUUCCCCCGCACCUACAAGCUUACGCCACUGCCUCACCCGCGAGCCCAUGCCAACACCACUUCGCCAACAAGCCGCAAGCCCCGCACUAGCCCGUGCUUGCCCGUCAGCUCGAGCGCUGACGCCACAGCUAUGCCAUCCUAAAAUUUCAAUUCUGCUUUCAAUUGAAUAAAUCAGGCAUUUCAUCAACGCGCCUAUAGUGCUAUUCUCUGAGCUGAUCACUCAUGAGAUAAUUAGACUAUUUGGGGAAGUCAUUAAGGAAUUUUAACGCAAUACACUUGAGAGUUCGACUAGGAUUCGACUACUCAACCGUGCUCAUCUGCAAAGAUCAUUAUGGCACAGUAAAGAUCGAUUAGAGAUCAGAGAUAUGUUGAUUCGAUUGAGAUAUAAGACUAAACGUUGGUGAUUCCACCAAAUUGUAAAAGUCUCGUCAAUUAGCACUAGAUUGAUUUUUUUGUCGUUUUAGUACCUUGUGUCCGUAUUUGAAACUUUGAGAUUUUCACAACCAUCAAGAGUUGCCAAUGUGUCAAAGAGGUACAUUGUGGCUCGAAGAAAAUCGACUACCGAUCAAUUGCACUAAAAAUUUCUGAAAACUACCCGGUCACCUAUGUCAAGAAAAAAUCACGCCAGAUCGAAAUUAACCGUGAAUUUGAAUCCGAUUUCAAGUCCUGUCAUGCCACAAGUCAUUUUAGGAAUGUCGACUGAUCCUCCGAAGAUUUUUCUACAAACCGAGAUUUUCGACGAAAUUUCAAAGUGAUGCCGUUUUUGUUCGGAAAAUUCAUGGGAUAAUUUUUUAUCGCACAAUUGGGAUGCAAGUUGGUUCUAUUGGCGUGGAAAAUUGUCAAUUUGAUCGAGGACACCACGGUGGAAUUUAUGGGAGCCGAAUUGUUUUAAUUCAAGUAGGAAUUUGGUUCAAUUUGGAGGGAGACCUUUCAAAAUUCGUAGGCCCCCUUGCUCCACACUUUGGGACCAACUCAAAAGCUUCCUAGGGAAGCUUUAUGGCUGCAAGUUGCUGAGGAAGACAGCCCAUCCAUGGUGGGGCCUCUUCUAAGAGACAAAGAGAUAGGAAGUGAAGCAAGUGGCCCCCUCCAAGCCAAAGUUGUCCCCCCCCUUCUUCUUCUUCCCCAUUCAGUCGACCCCUUCCAUUUCCAGCCAGCUUGGAGUCUCAAAAACCUAGAAAACCUAGCAGAGCAGCUCCUUCCUCUGUCGAGCAGCCCAUUCGAGUUGUCCAGCACCGCCGAAGUCCAACCGCUUCAACGUCGCACCCCGCGACACUCGCUUGCUCGUCCCAUUGUUCUAUGCCUCCAGCCAUUCGUCAUAACCAUCCCGAGCCUCCCCCGUGACCGUUGAAGCUCAGCCGGAGCUCCUUCGUUGCUGUCUAGCCACUGCCUGCCGCCGUGAAACCCUGCCUGGAUUGUUGCAGCCUUCGCUGGCCCUGUCUCGCCGAACUAGCAGCUCAGCCUCCUUCUUAACCCAACGAAUAGAACCGAGAAGCCCUGGGUCUGUAGCUCACUGUUUGGCCCGUUUCUGAGCCCUUUCGGACCUCGAAAGGUGCCCCGUUUUGGAGUUUUUGGCCCGUCUCCUCCUCGCCGUCGUCAUGGUUAAGUCAGAUUGCAAAUCUAGUGAGUUUACUCAUUAAUCUUUGCUUAGAGAGCUAAUGAUGCUUAAUGGUUGAUUAGUUCAGAUUAAGUCUAGUUUAGGUGGUUAGUUAGAACGAAUUAGCGAUUUAGUUAAUCGUUUAUGCAUGUUAGGUGGUUAGAAUUGUGCAAUUAGCAAGUAGAUAGAUCGUAUUAUUUAUCUAGAUAGGUUCGGAAAUUUUAUAGGCCCGUUUCGGUAUUUAAUUAGACUUUUCCGGCCUAAGUGUGCAUUUUUGCUAUUUAAUGGUAAUUAUUUAAUUAAUUUUGGUAAUUAUUUAAUUAUUUAUUAUUUUCCGAAAAUUAGACCGGGAUAGUUGGUGACCGGAAUUUCGUACUGAUUGCAAUGGUGUGUUUGGUUUAUUUAUUUGGGUGCUAAUUUGUGUAAUUUGAGUGUGAUUUGUAAUUUUGGGUAUUUAUCCCAAAAUUUAUUAAUUUCAUUAUUUAAUUAGAAAAUUACCAGGUGUCAGUUUAUAACGCCAAAAAUAUUUUUAUGAACUAUAUAAUUAGUGAGAUUUUGUAAAGUAAAAAUAUUGUAUUUUGGCUAAGGCCGACCGUGUACCCAUACACGAUUAUUUUUAUCGGGUAUGAUAAAACGAUGAAAUUGUUGGGUGACCAGGAUUAUAUACUAUAUCAGCCUGCAGGUUUUGAUAUAUCAGCUUAGAGUGAACAGUAUACCAGUAUACUAUAUCGGCCUGAGGGCUUCGAUAUGUUAGCUUAGCGUGAGCAAUAUACCUUGGUAGCUUCUGGUGAGCAUUAUCAAUAUACUAUAUUAGCCUACGGGUCUUGAUAUGUCAGCUUAGCACAAGUAAUAUGCUUUAUCAGUUUAGAGUGAGCAUUAUCAGUAUACUAAAUCAGCUUGAGGGUCUUGAUUUAUCAGCUUAAAGUAAGAAAUAUACUUGAUCAGUUGUAGUAAGCUAUACUAUCGGUUGUCAACUUAGGGUGAGCAAUGUUCGAUUUAAUCGAAUAGUGUGGAUGGUAUUGAUGACAUGGAGUAGAGUGAAUCGAUUAAUCGCUGUUUGAUGUGAUUUGAAUUGAAGUAAUUGCUUGAUUUUAUGAAUCAUACUGACUUGCAGGAAGGAACGGAGGUGAAGUAAGUCCUCUGACCCAUGCUUGUGUUUAGGCAGCCCUUAGGGCGUAUUUCCUUCCUAGUCGGAGUUUAGGGAAUGAACUUGCUGAGACGUCGUCUUACCUCGUUGUGAGAUGGCAGCUCCUCCCACGCAUUUUGGCCAGCUGAAGAAGGUCACAUAACAGGUAUCUUAUAUUCCGCUGCAUGGGAACCCUAGGGGAUGGGUCUAUGAGCUCGUGAGGUCCAUGGUCUGGAUUGAUACGAGUCUACCCCAUAAGGUACCCCAUCAAUACAGAUCGUGAUAUUGUCAUGAGUGGAAUGGGCAAAGAGAGAGUCUCAUACCGGAAUCUGAGAUACCUAUGUAUGUACUGGAGAUAGCUUUUAGAAAGGGUACGACCGACCCCUCAGGUAGUUCAGUGGUGGACCCAAGUCCGUCGGAUCUAGGGUCCCUAGUGUAUUCGAUAGAUGAUUCAAAUGCUUGAGGACUUGUAGCACUCUGAACCUCCCCUCCCUUUUUGCAAACCUUGUAUAUAGUCGGCUAAUAUUGUAUAAGACUUGGUUUGACAUAUGAAUAUAAGUGUGUUGUGGUUUUUGAAAAUUUGUAGUCCUACUUUUCUAUCACAUCUUGUUGUUGUUUGGGGAUUUAUUAUUCACUUUUGUAUGCAUAUUAAAAUGAAUGGGUCGGCGACGUGUCCUGAGACGUCACUAUUUAAUUGACCGCUAAGGGAUGGACACAUGCUCGAAGGAUUGGGGCAUGACAACAGCUACUCGCCUGUCCACGACUGCCCGGCGCCCGUCUCGUGCAACUCCGUUGCCGACGACCGCCACCCCUGCAGUAGCUCGCCUCUGCCAACACCCAACGCCAGUAGAUUCCGAACCGCUUGCUACCGCACCGGUUGCUACCCCUUCGUGCCCCAUUAUAACCCUUGCAAAUUCGGUUUUACCUACCCACUACUGCCACCUCCGCCUGCUGUCGCCCCUCGUCGGAGCUCCGAACGGCUGCCCUCCACCCUCAACUGUCCACUAGCACGGCAACUUGUCCUUGAGCCACACCGAGCCUCCAUCGUGGGUCCGAGCCGCCGUUUGCUAAACCUCAUUUGGAAGCCCAAAAAUCCCAAUUAGGUAGAUUUUUUUAUUUGUUAUUUUUUAAAAAUAUUUCAUUUCUUUAUUGGUUAUAUAUUCCCGGGUGCAUGAUUGAAAUCCCCGACGUGAUAUUCGUAACUCGAGUAGCCUUUUAAUUUCACAACAUGCAUACGAUUGACAAUCCGAUUUUUGCGUCCGAAAUCUAACUCGCAAUCGCAUGGAAAAAUCGCCAAUCCAAUUUCACGAUCGAGAUUUGAUUCGCAAUUUUGUUUAAAAUUGGCCAAUCCGAUCUCAUGCGCGAGAUAUGAUUUGUCAAUUUAUGAAUAUCAACCUUAUCUUGCCUGAUUUAUUGUUGCAUUAUUUGAAUCGAUUUUGUUUUCGUAAAAGAAAAUCCAAAAAAAAAAAAAAUUGAGUUAGGUUAGGUUCAUGUUUUGCAUGUUUAGAAUAAGAAAUUUAGUUAUUUUGAAUUUUUGAAAUAAAAAUCCCAAAAAAUACAUUAAUUUAGGAUGUUAGAUUUUCUUUUUAUUAAUUUAGAUUGCAUGUUUAAUUAUUGGACAAUUUUAAUUUCGAAUUUUAUAAAAAAGAAAAAAAACUAGAAUUAGGGCAUUCCUUGCACAUCAUUGCAUAUUAUGAUAACAUUGCAUGUUUAAAUUUAUUUUCUAACUAAUUAUAAGUUCGGAUAAUUUUUUUACAUAGAUUACAUUUUAGGAUAGGGAUUACCAAGUUAAGAUAACAUUCUAAUUUAAAUUAAGAUUUGGCCUAACCUAAUUCUUAAUAUAAGUUGGAUAAUGUCUUAAUUUGGAUAGAUAAUUUUUGCGAUUUUCUAAUUUCGAAUUUCAUGGAAAAUACCAAAAAAAUGUCUUUGAAUAAAUUAAUUUCAUUCUUUAGGAUAGGUUGCAUGCUCAUUAAGGAAACACAAAAAUAUUUCACUUAUGUCAUAUAGUUUAGAUCAUAUUGCCAUGUUAUAUGAUUUCAUGUUAGAUUAGUAGCAUGCAUUGCAUAAAACAUGAUUCUCAUUAAAUAAGUGAAAACAAAAAAGUAAUUACGUGUUAAUUAAAAAUCAUAUUUAGGACCAUCGAUGUGAAUUCUGAUCUAAUACUACAGAUGCUUUCGAUGUCAUGAGAUAAGUUUUAUAAUUUAUUCACAGCUUUAUCUGAGUGUUAAAUUGGUGGUUUGCGCACCCACAUGAUAACCUUACAUGUUAGGGAAAUAAAUUAAAAUCAAUUCAAACUGCUUGCCAAACAUGUUUUUUUUUUUCAAAAUAAAAGGGAAAAGUACCGGAAAGGCGUUAGAGAAAUCUAGCGUAAUUAAGUCCCUGAACUCAUAAAUCUCUAGUUCAUAGGAGUAAUGUAAAUCUCCCAUUACUUUAGUUGGGUUUCUAAUCGGCCCACCAAAAAUAGAUUAGUGGCAACUCUUAAUUGAAAAAUUAUUUGCAUGUUAAAAACUUAAACCUAAGUCAUGAAUUGGUAUGGACUUGAGAGAGCUUGAACUAAGUUUAGACUUAGUAAUUCAUUAACCAAAUCCUAAGUGAUUCACCCGAGAUUAGAUCGCGACAAAAGUAUAAAAGAAAAAACUCACCCAUGAAACUAAACAUCCCCACCGUUAGCUCACUUAAACAAGUGGGGAAGACAGUCUCACCUCUUGUCGUGGCCUAUCCCUUGAGGCGGGAAGAUGUUCCUCAAGCAAGUAGAUUUAGGGGCAUUUGCUCAUAAAACAGUCCAAGCAGGUGUCCUCAAAAUAGAUGGCUUCGAGAGCAUCAUCUAGUCGAUGGGCCAUACUUGGUCCAUUAAUUACAAAAUAAAUUCUUUCCCAAUGGCAGGGAAAAAAUUCAAGAAAUCUAUAUUCUUUCUUCAGUAUAGCAUAGCUUAAUAAAAAAAAAUUAGAACGUUCAUUCGAGCCAAAGUAUACGUAUAUGGAAUAUCCAUAAAAUGAUUUUUUUUUGUAUGCAUAAAAAAUAAUUUAUUCAUAUGGAAAUCCACUCAACUCAAUUUAGUUAAAAACAAGUAAAAGUAACAAAUUGAAAUAAAAUAAUAGAUUCAACGUGGGUCCUACCAAACCCACACCUUGCAAUAUGGGAUUCAUUUUAAGUUUUUAGACAACCUAAAAAUGUUAUCUAUGAGUCGCCACGAGACUCUUUGUUGGGAGUUGGCUAGAAACCCAAUUAAGGGUCGAAAGACUUCCCUUGAUUUUCACGAAACUAGAGAUUUCAUGAGUUUAGCGACUUGGAUUACAAUAAAGAUGCUUGUUAAGGCCCUUUCGGUAACUAUGAGUUUAGUUGUUAUCUAAGGUGGUCAAGCAAUCUUUUUACAUUUUCGUGCAAUUUAAAUCCUAAUGUUAAGUGAUCACACAUGAAAGAUACAACACUCUGAACCUAUUUGGAUUAGCACUAAACAGGACCUAGUCAAACCUUUAACCAGACAAAAAAAAAAUCAGAAGAGAAGAGUAGUAUUUCAAAUCUCUUUUGGAAUCGAGUCGAAAAACCUUUUAAUGAAGCUCUAUGCUCUUAUCUAUUUAUAGAGCUUUACAUUCAUGUACAUAAGAGAUAUGUGAAUUUAUAGACGCAUGGGUCCGUUCGGUUCGGGUCGGGUUUCUGGGUUUUCCUUUUCUUUUUUUUUCACCUCCCUUUUCUCUGGGUUAGUUAAACCCAGCUUUUGCUUUAGCGUUCUCUGCCCAAACAAUUCCGUCAAAAUCUUAAUAAUAGUAGGAACACGAGAUCCGGAACCGACGACCUCAAUCAUAUGUACAUUCUCAACUGCAAGACCAGCUUCUGCAAGAGUCUUCUGCAAAGGUCCUUUCACUCGCUCCAAAAUCGGGGCGCUGAUCUGUUCAAACUCAUCCCUCUUGAUAAAUCCCCUGAUAUCCUUUUCAUCCAUCAAGCACUCAAUAUUCAAAGGCACCUCGGGAUUUGCACUGAGAACUUUCUUGAGCUUCUCACAGGCAGCCCUAAGCCGAAGACGAGCUCUAGCAUUUUAGAAGACAUCAAUGUUGUAUUUGCUCCUUAAAUUUCUCAGCAAACUAGUGGAACAAAACCUCAUCAAAAUCUCUGCCACCCAAUGACCGAUCAUAAGAGUGAGCAAGGACUUUCAACUGUCCUUUUUUUGAAGCCUGCAAUGCAGACUUGCACGACCAAUAUCAACAAACGCAACAUUAAGCGGGUCAACUUCAGGCAAAUCAGUCUUGUAGAUACCAUAAGCCAAUGCAGUUGCAGUGGUCUCAUGGAUUAACUGAAGAGGGUGUAAUAAGCCUGCAAUAGUAGCAGCAUCUAGGACUGCUCUUCUCUGGAGGUCUGUAAAGUAAACCCGAAUUCCAAUGCAGUAAUCCACUACUGUUGCAUUUAGAUUCUUCUCAACAAUACUCUCGAGAUUCGAGAACAUCAUACCAAGUACUUGGGCAGGUGUGAAUGUCCUUGCUUCUCCAAGAUACCUCGCAUGUAUCAAAGGAUACCCAAUAGGCCCCUCAGCCACUUGGAAAGGCAAUGACUGCAGAUCCCCCUGGAGUUCAGUAUCUACAAAUUUCUGUCUAAUCAAUCGCUUAAUCUGGGAAAUAGAAUUCUUGGGGUUCAUCAUAGAAGCAGCUCCUGCAGUCCCAAUAAACCGCUGCUUCUCACCAAAGCAAACAAUUGCAGGGUUCUCACAUUAGGACUCGUCAUUGAGCACAACAUCGAUCCCCCUUUGCCGUGCAACAGCGACAAUGCAACUCUCAUUCCCAAAGUCAAAACCAACCACACUCAUCUUUAGCUUGGAAAACCAAUUCAGGAGACAAAUACGCCGAACUGGUGUAGUAAAAAGUGUUGAUCACCUGAUAAAUAAUAACAGAAGUGAAUCAAUCUGUUAAUUAAGUACAAAAUUGAGCAGCAGACCAUCUAAACAAAUAGUGCAGCAUCAAGCAAAACUCGAGCACAAAUAUCGUUCAAGCUCAAACAACUCCACAUAAACAUGCCAAGAGUCGGGAAACAAUCCACUUAAUCGAAUUACACAUUCAACACAAAUGCAAAACAUCUAAAAGCCAAAUCACGCGGGACAAUCAACUGGCGUAAACUUCCCACAGCUUCAACAAUCUCAAUCAUCGCAAAUCUGCAAUACUUUGAUAAACCCACCGAGCCGCCUCACCAAAUCAGAAAGCUACAAAAGUAAAUUCCAACAACGCGGAGCUACCGAAACGCCAAAACAAAAUCAAUUCUUUCCCACAUCCCAUGCAAGCCAACCACGAAUCACGACCGCAUCCCCCCCCCCCCCCCCAACCUACUUAUGUAUUAGCACAAGCAUCACCAGAUUCACCACGACAUCACUUACAUUAAGAAGAGCAUAAAUCGUGUCAGCAACAUCAGAAGCCUCGGCUGUGAUUCGAUACGCAAUGUCCCUAGCAGAAACCCCACCCCGGCCUUCAAAGAACCCCAAAUCCCUCUCGAGAACCCUCUCGAGCACAUCCACGCGAACCCUAUUUUCAUUUGGCUUCCUAAAGAAAUGCGUGCUGCAGGUAGCUCGACACGGCCCAAGCCAGCACCAAAACCCCCAGCGCGAAGCCCUCGCCCCUCAAUUUGAAAACAUCGGCGCCACCAAAGUCGGAGGAGAGUUUGCUGAUCCGGGGGACGAGCUUGGAGAGAGAGAGCGCUCAAAAGGCGCAGUCGUGGACUGGGAGAGAAGGUAGGGCUUGCGGGACCGGAGUGGAAGGGAUUUGGGAGGGGGAAGGGGAGGGGUUUUCGGCGACGGACGGCGACGGCGACGACGAGGCGGAGGCACGUCGAUCGGAGGAGAGGCCGAACUGGCAGUCAUGAGCGUAGGCGACGGAAGCUCCGUUGGAGAUCGACGAGGGCGGGCAGAAUCAACGAGAAGGCGCGGUCGUGGACAGCGGCGGAGUCGACGAGAAGGAGAAGGCACAGUCGUCGGAGAAGAAGGCGGAGCCGAUGAAGGACCGAGGGUAUGCAUUUGACUGUUUGGCCGUGGGUAAAGAUGAGAACAUGUUUGUGUUUGGUAGCUUGUUUUUAAUGUGUUCCGAGUUGAAUAAUGUUUCAACUUGAUUCGAUCCAAAACAUGUUUCUUUACUUAUCUUAUAUCUAUUACUCGAAUAGAAUCAAGACCCGAAAUAUGUAUUUCGGGUCAUGUUCGGAUGGGAUCGGAUCGGGUUUUUUUUUUUAACACCCCUAAUUAUUAAGGCAACUCCCAGUUAUUAGUGAUAUUAAAAUGAAGCAUUGUUAUUUCACUUGGUCAAAUAAGAGAGGUGCUUGUGAAAAAAAAAAGUAAGAGGGGUGCUUUAAAAAAAAAAAUUUAACAAGGAUGGAAAAACAAAAGCCAUAACUGAUUUGACAAGAAGAUUAAAGGGCUAUUUGGUUUGGUUUUGGAAAAUGCAAAUGCCUCAGAGUUGAAGGGUUUUUUGAAAUGCAAAUAAUGUUUAGCUAAUGUAAUUUUAAAGUAUAUUGAAAAAUAAUGUUGACAGAUAGUGUUUGACAAAAUCACGUUUCGAAAAACAUUUCUUUUAAAAAAAAAUGAUAAGACUCGAUGGCUCACGAGAGGGCAGCAAGCCUCUAACAAGGCUAAAUCUGGCUCCCAAUAGCCUCAUUCAAGGUUGCCCGACCUUAGGCGACCAAUAGUUAGGUCGUGCGACCUUAAGCGACCUUGCCUAGGGUUUAACGACCUCAGAUGAGGUUGUUGGUGCCAAAUCCAGCACAUCUGUAGCCAUAUACGGCCUCACCAAUCUCAUCGAUGACAUAACAUUAGGUAGGGACAUUUAUGGAAUUAUGAUAGUUGAAUAAGGGCAAAAUUGGAAGAAGAUAAUUGUAUUUGCAAUCCGAAAAUGCAUCAUUUUAAAUGACCUUCGGACCUGCCUUGGGCAAAAGCCUUAGAGAAUUUUGGAAAUGCAAUCACAUUUCCCUAAAGUCGAGCAAAAAAUGAACAAAACACCAUUUGCAUUUGCCCAGUAGACUUUAGAACCCCUAAAGCUCACCUGCAAUGCUAAACCAAACGAGACUAAGUUCCCAAUGAGAAGGGGUGGGUCAUUCCUGCCUUUGGAUUGGGCUGCAACCCAAUUCUUCUCUCCUUCAGUAAUGUGAACCUGCAACAAAGAUAAUUAUUUCAAUUUGAAGCCUUUUGGGGCAAAGCCCUAUAAUGUACUGGUGUGGCGAAGGAGAGUUCGGAAAAUGAGCAAAUUAGACACAAUGCCUCAGCCUUAAAACUGAAUGAAGCAGCCCCGAAUUUGACAAAUCCUAGCAAAAAUAAAUUCAAACGUCAACGUUUUAGAAUUGACAAGUUAUAGGGCUGGCUCGCUAUUCUUACUCAUGCUGGUCAUAAUCAGGUAUCAGUAUCACGAGGUAAAGAUGUUGAAGCAGCAAAUUCAAGCUCUAUCGAGGCAAGAGAGUUGAUAUGAGAAUGUGGUAUAGGAUUAAGUGGCUGAAGAAUGGCGACCAAAACAUUUGGUCCUUUCAGUGCAACUGUUGGAGAAAUCUUUCCAGAAUAUUUUGAAGCUGACAAAUCGUUUCUAUCAAUCUAGUCUGGAUAAGUACAGACCUUCUGUUUAGAGUAUGAAGACUUUCAGAUCACCAGACUCAAGACACAAGACUCAAGACUCAAGACUAUUCUCAUUGACAGUUUUUCUAAUCUAGUGACAAAGUCAAUCCAGAGCCGAAGUAUUUGGUUAAGGAUUUAGUCCUAUCCUCUGGAGAAGAUCUCUUGGCUGGAUAAAUAUAAUGGAUUCUUUUAUUCGUAAUCAAGAUCGUUUGAAGAUCCGAUGGUCGACGAAAUAUUCUUGGAAGGUUCUAUUCUUGGAAACCAAGAUCCUGAUUGUAUGGGCGAAUAGGAUUGAUGGGCUAUCGUCAGGUUCCUUUAAUAGCUCGAAUGAUCUUCUUGAUUGAUUCCGUCCAACGGGUAGAUUGGAGGAAUUCCUUUGGUAAGUGCCAACGGGUAUGAUGGCAUAAAGGAGUAUAAAAGGAAGACAUUCUAGUUGCUUUAGUGCAUGAUCGAUAGAUAAAUUCCAGAGUCUGAAGCACCUUGAUUAUUAGUCGAUACAUUUUGAGCGAAAUUGUAUACACAAAGAGUGUCUAUACUUAGAGAUACCUUGAUCGAGUGUGGUAGAUCAUCUACACCGAGAAAUCAAGGAAGAACAACGCUGUAACAUCUGUUUGUUCAUACUGAAAUCCAGCCAAUAGGCUGUCAGUGCAGAAGAGUGGACGUAUGCUUGACAUAAGCCGAACCAUUAUAAAACCGCGUGUUCAAUUUUCUCUUCUCUCAGUCUUACUUUGAUUAUUGUUUGUCUCAAAUCUAUCAACUGUCUAGUAUUGUGCAAUUAGAGAGAAAAAUCCUUUAUAUACCUAUUCACCCCCCUCUAGGUACUUAUACUAGCUAUAUCAAUUGGUAUCAGAGCCUGUGUACUCACUUUAUUUGAAGUGUUUUACUUCAGGGAAAAAGAUCCAUGGCUAGUAUGCUAGCACCAGGGCUGAUGGAAGGGCAAAGCAAUAUCAUACCACCCUACUUUGAUGGAAAUGAUUACAACAUCUGGAAGAACAAGAUGAAAGCUUUCCUACGAUCAAAGGAUCCUCUGGAAUGGGACGUUGUAGAAAAAUGAAUUACUCCUACAGCUGCAUCAGUCUCUGAAAGAGGGAAAGAAACUGUUGAAACCAACGGAAUGACUCAGGAAGAGAUAAUUAAGAGACAAGCACUUGAUGCAAAAGCAAUUUACUCUUUAUAUUGUGCUUUGUCACCAACUGAAUAUAACAGAAUAUCUUCUUGUGUUACAGCAAAAUAAGUUUGGGACAGAUUACAUAUCACCUAUGAAGGAAUAGAUCGAGUGAAGGAAACCAGAAUUAACAUUCUCCUCGGUCAAUAUGAAGCCUUCAAAAUGAAACCAGGAGAAUCUAUAACUGACAUGUUUAGCCGUUUUACAGAUAUUGUCAAUGGUCUUGAGAAUCAAGAACAAACAAUUUCUGAUCCCAUGAAGGUAAACAAGCUACUGCGUGGACUCUCCAAGGAUUGGAAUCAUAUAAAGACUUCAAUAAGAGAGACGCAAAGAAUUAUGCCACUAUCUGUCGAUGAGAUGAUUGGAACUCUUCAGUCUUAUGAAGUGGAACCAAUCAAUGAAGAUGAAGAUCCAAAAGGUAAGAAAUCCAUUGCAUUAAAAUCAAAUGAUGAUUAUGAUGAUACAGAUUCUGAAGAUGAUAUGGACGACGAGGAGCUUGCUCUCAUGAUAAGAAGAUUCAGAAAACUGAAUAGAAAAGGAAGAAGGUUCAACUCAAAGAAACAAAGUUUUCAAAGACAGCAAACCAAGUCUGUUGAUGAUGAGGAACCAAACAAAGAUGUAGUCUGCUUUGAAUGUAAGAAAAAGGGACACAUCAGACCCAACUGUCCUCUUCUGAAGAAGAAGAGAGGAAAAGCUGAAAAGUUUCGAAAAGCUCUCAAAGCCAAAACCUGGAGUGAUACAGAGUGUGAAGAAAGUGAUAAUGAAUAUGCCAACCUAUGUCUGAUGGCACAAUCAGACUCAGACUCAGAUUCUGGAUCAGACUCAGACAGUGAAUUCGAGGCAAGUAAUUUGAGUCUUAAGACUUCUCUCAAAAGAAUUUCCGAACUUAAAAAGGAAAACUCAGCUCUAAAACAAAAGGAAAACGUUUUAGAAGAAAGAGUUAAAAGUCUAGACUUGACUGUUUCCACUCUUAAAGAAAAUGAAGAUAAUCUUUUGAAAGAAAAUGCCCUUUUAAAAACUAACUUAUCAAAUAUUUCAAAGAAAUUUUCAAUAGGGUCCGAAAAACUUGAAAAAAUUCUUUCAGCUCAAACACCUUACUUCAAUAAGUCCAGUCUAGGUAUGACAGCAGAAACAAUUCCCUUGAUUGAUUUUCCUAAAGUAAAAGAAAGAAUUAAGGAAAUACCCUCGAGAGAGGCUUACAAAAAUCAUUUCAAUAAAGUUUUUGUAAAGUCUGUAGGUCGAAAUGCCCUCAGGUGUUCAAAGUGCAACAGUCCGGAUCACUUUGAAAAAGAGUGUCCUAUGGUUUGGAAACCUGUUAAGAAAGUAUGGGCUAAUACUGUUUAUCUUAUUAACACCAAAUGACCCAAGAAAGUUUGGGUACCAAAGAAAGCUUGAGACUCUAUUUUAAAUGCAGGUCUCCGUCAAGAAAAAGGUAAAGUGGUAUCUUGACAGUGGUUGCUCAAGACACAUGACAGGAGACUCAAAUUGCUUCAUAAAGCUUGUUCAAGUAAAUGGUGGAAAAGUUUCAUUUGGAGGAAACAGCAAAGGAAGUAUUGUGGGAUUUGGAACUGUGAAAAUUGGAAAUCUUACAAUAAGUAAUGUUUCCCUAGUGGAAUGACUCAAUUACAAUCUUCUCAGCAUUAGUCAAUUGUGUGAUACUGGUUUUAAGAUCUUCUUUCAAGAAGGAACAUGUUCUGGAAUCAGUAAAGACUCUACUCAGUCUUUCAUGGGUCGAAGACAUGGAAAUAUCUAUCUUCUGGAUGUGAAACCAAAUGAAUCGCAAUGCCUUAUCUCAAUUCAAGACGAAGCAAGCUUAUGGCACAAAAGCUUGGUCAUGUCAACAUGAAGCAUUAGCCAAAUCUCAUCAAAGCAGCUUGNNNNNNNNNNNNNNNNNNNNNNNNNNNNNNNNNNNNNNNNNNNNNNNNNNNNNNNNNNNNNNNNNNNNNNNNNNNNNNNNNNNNNNNNNNNNNNNNNNNNGGUCUACCCAAAUUACCAUACCAAAAGACUGAUCCAUGCACUCCAAGUAUUUUGGGAAAGCAGGUAAGAAAUUCAUUUAAGCAAAUAAAUCACGUCUCUACUAAUCAUGUACUACAGUUGCUGCAUAUGGAUAUCUUCGGACCAACCAGAACCCAGAGCAUUGGAGGUAAGAAAUAUUGCCUAGUAAUUGUGGACGAUUACUCCCGUUUUACUUGGGUAUAUUUCCUUGCAAGUAAGUUCGAAACCUUCUCGUAUUUUGAAAAAUUUGCUAAAAAGGUUCAAAAUGAAAAAGGAUGUGUUAUCUCAAGUAUAAGAACAGAUCAUGGAGGUGAAUUUGAAAAUCAAGAUUUUACAAAAUUUUGUGAUGAAUCUGGCUUUAAGCAUGUGUUCUCCUCUCCAUAUACUCCUCAGCAAAAUGGAGUUGUGGAAAGAAAGAAUAGAUCUCUUCAAGAAAUGGCUAGAACUCUUUUAAUUGAAAGUAAGAUUUCUUCACGAUUUUGGGCUGAAGCUAUUUCAACAGCAUGCUAUAUCAUCAAUAGAGUCUUCUUAAGACCUAUUCUAGAGAAAACCCCUUAUGAGUUAUUCAAAGAUAAGAAGCCUAUUGUUUCAUACUUUCAUGUAUUCGGUUGCAAAUGCUUUAUAUUAAAAAAUGCAAAAGAUCGAGUUGGUAAGUUUGAAGAAAGAUCAGAUGAAUGCAUCUUCCUUGGAUAUUCUACAUCAAGCAAAGCCUACAUAGUCUAUAACAAGAAGAGCCAGUCUGUGGAGGAGUCAAUGAAUGUCAAAUUUCAAGACUCAACGCAAGAUGAAUCCAGUUAGACUCAUCAUGAAGAGUCUGAAUCUACUCCAGACCCUCCAAAGCUUACAACUCAAGAAGCAUCUCAGACUCUGGAAGACCAGUAUCAAGCUGUUCGUGAAGAUUCAAAUAAAGAAAGAGAUCAUCAACCAGACAAGUCAACCAGUAACUAGAAGCAUAAGUCCAGUCAUCCCAAAGAUCUCAUUAUCGGCGAAAUUAAUGAAGGAAUUCGCACCAGAUCCAAAAGGCGUGAAGAGUCUAGUGCUGUGGCUCUCGUUUCUGAAAUUGAACCAAAGAGCAUAGAAGAAGCUUUAUCUGAUGAAAGCUGGAUUGAAGCUAUGCAAGAAGAGCUCAGACAGUUCAACAUUAAUGAUGUCUGGGAAUUGACAUCUAAACCAAAAGGUAAAACUGUUAUUGGAGCUAAAUGGGUGUUCAGGAACAAGAUGAAUGAGAAAGGAAGAGUCGUACGAAACAAAGCAAGACUCGUGGCCAAGGGAUAUACGCAAGAAGAAGGAAUAGACUAUGAUGAGACUUACGCACCAGUAGCAAGGUUAGAAGCUAUUCGACUAUUACUUGCGUUUGCUUGUUAUAAAAAUUUCAGGUUAUUCCAAAUGGACGUCAAAAGCGCCUUCCUACAUGGAUUUAUCCAUGAGGAAGUUUAUGUGGAACAACCACCAGGGUUUGAAGACCCAAAGAAGCCAGACUCAGUCUUCAGACUGAAAAAUGCCUUGUAUGGUUUAAAGCAAACACCUCGAGCUUGGUACGACAGACUAAGUAAGUUCUUAAUACAUAAUGGUUUUGUCAAAGGUAAAGUAAAUACUACUUUAUUUAUCAAAAAGGAAAACAAAAUUUUUUUACUAGUUCAAAUAUAUGUGGAUGAUAUUAUUUUUGGAUCCUUUAACGAAAGUCUGUGCAAGAAAUUUUCUAAAUCUAUGCAGGACGAGUUUGAAAUGAGUAUGAUGGGAGAGUUAACAUUCUUUCUUGGUCUUCAAGUAAAACAAUUGAAGGAAGGAACUUUUAUUUAUCAAGAAAAAUAUGCUAAUGAUCUUGUCAAAAGGUUUGGACUGGAAAAGUGCAAAAAGACCGACAUACCGAUGUCAAGUUCUUUGAAGAUAGACAAAGAUGAAGAAGGGAAGAAAGUUGAUCAAAAGCUGUACAGGAGCAUCAUUGGUUCACUUCUUUAUCUUGCUGCUUCUAGACCUGACAUUUUGUUGAGUGUUUGCAUCUGUGCUAGGUUUCAAUCAGAUCCUAGAGAAUCCCAUCUCAGUGCUGCGAAACGUAUUAUUAAAUACGUAGCUUCAUCUUCAAGCAUCGGUCUUUGGUAUCCUAAGAAGGGAGACUUUAAUCUUCUGGGAUAUUCAGACGCAGAUCUGGCCGGUUGCAGAGUUGAUAGAAAAAGCACUUCGGGAACUUGCCAGUUGCUUGGAAGCAUGACAGUGUCUUGGUUUUCAAGGAAACAAAGCACUGUGGCUCUCUCAACAACAUAAGCAGAGUAUGUAGCUCUUGGAAGUUGCUGUUCGCAAAUUCUAUGGAUCAAACAACAGCUACAAGACUUUGGAAUUGAAGACUCAUGCACAGAAAUUAGAUGUGACAACACCAGCGCAAUCAAUCUCACUAAAAAUCCAAUUCUUCACUCAAGAGCAAAGCAUAUAGAAAUUCGACAUCAUUUUAUUAGAGAUCAUGUUCAAAAUGGAGAAAUCUCAAUUCAAUUUGUUGAUUCAAAAAAUCAACUAGCGGAUAUAUUCACAAAGCCUUUGGAGAAAAAUCAAUUCGAUUUUAUCCGUUCCAAACUCAACAUUUUGAAGCUUGAGGAAGUUAAAGUCUAGAGACUCUCCAACCCUCAGACUCAGACAUUCAUGGCUGUAGACUGUAAGUUGUUAUUAUAUUCAAUCUCGAAAAGGUACGAUCAUUAGUUCAGUUAAUUUAUAAUUUCCGUGAAAAACUGAAUCUUGUCUUUUAAAAGGGAUUAACUUCUAUUUGGCAGUUAUUGAUUUUAAAAGAGGCGUCUGUUCAUUUUCUUUUGUGCCGAUUGGUUUUUUCCUUUUUAAAUUGAGUUUUAUAUAUAUACAGUUUUCCUUGUUUAAACUUCAAAACCCUAAAAAGGCAUUCUCCUCCCAAUCCUGUCUCUACUUCGUGUUUAUCUUCAAGAAAGUUGUCAUCUUUUCUUGGGAAAGCGAGUAAAGGAAUCUUUCAACGACAAGAAAGGAUGUCUUCCUCGAGAAAGUCUUCAAGAAUCGCGAACAGGGGACCACAGAGAAUGAGGGAGGGGCCUACCCAUUUCGAUCUCAUCGAAGAGGAAGAUUUACCGAGCCAGCAACAGAGCCCGAUUCACUCUCACCACGUCACUCUUCAUCAUCUACCCCACAAGGUGAGUCAUCAACCGGAGGAAGAAAUAAUCGAGGACGCAGACCCUGUAAGAGUCUAAAAACCCUCUUUUAUUUACAAGCUCUAUCGUGCACUGAAGAGCAUUGGGACUCCGCUGAACUAUAUAGAUGAUUUCCUUAAAGAUAAGAAUUAUGGGAAUGAGUAUAUAUUUUUGCGACGAAUGGAGGAUUUGGGAAUUGCUCCCAAAGGAAAGGCUGAGGAAGCACUUGCGAAUAUUCCAAGUGACCCUCGUGUAUCGGGACUGAAUCCAACUGAUGGGAACGAUGAUGAUAAAAUGUUCAGAGAAUUUCAACCUAGAAUGGGAGUUGCUGCGAAGGUGAAGGGAAAAAGGAUGGACUUGUUUAAAUCGAAGGAACAGGAGAAUCUGUUCUUUAGACUGUUGAAACGAGGGGUGAUAAACCCUAGGAGUGUUGAUUUCGAUUUCUUGGAUGCCAUUAAUGUGAACCUAAGGGAGAAGUUAAAUCUGCUUCAAUGAGCAAUUCUGCUCCGAUACCACAGACGGUUAUGCGCAAUUAACAGCAUACUUCUAUUCGAAUCUUAGCUUUUUAGAUGCGAAUAGAAUAUCCUUCAGUGUUCGAGACCAAGUCUAUGAGGUAGAUGUGGACAUGUUGGCAGACAUAAUUGGAGUUGAAAGAGGACGAUAUAAACCCAUCAAGGUUUCAAUCGCUCGUACCACACUGGAACUUGUCAAAGACAAGAGUACAGAAGGAAGAGUUACCUAUUCGAGAAUGCAUGCCAUCAACAUCUUGCUUCAUAAAAUUGUGAUCAAUUGUAUCAGGCCAAAGUCUACAUCAAAGACUUACGUGUCUAACUCCGAGGCGAAAUUGAUGUAUGCAAUCAAUUCAGGGAAAAAGUUCUCUCUCCCUCACACCAUUCUCUUUCACAUGUACAGAGCAAUGGUGAAGGACAAGGGCCAAUUGCCUUAUCCAGGUCUUGUGACCAAGAUCUUCAGACACUUGAACAUUGAACCUCCACAUACUCUUUGUGUUCGACCAUGCGACAAAAUGGUGGUGGGUUUGAAAAUGCUGACAAAAAUGCGUCUGAAAGAGCUUAAUAAGGCAAUGGAGAAGUUCAAAGUGAAGACUCCAGCAUCUUCUGCAUCAAAGAGAAAAGGGAAGGAGCCCAUGGGUGCUCCAUCCAAAAAGAAAAGAACUCUUAUCUUGGAGGAUGAAGAUGAGGAGGAAGAUCUCACUAUCUCUGCUUUGAAAAGGACCAGACGUUCUGUACCUGAAUCAACAGAACAACAAAAGAAAGGAAAAGAAGCAGAAGAAAAAGAACAGAGAGAAGAAGAGGGACAAGCAAAGAACAGAGAAGCAGAGGAGAAACAAGAGAAAGAGAAAGAAGACGAAGAGAAAGAAGCUGAAGAAGAAGGAGAAGCAGUAAAAGAAAAGUCUGCAGAUGAAGCCGCUGAAGAAGGGAAUCAAGACGCUGAAGAGCAUGACCAUCACUCUUCCCCAAUUGAGGUCCUAGAGACAGGGGGAGAUGGCGAGCAAGGAAGGACUACACCACAUGCUAUCAACAACGAAGUUGUUAGUCGCUCACCAGCAAAUCCAGAAGACUUUCAGGCUUCUCAAAUGGCUGAGGAAGGACAUGAUACGUCAACACCAAAUCUGCUCGAUUACACUGAAGUUCCAUCGUCUGACUUCACUCCAUCCAAAAAAGCAAAUGCAAGCACAUAGACGAACAAUACAACAGAUUUUCGUCGUAUACUUGAUGUUCUUCUGGAAAUGCAGGGUCAAAUCUAUGCUCUGGAAUGUGAACUUCAAGUCAUGAAGAAUGCUGGAAAAGCAUCUUCUGUUACCCUAGCUCAUCUUCGGGAAGACUUGAAGAGGCUGGAAGGCAUCGUCCAAUCGAUGGGAGAUUUCCAGAUUGUGCGCAUUCCCAAGCAGAAGUGACUCUUUCUCACCUUUUUAAUGAUGACAAAAAGGGGGAGAAUUGCAAUUUAAACUCUUUAAACUCUUUAAACUUUGACGUGUUUGAAUAAUUGAGUAUGACUUGGGUGUGAACUUGAAUUUGACCGACUUGUGUGGAUUUUGAUGUUUGACUGUUUGCAUUUAUAUCAAGUGUCGUUGUAUGGUCUUACUCAUGAAAGACUAACCAAUUUUCUGUGGAUGCAGAGUCUAGUUGAUUUAUUAAUCUUUAUGAGAUAGCCAUAUUGCUUGAGUAAUGUUUUGCAGGUCAAAGUUGUUUAAAUCUACAGGAAAGUUUUGUCAUCAUAAAAAAUGGGGAGAUUGUUGGAGAAAUCUUUCCAGAAUAUUUUGAAGCUGACAAAACGUUUCUAUCAGUCUAGUCUGGAUAAGUACAGACCUUCUAUUUAGAGUCUGAAGACUUUCAGAUCACCAGACUCAAGACUCAAGACUAUUCUCAUUGACAGUUUUUCUAAUCCAGUGACGAAGUCAAUCCAGAGCCGAAGUAUUUGGUUAAGGAUUUAGUCCUAUCCUCUGGAGAAGAUCUCUUGGCUGGAUAAAUAUAAUGGAUUCUUUUAUUCGUAAUCAAGAUCGUUUGAAAAUCCGAUGGUCGACGAAAUAUUCUUGGAAGGUUCUAUUCUUGGAAACCAAGAUCUUGAUUGUAUGGGCGAACAUGAUUGAUGGGCUAUCGUCAGGUUCCUUUAAUAGCUCGAAUGAUCUUCUUGAUUGAUUCCGUCCAACGGGUAGAUUGGAGGAAUUCCUUUGGUAAGUGCCAACGGGUAUGAUGGCAUAAAGGAGUAUAAAAGGAAGACAUUCUAGUUGCUUUAGUGCAUGAUCGAUAGAGAAAUUCCAGAGUCUAAAGCACCUUGAUUAUUAGUCGAUACAUUUUGAGCGAAAUUGUAUACACAAAGAGUGUCUAUACUUAGAGAUACCUUGAUCGAGUGUGGUAGAUCAUCUACACCGAGAAAUCAAGGAAGAACAACAUUGUAACAUCUCUUUGUUCAUAGUGAAAUCCAGCCAAUAGGCUGUCAGUGCAGAAAAGUGGACGUAGGCUUGACAUAAGCCGAACCACUAUAAACCGCGUGUUCAAUUUUCUCUUCUCUCAGUCUUACUUUGAUUAUUGUUUGUCUCAAAUCUAUCAACUGUCUAGUAUUGUGCAAUUAGAGAGAAAAAUCCUUUAUAUACCUAUUCACCCCCCCUCUAGGUACUUAUACUAGCUAUAUCAGCAACUUCUACUCAAGGCGACAAAGUAAUCAUUAGGGGUGCGCAUCAGUCUAGGAUUGACCCUGGAUUGACCCUAGACCAGCCCAGCCCUACCGGUCCUAGUCCGGUUCUCAGGGAGAUUAGAUCGGUCCUUGAUUCUAGAAUUCAUUGACCAGUACUGUGCGGGUUGGUCCUCGGUCCUGAGAGUUCCGAGUCGGUCCAACCCGGACCAACCCUGACUAUAUAUAUCUAAUAUAUUACUUAUAAUUUUUUUAUAUAGAGAAAAUCUUAAAAUAAAUGGCGGCAAUAAUAUUAAACAACUCUUUAGUGAGGAGUUCAAGUAAUUUUACAUUGUUCUUUAAUAAUUUAGAUUUUUAAUGUCUUUUACGGCGUCAAUAGUCAUAAUUUACGAAGGAGAAUUUUUUUUUUUUUUUUGUGAGGAGUCCUCACGGCAUCCAAAUAGGCAUAAACAACUCCUUAUGACAUCAUCAUCUAGUAUUCGUUCUCUUCUAUCUUAUUUGUCUUCUUAGUCUUUUAUUUGUCAAAAUCGAAAGAAACAACUUCUCCGCUUACCACUUGACACUCGCCUCGCUCACUUUGGGUCACUCGUGCUGCUCGCCACUCGAUGCUCGCUUGGCUUGUUGCUUCCUGCUCAACAUUCGAUGUUCACCCCAUUUGACCCUCACCACUUGCUUUUUUAGCUAACAUUGCUCAUCAUCGAACCCAUUGGGUCAGUAUGGUCCUCGGUCGGCCUUUUAAGGAAUACAAAAAAUGAAAUAAAAAAUUAUUUGUUGGUCCUGGGUGGACUCUGAAAUCGGACCGAACUCAUUGGGUCAGUUCGGUCCUCAAUCGCUUUUUUAAAGAGUACAAAAAAUGAAAUAAAAAAUUAUUGGUUGGUCCUAGGUUGAUCCUGAAACCGGACCGAACCCAUUAGGUUAGUUCAAUCCUCAAUCACUUUUUAAAGAAUACAAAAAAUGAAAUAAAAAAUUAUCGAUUGGUCCCAGGUUGACCCUGGAACUAGACCGAACCCAUUGGGUCGGUCCAGUCCUUGGUCCCAAGCUCAAUAAGGUCAGUCCUCGGUCCCAAAAAUUGAAGACCAGUAUUGUGCGGGUUGGUCAUAAGGUUAGGGGGUAGACCGGCCCAAUCCGGACUAUGCUCACUCCUAGUAAUCAUAUCUCCUUGCUCCAAAUUGCUGAUAACACCUGGUGCCACGAUCAAGCAGUCAGAUAAGACACAAAAGCUUAAUUUGCAUACCUUAGUAUGGGCAAGAAAUUUUGAACCCACAAUUAGCAAGUGCCCUGUCUUGAUGAGUAAUGAGAUGAGAGAACAGUUUACACAGGAAGAGAUCGCAGUUAGUCUUUGCUAUCGAAAAUACAAAAGCCCUAAACGGCUUAAAUGAUUUAUUAUUAUUAUUAUUAUUAUUAUUUUCGGAAGAAUUGAUUGGGAAUCAGAGGAGUUGUUAUCAAGGAUAUAGAACAGUAGCUUCGAUUUGGUGCUCCUAGUCUUAAACCCAAUCGUUAGCCAUACCCACAUACAACAUGUCCCCAAAACUCCCAACCUAGAAAACUUUCUCACUUCCGGCCUAUUAACCCGUGCAAUUUUUAUUUAUAAAUUAUGUUCCAUAGUUCUGGCCCAUGUAGCAUCGACACGGACAUGCGACACACGACAUGACACGACACGACACACCGACACGUCAUUUCUCAAAAAAUAGAGAAUUCCGACACGUUUCGACACGUUUCGACACGUUAUAUAUUAAAUAUAUAUUUUUAUAUAUAAACGCAAAAAUAUAUAAAUAAUAAUAAAAAGAGCAUAAAAUUAAUUUAUAUUAAAAAUAUUAAUUCAACAUUUGUUAAUAUCAUUGUUUUAAUUUGACAGAGAUUGAACGAGAAAUUCAAAAAUUGCAAACAUAAAAGAGUAAACUUGAAGGAACAUGUCAUGUUUUCUUAUACUUGUCGGAGAUUAGUAAGAUUUCUUAUAGUCAUAGACAGAGUUCGAAGUUCAUGAUAUAAACUAGCUUGGAGCUCCUCUGCAAAACAAGGUUCGAGAAAAAUGAAAAUCCAGGAUAAAAACUCUUGAAGUAUAACCAAAAGAAAAGAAAAUCAUUAAAUUUACCAUGGAAAACGUGAGAGAUAACUCACAAGCCAAUAACAUAGACAAAAAAAGAUAACUUGCAAGCGAUGCUUGUGAGAGGCAGAAAAAAGCAAAAAAAAAUUAUAACAUUAAGUAUGUGGGGGCAACGGAAUGACGCCAACGAGAUGAGGGGCGUUCCAUCGUCACUCACGGGAAGAUCAGAACUUAUAAGUGAAAAACUUGAGAGUAAUAAUUUUCUUCUUUCCUCUUUAUUUUUGUUAUUUUCAUUAUUUUUCAUAAAUUUACAUUUUGACCCCUCAAGUAUUGAAAUUUUUUAAAAUUGAGCAUGUGCGUGUCGGAAUCGCAUGUCAAAAUUUUGGACUCGCGUGUCGGAGCGUGUUGAGAAGAGUUGACCACAUGUCAGAUUUUCCGACACUCGUUGACCGCGUGUCAGAAUGUGUUGGAGUGUGUCAGAGUGUCGGACACGACAUAAAGGCUUCCGAAAAGUGUCGGUGCUUCUUAGGUUCUGACAAUCGAUCGAUCCCUACUGGACAUCAUCAUUUCCCCAAUGCAUAGCCCAUUAGCCCUUUCUUUUCUUAAGGGCUUGAACUUUAAGAAAUUCAAGAUAAUAUCUAUAUUGUGCAAGAUGUGUUCCAUCGGUUGAGGACGCAAAAACAAAAGGAAAUUUUUGAAAAAAUGCUAAAGCUUGACAUGUAGAAAUAUACGAUAAAGCGGAGUAGGACUCCUUAGAGGUGUGCUUGAAACCUAUGGGUUUUCAUGACAAAUGUGUCUCUUGGUAAUGCAAUGAGCUAUGAAAAUCAAGUAAAGCAUUAAAUUCCAUGGGGAACUCCUAAAGGUCUUCCAACCUAGUCGAGGCUUGUGACAAGGUGAUCCAUAUCACUUUAUCUCUUCAUCAUUGUUGCAAAAAUGCUCUCCAUUUUAAUUUUUGAGACUCUUAAUGCCAACUAAAAGGCAUCGAACUAUCACGCGAAUGCCAUCAUAACCACGAUGCCAAAAAAUUCUGAACAUGGACAGCAUUAACCUUGAAUUCCCUCCUGCAACUCGCCAUACAAACGUAUAUGCUUACAUGGUCAAAGUAGCAUCAAAUUUGUAUGAAAUUUAGGUCACAUAAAAACCCUCAAAUCACGGCGAGAAAACCCAGGAUUAUUUUCAACAAAUUCUGGGCAUAUCAACAUGAGCAUUACCUCCAAAUUUAACAUUAAUUGACUGUGGCACUUUCCUACCUAACCAUACAUUCACGUGAUAAAGACUAUAUCAACUCUCAGGCCAAAUUAACAGCAAAUCAGCAAUCAAGAGCUCAAGCAGCCAGCUCAAACAAUCCAUACAUUCAUAAUAAUACUAAGUGGCGAUCGCAGCUAAAAGCCUAGAAUUAAAGCUGAUUAGAUGAAGAAAUUCUUCUCACUUUCUAUCGCACACACCUCACAGCCUGCUCUUCUGCAUUUCUUGCACAUCUCAAAAUGGGCAAUCAGCAUUUUCCUACCGUCAACAACCAUCUUAAGAACACCACUUUAAUUCUCAGCAGAAACCGGGGACAUUACUUUACCAAUUCUCACUAAAAGCUUAUUUUAAAAAGUGUCAUGAACAAAGAUACAAACAAAGCACUCCAUCAUCUCCAUAAACAAGUAUAUUCUUCAAAGUUCCCUCUUAAUGAAAUACAGAACAAUAAGUGCACUUCUACACCGGUUUAAUCUCAGACUCAAUCAACAUCAACAAAGCCGAGACAUCAGAGAAGCAAAAUACAUGCCAACGAUGAUAACCAACAUCUAUCAUUGCAUAGCAAAGGAGAUACUUCUUUAACAUGUGUAUGGUUUCUUUCAGGCACGUGGACAAACAUGUGGUGAUCAAUUCAGACAAAAGAUAUUGCUGCUACAUCGAAGCAACUACUCUGAACCAAGCUAUCCCAACAGCGCCAAAAUGAUUUCAGAUCAUUAAUAAAUCGUUAAGCAGGAACGCUUUUAACAUAAAACUCGAUUGCACUUCUCGGUCUCUAUAGAACAGGGCAUGAGCUCUUGCGGGACAAAGGCGCAAUUACGGCCGCAAUUGGCUAUUGAACUCACAAGUGAAGCUCUGGGACAAGUCAGUGGUGAAGGUCGGCACCAAUGAAAGAAGGUUGGCUGAGAGGGAGAGCGAGAGAGAGGAUCAAAACUGUUGCAGAGGUCCUUCUUCGCGUGAGCAAAAUGACGCUCGAUUCUGCUUCGCUCAUUCUCCUCUGUCUUUUCCAGAACAUUCGCGGAUGAGAAAGGGAGAGACAGAGGGGGGCCGGGGGGGGGGGAGAGAGAGUAGCUAUGCUCUCUCUCGAAUUUGGGCUUUCUUCAUGGCCAUGGCUAGUGAUCCUUCUUAUUUCAAGUCUUUUCUAAAGACUCGAAAUGCUCUUAUUUCAAAUAAGAGUGAAUUUGUUGGAGAAAACUUCCUUGAGUGUUUUGAAGUUGACAAAACGUUUCUAUCAGUCUAGUCUGAAGACUUGCAGACUCUUCCAUCAAAGUCUGAAGACCUCCGGACUGCUAGACUCAAGACUCAAAGUCUAUCCUCAUUGACAGUUUCUAGACCGUUGAAGAAGGCUUAUCCAGAACUGAAUGUUUCGUUAAGGAUUUGAUUCUAUCGACUGAAAAAGAUCUCUUGGCUAGAUACAGCAUGUCGGAAUCCAUUAUUCAAGUUGAGAUUGAUUAAGGAAUUUUGGAUCCAUUGAUUGACAAAGUAUACUUGGAAGAUUCUACUUAUGGAAACCUAGAUCCUGAUUGUAUGGGCGAGCAGGAUUGGUGGGCUAUUGUCAUAUUCCUUAAAUAACUCGAAAUCUUCCUAAUUGAUUCUGUCCAACGGGUAGAUUAGAAGAACUCCUUUGGUAAGUGCCAACGAGUGUGAUGGCAUGAUGGAGUAUAUAAGGAAGACGUUCCAGUUGUUCGAGUGUGUGCACAAUAAAAGAAUUCCAAAGUCUGAAACUCCUUACUCUUAGUUAAUUAAAUUGUUGAGCGAAAUCUUAUACUCAAAAGAGAGUUUAUAUCUUUGUGAGACCUUGAGGAAGUGUAGCAGAGUCUCUACACUGUGGAAUCAAGGAAGAGCUUUACUGUAACAACUCUUUUGAUUCAUAGUGAAAUCCAGCCAGUGGGCUGUCAGUGCGGAAGAGUGGAUGUAGGCUUGGAUUAAGCCAAACCACUAUAAACCCUAUGUUCUUAUUCUCUUCCCAACGCUCUUUUACUUUGAUCGUAAUUCAUUUUGUCUACAAGAGUUUAAUUUUCUUUUCAUAAUCUAUUGUUGAUUAGUGUUGCACACUUCUCUUGGAAAUUUAUUUUUGCAUCUAUUCACCCCCCUCUAGGUGCUCGUACUAGCUUUCACAGAAUUGACCAUGUCAAUUUCAAAAAAGGAUCUAACCUCAACAGCCUCCUCUAGAUCUAGACAAGGUGGCCUUGGCCGUUACUUUCUCCACUAAGGCCGCCCAUGCUUACAUGGUGAGAAAUGAGGCGACCAAUGUCCAAUUGCUUCUGUUGGAUUUGUAGGGACACGGCUUCCCCUAGAAAAGAGAAGCAAGUCCGAAUCUUGUUGCCCAGAGACGACGUCCCGUAGGAGAAGACAAGAUUGAUGGGGUCCCUGCCUCACUUCCUCGAGACGUUAGUGAGGUCACCGUCUAAAGCUUUCAUCACGGCCUUUGAAGGGAGGAAUUUGCUGCUCAGAGACCCGUGUUGUUGUAGGAUCGGCAGAGAGUCCGUGCGGUGGUGGUUUCAGACCGCGGCUACCCACAACCCAACUAGGCAGCUUUGUAUGCGUCCUGAUGGUGUUGAUUGGGUUGAUGAGCUCUGUUUCUCAAUUAGUGAUGGAGAGCAAAGAGAUUGAGAUGGUGAGAGCUAGCAUUGACGGCUACCAGGUGAGGCAAGAUCCAGUCUAAGUCAUUGUCGAGAAAAUGAGGUCACAUGAUGUUCUCAUUUGGAAUUUUCCCAUUUUCUUUUUUUUUCUUCUUUCUUUGUUCUUAGUAAUUAUUAUUUUUAAUGUCCACAUUCGAUUUGCCAGCAAAAAUUCUGGUGUCAACACUAUAAUAUAAGAAGAUAGAUGAUUAUGUGAAUUAGACUUAUGCUUCCGCUUGAAAAGAUCGACACUACAUAAGUCAAGUACACAUCCCUAUGAGCGAGCUGGGACAUCGAGUAAUUCAUUGAGCGAGAGCAGCAAACAUGAAAGUGCUAGUAUGAAUACCUAGAGGGGGUGAAUAGGUGUAAAAACAAAGUCUUCUUUCCUUAAUUACUUAAUUCAGAUCAAGGAUGUAAUCAAACAGCUUAAAAUACGAAAUAAGCAAAGAGAUAAGGAAAGAGAAUUAAAACACGGAGUUUAUAGUGGUUCGGCUUAGACCAAGCCUACGUCCACUCUCCCACGCUGACAGCCCACCGGCUGGAAUUCACUAAGAAUCAAAAGAGAUGUUACAAUCUCACGUCCUCGAUUUCACAGUGCAAAGACUCUACUACACUUCCUCGAGAUCUCACAAAAUUCUCUCUUUUUAGUACAGUUAUAUGCUCAACAAAUGAAUUAGCAAAGAGUAAGGAGCUUUAGACUUUGGAAUUUCUCUAUCUCGCACACACUAGAAUAACUAGAGCGUCUUCCUUUUAUACUCCUCUAUGCCUACAUAACCGUUGGCACAUUCAAAAGAGUUCUUUUAAUCUACCCAUUGGACAGAAUCAAUUAGGGAGAUCUUGCUUUAUUUAAGGAAUAUGAAGAUAGCCCACCAAUCCUAUUCGCCCAUACAAUCACAAUCUAGGUUUCCAUAAGUAGAACCUUCCAAGUAUAUUUUGUCAAUCAACGAUCUGUCUUACUUGAUUUACUUGUCAUACAAAUAAUAGAUCUUUGUAUGCUUUCUCCAAUCGUGAGACAAUCUUCAACCAAUCGAAUCAAAUCCUUAAGGAUAACCUUGUAUUUGGAUAAGACUUCUUCGACGAUCUAGAAACUGUCAACGAGGGCAGACUUUAAAUCUUGAGUUUGGUGAUCUUCAGUCUGAAAGUCUUUAGACUUUGAUAGAAGAGUCUAGAAAUCUUCAGACUUAGGAAACAUUUUGUCAACUUCAAAAUACAGAACGAAGAUUUCUCCAACAAUCUCCUCUUUUUUUAUGGUGACAAAACUUUCCUGCAGAUUUAGACACUUUGACCUGAAAAACAACACUCAAGCAAACCAAGAUUUUCUUGUUCAAAUAUUAUUAAAGAUAAGAAAAAGAUAGUAGCGAAUCUGUGAAUCUGCAAUCACAGAGAACAUGUUAGUCCUGAAAACACAACUAUCUUUAGCAUAAUCAGUAAUAGCUUAAGUUACUUAGCAAGCCUCAGUAGUCCAAACUAGUCCAAAACAAAAUCACACCAAACAAGCAUAAAGUCCAAACCAAACAAAGAUAACGUUAACACAAAUCUGCAUAAACUUCUCCCCCUUUUUGUCAACAACAAAAAGUGGAGAUCAAACAAAAAGAGAUGGUUGAAAAAGAUCAAGAGUUAAGGCUGCUUGGGCAAGCGAACAAGCUCGUAUUCUCCCAUUGAGUGCACUGUCUUUUCAAGCUUGUCAAAACUUUGCUUCAGCGCCUGGAAUUAUUCACCUUGCACAUUAGACUGAACUUGAUUCUUUAAGGCAUUUAAAUAUUCAUGAAGAGACACUGAAGAGACACUGAAGUGGCCUUAACAGCGUUCUUGAGAUCCAGCAUCUCAAAACUCAUAGCAUAUUGCUAAUUCCGCACAUCCAAUAGAAUUUCCAGCAGUCUUGAAAAGUCUGCUAUUUGAGCAGUUGUAUCACUUGGACCAGCAGAGUGAAACUCGAGGAAUUUGAGAAAUGAUGGAGCCUCAGUGGAUGGUCCACCAUGACUAUCUUCUGGAUAAUGCGAGGCAUACACUUCUUCUAGGUUUGCUGCAGAAUGACUUACAUCACUAGCAAAUAAGGGUGAAAAAGUACCUUUUUGUCCAUCAGCUCCCCCAGUUUUGAUGCCCUCAGGUGGAGUAGGCAAAGCUUCCUCAGCCUCAGAGUGAUGCGCUCCAGCAGAUUCUUCUCCUCUUAUCUCAGAAUGACUAGAUAGAGAGAUAGCUAAGGUUGGCUUAAAAGAGUCUUUUGCACCCUGAUCUCCUUCUCUCUCUUCUUCUUCUGCUUCUUCUUCCCCUUCUUCCACUUCUUCUUCUGCUUCUUCCACUUCUUCUUCUGCUUCCUCCUCUUCUUCUUCCUCUUCUUCCUCUGCUUCUGCUUCUUCUUCUCUUCUUUCCUCUGUUUCCCUCUGUUCUUCUUUCUUCUCCGAUUCUUCUUUCUCUUUUUCUCUUUCUUCUUCUAACUCUUCUCUUAUCUCACGAAAGCUGACAAAAGUCUUUAAAUUUCUCAAGGCAGAUAUAGUAAGCUCACCCUCAUCUUCUUCAUCUUCCAGAAUGAGAGCUCUUUUCUUCUUUACAAGAGCAACCAUGGGCUCCUUGCCUUUUCUUUUAGCCGCAGCAGAGUCUUGCUUUGCCUUGAGAGGAGAUUUCUCCUUCAUACGCUCCAGCACUUUAAGCGCAUCUUUAUCACCAUUUUGAAACCAAUUACCAUGGGAGCAAUGGCUUUCAAGCUUAAUGGUGUAGAGAUGUGAAUUUUAAAGUGCCUAAAGAGUCUUGUGAUAAGAGCAGAAUAAGGAAGCUGUCCCUUAUCCUUCGUCACAGUUCGAUAAUGUGGAACAGUAUGGUGUGAGGCAGAGAGAACUUAAAACUAGUAUUGAUUGCACACAUCAAUUUGGCUUCAGAUCGAGAAACAUUAGUCUUGGAUGUUGAUUUAGGACGAAUGUAAUGUAUCACAAUUUUGUGCAGCAAAAUGUUAGAGGCACUCAUCCUUAAAUAAUAAAGCUUUCCUUCAACAUCCCUGUCUCUCACCAAGGACAGAAUAACAUGAGCAAUGGACACACUAAUUGGUUGGAAACUCGUUCUUUCCACCCCAAUUAUGUUAGCUAAAGUGUCUGUGUUCACCAAAAAUUCCCUAUCCUUCACAGUGAAGAUAAAACUUUGUGCAUCCAAGAAAGAUAGAUUCGAACAAAAGUAAGCAGUAAGCUUUGGAAAUGCAGCAGUGAAUUCAGAACAGAACUUUUCCAAUUGCAAUAAAGCAAACUUUUCCCUCAAAUUAACUUUUAUCGGAUCCAGGAAAUCGAAGUCAACAGUCUUAGGGUUCAUCACCCCUCUCUUCAAAAGACUUGCAUAAACCUUUUUAUAAUUCUUGGAUCUAAAAAGGUUCGAACCAUCAGUAAUGUUAGCGGCCACCCCAGAUCUAGGUUGAAAGUGAGAAUACAACCUUUCAUCAUCAUCCAGAGUUUGCGGUUGAUUCACAGUGCCAUAUUGUGGGUCACUUGGAAUAUUCGCAAAUGCUUUCUCAGCCGAUCCUUUCUCCACAACUCCUAGCCUCUCCAACUCUCUCAAAAACAGGGUUUCAUUCUUGAAUUCUCUAUCUUUUAAGAACUCAUCAAUUAAAGACAAUGGCGUUCCUCCUUUCUUCAAAUUCGAGUAGAGUUUGAAAACAUUCUUUGGAGUUAGAGUUCUUACAAGUUCAACCUCUUCUAUGACUUCAUCGGCUGAUAGAUUCAGGGAAGGUUGACGCUACUUAGAAGGUUGUUGCUGACUUGGACGCAUUGGAGGAGAAUCUUCUUCUUCGGUUAAGUCAAAGUGGGUAGGAUCCUCAGGCAUGCGACGUGGUCCCCUACUUGCAAUCCUUAAUGACUUUCUUGAAGACAUUGACACUCCAAUGGAGAGAAUCACCAACUUGUUCGAAAAAAGGUGAAAACUUUCGAACGUAUCAACAAAGAAGGUGAAAGAAAAUAGGAAUUUUGUAUUCUAGGGUUUCGGAGUAAAAUGAAGAAGACAAAACUCAGCGGUAUAUAAAGUAAGUGAAGUGAGGUAAACGAAGCGUCAUAAAAGGAAAUAAAAAUAUGUCUUUUCAAAAACAAUAACUUCCCUUUUUGAAAAUAACUGAAUUAUUUAAAAAUCAAUAACUGCCUUUUUGAAGUUAGGAAUAAAUUAAGAAAGAUAAUUCCAAACGACUCUCAGUCAAUAGAUAAUUGUACCUUUUCAAAUUAAAAUUAGAAACAACUUACAGUCAUACCUUGAGGUCUUAUGAGUCUAAUCAUUUAAAGACUUCUAUCUUUGAGUCUUGAGAGUAUCCAGACUUUGCUGAGUAAGAGAUUAUAUUAAGUCUGGUACGAAAAGACUCAAAUAGAUUUUUCUUCAGUGGCUUUGUAAAUAUGUCAACCAGUUGAUUCUUAGAGUCAAUGAACUGGAUAAUUACUUUUCCAUUUUGAACACGAUCUCUAAUAAAAUGAUGUUGAAUCUCUAUAUGCUUUGCUCUUGAAUGAAUAAUAGGGUUCUUGGUAAGAUUAAUCGCGCUGGUGUUGUCACAUUUGAUCUUGGUGCAAGAAUCUUUGACUCCAAAGUUUCUUAGUUGUUGUUUUAUCCAUAAAAUUUGUGAACAACAACUUUCAAGAGCCACAUAUUCUGCUUUUGCUGUUGAAAGGGCUACCGUAUUUUGCUUCUUUGAAAACCAGGAUACUGUCCUAUUGCCGAGUAAUUGACAAGUACCGGAAGCACUCUUCCUUUCAACUCUGCAGCCUGCUAGAUCUGCGUCUGAAUGUCCAAGGAGGGUAAAGUCUACUUCUUUGGGAUACCAUAGACCUAACUUUGAAAUUGUUGCAACGUAUUUGAUGAUGCAUUUCGCAGCACUUAGAUGAGAUUCUUUUGGAUCUUAUUGAAAUUUGGCAUAAAUACAAACACUAAACAGAAUGUCAGGUCUAAAAGCGGUAAGAUAAAUAAGUGAACCAAUAAUACUCCUGUAAAGUUUCUAGUCAACUUUCUUUCCUCCUUCAUCUUUAUCCAGCUUCAAAGAACUAGACACUGGAAUUUCAACCUUUUUGCAAUUAUCUAAACCAAACUUUUUAACAAGUUCAUUUGCAUAUUUUUCUUGGUGAACGAAAAUUCCUUCCUUCAAUUGUUUUACUUGUAAUCCGAGAAAGAAAGAUAAUUCACCCAUCAUGUUCAUCUCAAAUUCAUUCUGCAUAGGCUUAGAGAAUUUCUUAUAAAGACUUUCGUUAGGAGAGCCAAAAAUUAUAUCAACACAAAUUUGAACAAGCAAAAAAAAUUUUCCUUCCCUUUUGAUAAACAAAGUUGUAUCCACUUUACCAUUGGCAAAACCAUUUUGGGUUAAGAACUUUACUUAACAUGUUGUACCAAGCUCGAAGUGAUUGCUUUAAACCAUAUAGAGCCUUUUUCAGUCUGAAUACUGAAUCUGGCUUCUUUGGGUUUUCGAAACCGAGAAGUUGUUCCACAUAAACUUCUUCUUGGAUAAAUCCAUUCAGGAAUGCGCUUUUGACGUCCAUUUGGAAUAACUUGAAAUUCUUAUAACAAGCAAAAGCAAGUAAUAAUCUAUUUGCUUCUAACCUUACUACUAGUGCGUAAGUCUCAUCAUAGUAUAUCCCUUCUUCUUGCAUAUAUCCUUUGGCCACGAGUCUUGCUUUGUUCCUUACAACUUUUCCUUUUUUUGUCCAUCUUGUUCCUGAAAACCCAUUUUGCUCCAAUAACAGAUUUUCCUUUUGGUUUAGGAGUUAAUUCCCAAACAUCAUUAACACUUAACUGUUUGAGCUCUUCUUGCAUGGCUUCAAUCCAGCUUUCAUCAGACAAAGCUUCUUCUAUACUUUUGGGUUCUAUUUCAGAAAUAAAAGCCACAGCACUGGACUCUUCAUGCCUUUUGGAUCUUGUACGAAUUUCUUCAUCAAUGUUACCAAUGAUGAGUUCUUUGGGAUGACUAGACUUGUGCUUCCAGUUGCUGGUUGGUCUGACAAAUUGUUGAUCUUCUUUUUCAGUUGAUUCUUCAGCAAUCAUUUGUUGGUGUCCUUCUAUGGUCUAAGCUGCUUCAGGGGAUGUAGACUUUGUAGAGUCUGGAGUAGGUUCAGAUUCUUCAAGUUGAGUCUGGACUGAUUGAUUUUGCAUAAAGUCUUGAAAUUUGACAUUUAUUGAUUUUUCCACAGAUUGAGUCUUCUUGUUGUAUACUCUGUAUGCUUUGCUAGAAGUUGAAUAUCCAAGGAAGAUUCCUUCGUCUGACAUUUCUUCAAACUUACCAAUUUGAUCAUUUACAUUUUUCAAAAUAAAACAUUUGCAACCAAACACAUGAAUGUAAAAAACAAUUGGCUUCUUUCCUUUGAAUAACUCAUAGGGAGUUUUCUCCAGAAUUGGCCUUAAGACAACUCUGUUAAUAAUAUAACAAGCUGUAGAAACAGCUUCAGCCCAAAAACAAAAAGAAAUAUUGCUUUCAAAUAAAAGAGUUCUAGUCAUUUCUUGCAAAGAUCUAUUCUUCCUUUCAACAACUCCAUUUUGUUUAGGAGUGUACGGAGAAGAGAACAUAUGAUGAAAACCAGAUUUUUAACAAAAUAUGGUAAAGUCUUGAUUUUCAAACUCAUCUCCAUGGUCUGUCUGAAUGCUUGAAAUAGCAUACCCUUUCUCAUUCUAAAUUUUCUUGGCAAACUUUGAGAAGUAGGAGAAAGUUUCAGACUUACUUGCCAAAAAGUAAACCCAAGUAAAUCGUAAAUAAACAUCCACUAUUAUUAGGCAAAAUUUCUUUCCACCAAUGCUUUGAGUUCCCGUUGGUCCAAAUAGAUCCAUAUGCAGGAGCUGCAGUACACGAUUAGUGGAAACUUGAUUUAUUGGUUUAAAGGAAUUUCUAACCUAUUUUCCCAAUACAUAAGGUGUGCAUAAGUCAAAUUUUUGAUACUUCAGGUUGGGAAGUCCACGAACAAGCUUCUUUGAAGAGAUCUUGGCAAUUUGCUUCAAUUUGAUAUAACCAAGCUUUCAAUGCUAGAUUUUUGCUUCAUCUUGGAUUGAGAUUAGACAUUAAAAUCUUUCUGGAUUGAUAUUCAAAAGAUAGAUAUUCCCAUGUCUUCGCCCAGUAAAGGACUGUGAAAGAUCUUUACUAGUGCCUGAACAAAUUCCUUCUUGAAAAUUGAUCUUGAAUUCAGUGUCGCACAAUUGGCUAAUGCUGAGCAAGUUGUAGUUAAGUCCUUCCACUAAGGAGACGUUGAUUAUGAGACUUCCAAUUUUUACAAUUCCACAUCCAACAAUUCUUCCUUUGAUGUUUCCGCCAAAAGAAACUUUUCCACCUGUUACUUGUGUAAGUUUGAUAAAAUAAUUUGAAUCUCCAGUCAUAUGUCUUGAGCAGCCACCAUCCAAAUACCAUUUGACCUUUCUCUUGAUAGUAACCUGCAAUUAAAAAGGAAACUCAAGCUUUCUUUGGUACCCACACUUUCUUGGGUCCAAUAGAGUUAGUGUAAUAAAAAGUCUUUGCCCAAUCCUUCUUAACAGGCUUCCAAACCAUAGGACAUUCUUUCUCAAAAUGUUCUGAACUAUUACACUUAGAACAUCUAAGAGCAUUUCGGCUAACAUGUUUUACAAAGACUUUUUGAAAAUGAUUCUUGUAAAAGGUUUUUGUAGGUCUUUGUUUGAUUCUUUCCUUUACUUUUGGAAAAUCAAUUAAAGGAAUGGUUUCGAGGGUCAUUCCCAAUCUUGAUUUGUUAUAGUAAGGUCUUUGUACUGAAAGAAUAUUUUCUAAUUUCUCAGAUCCCAUAGAAAACCUUUUUGAAAUGCUUGAAAUAUCAUUUUUCAAGAGUGUGUUUUCUUUUGAAAGAGAAUAUGCAUUUUCUUUUAAAGUAACAAAACUUUUAUCAAGUUUUUCAAGCUUUUCUUUCUAUAAAAUUUCAUGUUGCUUCAGUGUAAUGUUUUCCCUUUUCAGUUUGGAAAUUCUCUUAAGAGAUACUUUGAGACUAAGACAUAGUUCAUCAAUGUACUUUGAGACUUUAAUAGGAAUCUUUGAAUUACUUACCUCGAUUUUACUAUCCGAAUCUGAGUCUGUAUCAAUUUUAGAGUCUAAGUCUGAUUUUGCCAUUAAACAAAUAUUGGCAUAAUCAUCAUCACUCUCUUCACAUUCAGUAUCACUCCAAGUUUCUGCUUUAAGUGCCUUUUUGUAUUUCUCGACUUUUCUUCUCUUUUUCUUUAGCAAGGGACAGUUGAGUCUGAUGUGUCCAUUUUUCUUGCAUUCAAAACAAAUCACAUCUUUAUUUGAAUCAUGAUCCUCAGCUGGUUUGUUUUGAAAUAUUUGAGAGCUUUGUUUCUUCCAAUUGAAUAUUCUUUCCUUUUUAUUCAGUUUCCUAAACCUUCUUAUUAUGAGAGCAAGUUCUUCAUCAUCCAUAUCAUCUUCGGAGUCUAUAACAUCAGAAUCUUCGUUAGAUUUUAAAGCAAUAGACUUCUUACCUUUGGGAUCUUCUUCUUCAUUGAUUUGCUCUACUUCAUAGGAUUGAAGUGUUCCAACCAAUUCGUCAACGGAGAGUGGUAUGAUCCUUUGUGUUUCCAUUAUUGGAGUCUUUAUGUGAUUCAACUCUUUGGAAAGUCCACGCAGCAAUUUGUUAACCUUUAUAGAUCCUAAGAUUGGUUGACCUUGAUAUUCAAGACCAUUCACAAUUUCUGUAAAACGGCUAAACAUGUCAGUAAUAGAUUCUGCUAGCUUCAUUUUGAAGGCUUCAUAUUGACCGAGCAAAAUAUUGAUUUUGGUUUCUUUUACUCAAUCUAUUCCUUCAUAAGUAAUGUGCAGUCUAUCCCAGACUUCUUUAGCUGUUUCAUAGGAAGAUAUUCUGUUAUAUUCAACAGGAGAUAAUGCACAAUAUAAGGAGUAAAUUGCUUUUGCAUCAGGAGUUUGUCUCUUGGUUAUCUCUUCUUGAGUGAUGUCACUAGCUUCUGCAACUUCUUUCCCUCUUUCUAAGAUUAUAACUUUAGGAAUGAUUCCUUUGUCUACCACAUCCCAUUCCAGAGGAUCUUUCGAUCUUAGGAAUGCCUUCAUCUUGUUUUUCCAUAUGUUGUAUUCAUUUACAUCGAAAUAAGGCGGUCUUGUGUUGCUUUGACCUUCAACCAACCCUGGAGCCAACAUACUAGCCAUGGAUCUUUAACUCUGAAGUAAAAACACUUCAAAUAAAUGAGUACACAGGCUCUGAUACCAAGCCUACGUCCACUCUCCCACGCUGACAGCCCAGCGGCUGGAAUUCACUAAGAAUAAAAAAAGAUGUUACAAUCUCACGUCCUCGAUUCCACAGUGUAGAGACUCUACUACACUUCCUCUAGGUCUCACAGAAUUCUCUCUUUUGAGUACACUUGUAUGCUCAAAAAAUGAAUUAGCAAAGAGUAAGGAGCUUUAGACUUUGGAAUUUCUCUAUCUCGCACACACUCGAAUAACUAGAGUGUCUUCCUUUUAUACUCCUCAAUGCCUACAUAACCGUUGGCACAUUCCAAAGGAGUUCUUCUAAUCUACCCAUUGGACAUAAUCAAUUAGGGAGAUCUCGCGUUAUUUAAGGAAUAUGAAGAUAGCCCACUAAUCAUGUUCGCCCAUACAAUCAGGAUCUAGGUUUCCAUAAGUAGAACCUUCCAAGUAUACUUCGUCAAUCAACGAUCUGUCUUACUCGAUUUACUUGUCAUACGGAUAAUAGAUCUUUGUAUGCUUUCUCCAACCGUGAGACAAUUUUCAACCAAUCGAAUCAAAUCCUUAAGGAUAACCUUGUAUUUGGAUAAGACUUCUUCGACGAUCUAGAAACUAUCAACGAGGGCAGACUUUAAAUCUUGAGUCUGGUGAUCUUCAGCCUGGAAGUCUUCAGACUUUGAUAGACGAGUUUAGAAAUCUUCAGACUUAGGAAACGUUUUGUCAACUUCAAAAUAUAGAAGGAAGAUUUCUCCAACAAAACAGAUGUUUAGUCGUUUAUCCACUGGUUUUUCCUUUCUUUUCUUUUCUUUUUCCCUGUUUAUAGGUGUCCUAGUAGCCAACAAAUAUCUGAGAGUGGCCCUAAAGAAAUUGCUUCAAUUGACACUUGAAUGCAUGACCAGAGUGACCUCAUUUGUGUGCUAAACAUACAAAUAUGCUUAUUGUGUGUGUGAUGUAAUGUUCUUUUAAUAAUAAAAAAAAAAUGUUCAUUUUUUAAGUUGAACUAUCAACUUGAUUCUCAAUAAUAAAAAAAGGUCAAUGGUAGGGUUUGCCAAAUCCAAGUUAUAAGUAAAACUUGAUUACUACACUGACCAACCAGACUCAUCACAAAAGCAGCACUAGUUUACCCUGCUUGAUUAUCAAGUUAGCUCCGUUUCUCAUUAUUAUUGGGAAUUCAUGCUCAAGGAAACAAUAAGAAACUUUAUAGGGUUUUCAAUCAUCGUGGAGAAUCCAAAGGUAUUUGUUUUAAUUGGGAUAUCUGCCAUUACUCAAAUUUGACAUGUACAAGAGCUGAGAAAAGGAAUUCAAAAUGUCCGGAUGUUGCUAAUUAUGUAAAUCCCCAAUUGAUCAAUGGAUUGAUCUCAAUGACCAACAAGAUUGAGCACUCAGUUACUCAGUUUCUCCAACUUCCUCAGAGAACUAGUUGCUGCAUAUACAAAGGAGAAUAAGCAAUCAAAAAAUGAGUUAAUGGAAAUAUUUUAUAAUUGUUGCCUUGGCCCCUAUACAAAUGAGAUGAGGCACAAAGUUUCAAGGGUCAUGAAGGAAGCUCCAAGAUAUAUUUAAGUAGAUCGAGUCCAUGAAAUGUUAAGUUCUUCCAUGUGGUUUAGGCGAGAAAACUGUGGCAACUUGGGACUUUGAAAAGAGAGCUCCAAAUGUGUUAAGUCGGAAGGAAGCUCUGGCAGCGAUCGGAGUUCUUUACCGCCUCUUUGGUUGAGGUGUUGGAGAGAAGAAAGAUUCUUGAUACUUUCUGGCAAAACAGAUAUAGUAGUUCCACUAAUGUUUAGAUGUUGCAAAUUAGGUAAAUCCCCCACUGAGCCAGGGAUUUCUGUCAAUGACCAACAAGACCGGACACUUAGUUUCUCCAACUUCUCCAUAGAACCAAUUGACGUAGGAAUCUCUUUGAUCCCAGAAUAAUCUAAAAUAAGUUCUUUUAGUUCUCUCAAUGUGCCCAUUGAGCCAGGGAUUUCUGUCAAUGACUGACAAGACCGGACACUUAGUUUCUCCAACUUCUCCAUAGAACCAAUUGACGUAGGAAUCUCUUUGAUACCAGAAUAAUCUAAAAUAAGUUCUUUUAGUUCUCUCAAUGUGCCCACUUCUCCGGGUAGCUCCUUAAGACUCUGACAGCCACUCAAGUUCAAGGAAAGAAGGCUCUUGACUUUGCCAAUAGAAGGGUGAACUUGCUUGAGUCCGGAACAUUCUUUUAAGCUGAGAAUCUCCAACUUUGUGAAAGCCGAGAGCUCAGGAGUACAUCUUAAAUGUUUGCAACAUGUAAGUUCGAGAACCUUCAGUCGCUUUGGCACCUACACAAAUGAGAAUGAGCCGUCAAAAAAUGAAUUGAUGGACAAAUCAAAAUGAACAGAAACUCAAAGAGGAUGUCUCUUUUGUGUCUUACCACAAUCGAACUCCAUCCUCCCCAAUGCUCUGUGAUCUGGCUGCUGGACAACGAUAGCACCACUAAUUUCGGUAGAAGCAAAUUGGUUGCCGCAAAAGACGGAUUGGGUUCAAGGUUAAACCAUUGAAGCCAUCUUAAUUCAGAAAACAAUUCGUUAAAGUCUCCAUUCAAAGCCGCCCACUUCAGUUGAAGGAACCUUAACCUCGGUAACUUUUUAAACUGUUCAUCGGUGUAUGCCUGUUGAUGGUCUCUAUUGUACCAGUCCCGGGACCAGUUGAGACGAAUUGCGUGGAUCAUUUCAGUUCCCUAUAUAUCAAAUCAAUCAAAUGAGUGUUUGAAUUGACUUAUAAUUUGUAGUUUUUGCUUUCUUAAAUCUUGGACUCGCUAAUUUGUCAUCUUUUUGCCCUCACUGUAUAUAAAUGUUGACAUGUAAACUCACAUUUAAAUUUUUUAUGAUCUUUUCGAAUUUGAAUAAUAUAUUAAAAUUUUGACAUGAAAAUACAAAGAAAAAUACUUAUUUGCCUAAAAAAUUUUAAGACAAACACAUCUCAUUGUUUUACCUUUUGCUUUUCUUAAAUUCUGUAGCGUGUGCACUUUAACUUUUAUCCGAGGCGAAAUGCAAGAAACGUGUUGAAACAUACGUAUGUUGACUUGUAGAUUUUUAUACAAAUUUUUCAUAAAUUUUUAAAAGAUUUUGCCAAAGAAUGCCCAUGGAUCACCUGUUAAGUAGCUAAGGAAGCACCCCCUUUUCAAUUCAUUUACUACUCUCGUGAAGUGUUUAAACAUUGGUUCGAAAACAGAAACUCGCAAGAAUGUUUAAAGAGUAACGUGAUGACAUUCGUUAGCAAUGCAAAUUUUAGAAUUUGAUUAAUUUUUAUAUUAAUCAAAUAUUAAUCUCACAAUCUCACGAUCAUUCAAUUUUUUCCUAAAUUAAUAGGCAUAUUUCAACAUUGAUCUCUGUUCAAACAGAUUUGAUUUUUAUUUUUUUCAUUCUAUUUAACAACAAAGCUUGAUAUUGAAUCAUGUAAACGAACUAUCACAAAUUAAAUCAAGAAGAUAAAGCUUUUUCCUUUGCCAAACACCUAUUAGUUAAUUGGUAGAGGUUAAUUCCUCGCCAUUGUUCAGUCAUGAACCUAUGAGGCUUCCCUAAUAAAAUAAAAUGAAAUGACAUGAACGUUGACAAUUUAAGUAAAAAAUUAUCCCAGUUAAAAGAUUUGAUUCAUGCUGAAAAUUAUGAAUGAUAAUUGAAAAGGUAUCUGUAAAAUAAUAAGCACGGCAUCUCCUCUAAAUAGUCGAGUUUGUGGAGCCGUUCUUAGCACAAAAGGACAUUGUCCCAAAAACUACAAAUAAUAUAAAACAACCUGAAGUAGAAAGAAAUGUUCUUAAGAAAAGUGACAAGGAAAAGACAACAGCAAUGAAAUAAACAAACAAACAAAAAUAAGAAAAGCCGCUCUUUAUCAUAACAUCUAACCUAAUCCAUGAGAUGAACAAGGUUAACGUAAUAGAACCUUAAAAAAAUAGUAAGAUUAUACUAAUAUAAUUCAUCAGAAGAUUUUUGCUAUCGUAUCUACUAAGAGAAAAGAAGAACGAGAAAGAAUAGAUAUAACUAGUAGAAGGGCGGGUAUCUACAAAAUCAAAAUGGAGAAAAAAACAUAUCAAACAUUGGUUUAUAAAUUAUAGGAGCACCACAAUACCUUCAACUGUACUUGAAAGCAAGCACACGUGAUAAGCGUAAGAUCUUUUUUUUUUUUUUUUAAAUGUCACUGUUGUGCUUAAUUAUUAGUCAUUAUAAUCAGCACGCAUUAUCUAUUUAUUAUUGCGGUCUUAAAGAUUGUCGAUAUUUUCAACUAGAUAUGAAAGCUACAUGCUUUUAGUGAACGGGUUUUUCCUGUAGAAUCGUAGUAAAUUAUUUGUAAAUUAAACUUUGACGGAUGUAAUUUAUGUCAAUGAACUUGAACUAAAUAAUGUAACUCCUUAAUCAUUGGAGUGCUUAUAGUCCUAUUAGCUGUUCCAAUUAAUAUACGAUGGACACGAAUGGAUGUUUAAUUAUAUUUUUUCCAAAAAAAAAAAAAAAUAGGAGCAUGUAUUCAUACUAGUUAAAAAAAUUUGAAUAAUCAUGUUAAAUGUAAGAAAAUAUGAGGGAGAGGAAAGAAAAAGGAGUCGCAGACGGUACCUUUUCUUUCUCUAGUACCUCGGAGGCUUCCUCUCUCACCCAUAGUCUACUACGUUUCUCAAGCGAUGGUUCUUGGCGAAUAAUGCUCCUUCCAAGAUCUCUCAGUUGAUCAUGCAUGCUUAAAGUACCAUCAUCUUCAAUUUUUAUUAAGCACCUCGACUUCAACUCGUCAAUUCCUUGACUUGGAUAAAACUCACAAUCGUCCCACAUGUACAUGGCAAAUUCAAUCUUUUCACCAAUAAAGAAACAGGCAAUAUCAAGGAAAACCUCUUUAUGUUCGUUGUCUAAUGCAUCAUAACUUAUCUUCAAUAUCUUUUGGACAUCUUUAUGUGGUUGUUUUUUUAAUUGUUUCAGUACAUCAUCCCAAACCUUAGGAUAUGUUUUUUUAUACAAGUAUGAACCUAUAACCUUAAGUGCCAAGGGAAGCCCACCCAUAGUGGAUAUGAUCUGACGAGAUAUAAUUGCAAAGUCACUUGAAGGAUGUUCCAUUCGAAAUGCAUGUCUAUUAAAUAAAAUGAAAGAAUGUGCCUCAUUUAUCCCACUCAUUUCAUGCUCGUAGUCUACCUCGAAUUCAGAUUGAUCAAGAACAUCUUUAUUUCUAGUUGUAACAAUUAUAAUACUUCCUGAAGCAAACCAGUAACCUCCUCCAGCCAAAGCAUCUAGCUGAUCCUUGCAAUCUAUAUCAUCCAAAAGAAUGAGAACCUUUUUCCUUGUGAAUCUAGAUUUGAUUAAGUUAAUUCCUAAAUCAACUGUAGACACUUCAUUUUUUUCUUGUAGUAUCUCAGAUAUUAGUUGACUCUGUAGAUACUUAAUACCAUGGUGCUUGGUCGUUUCUCGAAUAUCUGGAAGGAAGCAGACAUGAUCAAAUUUAUUCAAGAGUUGAUUGUAGAUGCACUUGGCAAGAGUUGUCUUGCCUAUCCCACCCAUGCCAUAAAUUCCAAUCAUUCGAGCAUUGAUGGAAGGACUACCUAUGCGACUUAUAAUCUUCUUCAGUUGAUCAUCAAGUCCAACUAGUUCCUUUGGAACAAGUAGAGGAAAAUCUUUUCGUAACUCUCCCAGAACAGUUUCGACAACACGUUCAAUCAAUUCUCCCUCAUGCCUGUCAAGCAACAAAAACAAUGAGAGACUAUGAACCUGGAGAUGGUCCAAGCAAAUCUGAUCCUUAUCAACUCAGCCAAUCCCCGUUGGAGGUUUUAUUCGGUGGCGUUCAAGAUCUAGAAGAUUAAGCAUUGAUAUCGUUUGUCGGUGUAGUUUUUUUUAGUGAUCGAUAGUAUUGGCCAGACGGGUUGUCCUUUCUUUGUCUGCGGGGGAGACAAUUGUAAAAUUAUAAGGCGCCAUGGGAUAUUUGGUUUUAGCAGUUGCUGAUUUAGCUUCCGGGGGACAUUUUGGGGGAGUACUAGUUUUUGUUGUGUUCGGGCAUACUAUGGUUGUCCAUCGGGAUAUUUUGAGGGUUUCCUUGUGAGCAUAUAGUGGAAGUAGUUCUCCAUAUUUCAUCGCUAUUGCAUGAAUAAGAAAACUUACUCAUCAAAAAAAUAAUAAUAAUAAAGUGGGAGAGAAGUACCCGCUAGCAAAUUCAUCGGAUUUCCAUCCAUGUAAGUUACUCACAUCUUUAAGUGCUUGUCGCCCUUCCUCAAUAUCUUUCUCAUCAAAACGAUGCUAUGCGAAUGGAAAGGCCUCCCCAAAAUUUCUUUUCAGAUGCCGCACAUCCGAUGGGUCCACUUUGUAAAAAAUGGGCAAAACUUUAUGUGAAUUGCUCUUCUUGCAAUCCAUGAUGUGUGAUAAGCUCCACGAAGGGCACCCCGACCGUUUAGGAUUGUCCAGAGAUAAUAGGGAUAGAAAUCUUAGAAUUUGUGAUGGCAUUGAAAAGCACUGGACUAAAUUCCUCACCAAUUCGGAUGCUAUUACAGUCCCUAAACACGCGGAUUCCUGCAAUGUCUAGUCUGUGAUAAAGGUGAUCAGUAAAUUCUUUUCGGGUAUCUGAGCCAUUAAAGCUCAAGAAUACAUCGUAUUCAUUGCUAUCUCCUUCAGAGAUUUUCGGAGGGAAGGAUGAAGGAGAGGAUGCUCCCCCAGUGCUCUCUUUUUCUUCCGCAACAAGCAUUGCUUUGUUUGCCUUGCUCAGGCUUUGCCCUUUCUCCAUGGAAGUCUGAUAAGCAAAAGUGAAGGGAGAAUACCUUCCUGCUGCACAAAAUGAUCAAGACAAACAAAUGAAAAGGGUCGGAUGGAGAGCAUAUGCUUUUUGGGUGGAGAGAGCAUUUGCUUUAUGAACGAUUCCGAAUACAAAACGUUUAACGAUCAAGUUUACCUAAGCGGGUGUCUAUUGAUUAAUUUAAUAUUAAAAGUUAUUGACUUGGAGCAGUGCGUUGCACGUUUUCUUAUUCCAAUGGGCCUCAGCUUUUAGAUACGUGCACUUUUCUAAUUGGAUAAAUUUUCCAACAAUCGUGUCUUUGACCAGUAAAUCACAAAUUAUAGACAAUUGUCAUAUAUAAAAUUAAGUAAAGUGAAAAUAAUGAUGCCUAUAUUUUAUGAGACAUUAUUGAAUGCAUAUUGGUCAAAAUAAGCAUACCUUUGAUCGUUGAAUGCAUAAUUUAUACGAUGUGAGAUCCAUUAAUAUCAAAGAUUUAAAUACGUUUGGCUCAGAUGUAACUAGAUGAUAUAAAAAUUUCUAUAUAUUUACAUCAAUCAUACCUUUGAUUAGUGAUUCAAUAUAAGCAUCUAUUUGAAAUUAUUGUUAAUAUUCAUAAAAUCUGGUGCCAAAAUAUACACGAUCAAUCCAAAGAAAUAAAAUUUAAUAGAAACGACAAUUAAAUUUGUAUGCAGUUAAUUAGAAACAUGAGAGAUGAAAAGGUAAACUCUCUCUCUGGAAGCAUUUUCGCCAGUUCGCUCUCCCUCAACUAGAGUUAGCUCUACCCUAACCGUGGUAACCGACUAAGAACAUCCUCGACGAAAUGUGUCACCACCCAUGUCUCUUUCUUGGCUCCGACCAAAAACAAAAACGUCUCUUUUCUGGCCCCAUUGCUGAUCGUGAAAGGCAGAAAAACCCUUCUUGGUUGGUCCUUGUCACUUCGAGCUCCCCAUCCUUGACCGAAUCUUCUGCAAUUUUCAUUAUCUUCGUCAUCGCUCUUUUGCUUUUUAUCUUCUCUAAAUCUGAACGGCGGUGAUCUUCUUGCUUUUUGAAAACUCACCGAAUUGCUUUUCGGUUUGCGCACGCGAGAAUCUUCUCCUAUUCCGAUUUUAAGUUUUGUCGGGCGAUUCUGAUCUUUUUCCCCUUGUUCGUCGAUCCUCCGUGUGUUCUUUUUGUGUGCCCGUGAAUUCCAACCCGCCAACCACUAAGAUUUGCUCUGCUAACCAUCAUUUUAAUAUGGAGGAGAGAGCGGGGGAUUCGAAUUUUCAUAUUCUCAUAGGUUAAAAUGGAAUGAUUUGAUUUUAAAUGUGAAUUUUAAUUCACACGCUGUACAAUGAGAUAGGGCAAAAAUCCGCGUUAUAAUAAGAAUAGAGUAGAACAAAUUAACAAAAAGGAAAAAAACUCCAACCCAUGUGCUUGGAUGAGAAUGGGAGAUAGGAGAGACCCAUCUGCAUGCACGGGAGAUGAGAGGUAGGUUAAAUUAGAUACGUGAGAUUAAGAUGAGAUAGAGAUAAUCUUAUUCCAAUUAGUCUUCCUUUUCUCGACAAAUCUUUGAUCGAAUGCUGUACCUCGGUCAAUCUUGGUCAAAGCCAAACGGCAUCUUAAUUGGCAUUAAUUUUUGAAUUAAAAUUGGUUUUUCUUCUGCAAUAAGCACUGCUUUGUUUGCCUGGCUCAGACUUUGCCCUUUCUCCUUGGUAGUUUGAUAGGCAAAACUGAAGAGAGGAUACCUUCUUGCUGCAAAAUUAGAUUAAGAUAAACAAAUGAAAGGGUCGAGUCUUUCUAGGCGGGUGUCUAUUGAUUAAUCUAAUAGUAAAUGUGUAAUGACUUGGAUCAGUGCUAUGCACAUUAUUCUCUUUCCAUGAUGACUUGCCUUGUGCACUUUCUUAAUUCGAUGAAAUAAAAUUAAGUUAAAAUGGUGAUAUUCAUAUUUUAUGAGAUAUUCCCAAAUUAAUAUGAAUCUAAUGCAUCCAAACUUAGAUUAUGUGAACCUGACGUGAGACUGAUCAAUAUCAAGGCUUCAAAUGAUUGGACUUACACGUACCUAAAUCAUCUAAGAAUUUCUCCAUUUGCUCCAAUUGUGCCUUUGAUCAUUGGUUCAAUAUAAGCAUCGAUAUGAAACUGCAUGCAUAUACCUUAUUUCUGCUUUCAUCGAGCUUGGAUUACUGUUAUUCAUAAAAUCUAGUACCAAAUAUCUGUACUCAAUCAACAAGAAGAAAAAUUAAUGGAAACAGCAGGUAAAUUUGUAAGUCAUUACAUAUAAAAUUUCGAUAAAGAAAUUAGAAACAUGAGAGACGAAAAUGUAAACUCACUCUCUCUCCCUCUGUCAGUCCCCCAAUUCGCUCACUCUCAGCGAGAGUUAGCUCUCCCCUAACCGUGGUAACCGACUAAGAACAUCCUCGAUAAAUGUGUCGCCCAUGUCUCUUUCCUGGCUCCGACCAAAAACAAAAACGUCUCUUUCCUGGCCCCAUUGCUGAUCGUGAAGGGCAGAAAAACCCUUCAUGGUUGGUCCUUGUCACUUGCAGCUCCCCAUCUUUGACCGAAUCUUCCGUAAUUCCCAUUAUCUUCCUCAUCGCUCUUUUGCUUUUUACCUCCUCUAAAUCUGAACGGUAGUGAAAUUCUUGCUUUUGCUGACCCAAAAAAAAAAAAAAAAGAUCUUCUUGCUUUUUGAAGACUCACCGAAUUCCUUUUCGGUUUGAGCACGGGAGAAUCUUCUCCUAUUCCGAUUUUAACUUUUGUCGAGCGGUUCUGAUCUUUCUUCCCCUUGUUCAUUGAUCCUCCGUGUGUUCUUUCUGUGUGCCCGUGAACUCCAACCCGCGUGUGCGUGGGUGAGAAUGUGAGAUAAGAGUGAUCCGUGUGCAUGUACGGGAGAUGAGAGAUGAGAGGUAGAUUGGAUUAGAGGAUGCCUUCUUGCUGCACAAAAGGGUUAAAGAUAAACAAAUGAAAGGGUUGAUUGGAGAGCAUAUGCUUUCUGAACAAUUCCAAGUGCGAAGUUUUUUUUAAUGAACAAGUCUUUCCAGGUGGGUGUCUAUUGAUUAAUCUAAUAUUAAAAGUAAUGACUUGGAGCGGUGCUAUGCACAUUAUUAUCUUUCCAAGGGACUUGCCUUUUGGAUGUGUGCACUUUCUUGAUUGGAUGAAACUUUCACCUGCAUUUGUAAAAUUAACUUAAGUUAAAAUGGUGAUAUCCAUAUGUUUCCUAAAUGCAUAUGAAUCCAGUGCAUUCCCACCUUAGAUGAUGCGGACUAGAUGUGAGAUCCAUCAACAUCAAUGUUUCAAAUGCUUGAACUUGCAUGUACCUAAAUCAUUUAAGAAUUUCUCCAUAUUUGCUCCAACCAUUCAUUUAAUCCGAGGUUCAAUGUAAACAUAUACUAAAAAGCAUAUGCAUAUACCUUAUUUUUAUCUUCAUCGAGCGUUAAUUAUUGAUAUUCAUAAAAUCUCGUACCAAAUAUCUGUAAUCAAUCAAAAAGAAAAAAAAUAUAGAAACGACGGGUAAUUUUGUAAGUCGUUAAAUAAAGAAAAUUCUAGUUAGAAAUUAGAAAAAUGAGAGACGAAAAUGUAAAUUCUCUUGCUCUCUCGGUCCAUCAAUUCGUUCUCUCUCAACGAGAGUUAGCUCUACCCUAACCAUGGUAACCGACCAGGAACAUCCUCCGACCAAAAACAAGAACGUCUCUUUUUUGGCCCCAUUGCUGAUCGUGAAAGGCAGAAAAACCCUGCCUGGUUGGUCCUUGUCACUUCAAUCUCCCCAUAUUCGACCGAAUCUUCUGCAAUUUUAUUAUCUUCCUCAUCGCUCUUUUGUUUUUUAUCUUCUCUAAAUCUGAAUGGUGGUGAUCUUCUUGCUUUUUGAAAACUCACCGAAUUGCUUUUCGGUUUGAGCACGCCAGAAUCUUCUCCUAUUCCGAUUUUAACUUUUGUCGAGCGAUUCUGAUCUCUUUCCCAUUGUUCAUUGAUCCUGCGAUUUUUUUUUUUGUGCCCGUGAACUCCAACCCACGGGAUUGUGUGAUAAGAGUGAUCCGUGUGCAUGUAUACGAGAUGAGAGAUGAGAGCCAGAUUGGAUUAGAUGCAUGAGAUUAGGAUGAGAUAGAGACGAUCCAAUUUCAACUAGGAUCCUUUAUCUUGAUCAAUUUUGAUCAUAUCUUGGAUUGCAGUAAAUCUUGAUCACCUUAGCCAAUCUUGGUCAAUUUUGCUCAACCUAGAUCAACAUGGGGCAACCUUGGUCAAGAUAGGUCAAAGUGAGGCCAAAUCACUUCACAAAAGGUUGAGACAUAAAAGUAGUGUGAAAAACCAUGAAUUUAGCGGACAACUGUAAUACUCCCAUGACGAUCGCAAGUACCAUUCAUCUUUCCUUUUUUUUUUUUCCUUUUUCUCUUGAAUCGGUAGUCAAUCUUCGAGUUCUUUUUUAUGUUAUAAACUGAUAUUAAGUAUUCACUAUAGAUCAAACUUAGGAUCCUCAAUAAAAUCCUCAAUCUAAUGCACGUCUAUUCCAACAAAACAGAACAGAUUCGCCAUGAUUUGCUUUUUGAACUAGUGAAACUCAAUAGACUAAAGCAAUAAUCUCGAGUAACCUCAAUUACUAUCGAUACAGCACAUGAAAUUUUGAAACACUUCAAAAAACCAACACAAACAAGUUGGUCUAAACCCAAAAUAGACUUAGUCUCAGUGCAUAAUAUAACGCACCAAAGAAGACCAGCUGCACAAGCUUGGUAAAGAAAGGCCUCAGACUUGAAUACGCUCUGCCGGGGACAACUAGCCAACGUCACGGAAAUCGUAAUGAUAACACUUGGGAACAAAAGAAAAUGCAUCAUGGAAGACUGGCGUACUCGCAGCGUCUCCAGUGGGCUUUACUCCAAGUGCCAUUCUCCUCCUUUGCUUUUUGCUUCUGGUUUUCUUUUUCUUUUUUUGGAGACCAACCAACUGGACAAGCUGCUCCGACCGAUUCCCUGUGGCUUUCUUUUCAGACUAGCGGGAGUCCAGGUCCGCGACACAUCCCCACAAGUCGCAAAACAAGCUCGAUGAAAUUGAUGAAGUGCGGACUCGCGACCGAUAGUAUGAGCGCGAUGGCCAUCAAAGCGUCUCCGCUGUGCACCUUGGAAUGUAGAAGUAAGCCCAAGCCCAAGCCUGAGCACCACGAAUUAGAGGCUUGUUACUUGCCCGAGUUAUUACUUAUAGAAUAUUCAAAUUAAACUGUGCAUUUAUUUAAUAACUUGAAUUUUUUAGAAUAAUGGAUAGUAAUCCUAUAAAAUCUUACAUCCUAUACAAUAAUAACUCUUGAGUUCAAACUAAAUAUGUUCACGUUUAGUAGCAAGUAAGAAAGGUUAAACUAAGCAUGAAGAGUAAAAGAAAAUAUUGUCAUUGUGGUUUUUACUUCUUCUCGCAAAAUAAAGAAGGAGAAGAAGAGAGACUUUACUGAAACAAUUGUGGUUUUUACUUCUUUUCGUAUAAUAAUAAUAAUAAAUGUCAUGAUUAUCAUCAAAAUAUUAUUAUUAUUAUUAUUAUUAUUAUUAUUAUUAUUAUUAUUAUUAUUAUUAUUAUUAUUAUUAUUAUUAUUAAAAGAAUAAAUGUCAUGAUUGCACGGGAAUUGAUUGGUUUCGAUGGAAAUGAAAGAAUGAAAGGAAUGACGCAGCACUUCUCCGUCCUCUUUUAAGCAGAAGGGAUGAAUCACUCGCUGGCAAAUUGUUUUUACUUCUUAUCGCAAAAAAUAAAAUAAAAUAAUAAAAGAGUAAAUGUCAUGAUUGUUGGGCCGGUUAUUCGCAUUGCAUGCGCUUAUUAGCUUUUGAAAGAGUUUCAGUGUUACACCUUUGGUUAGGACUAUUUUACAAAUGAAUCAAUAGAAUAAAAUGAAAUUAAAAAACAACAAUAAAAGUAGACCAUGAUCCCCAAAAAUUUUGUGGAAAAAAAUACGUGCUUAGGUUUUGCUUUGCCAAGGAUGAUGAAUAUAUGGAUUAUUUAUUCACAUCUGAUAAUUCUAAUUAAGUUUAUUGAUGAUAAUUAAGAUUUCAUGUAUUCUUUCUAAAAUUUGUUGGGCCAUGCAUCUUACUUGUUUCAGUUGGAAAUUCAGUAGAUGAGUGGUAAUAAACGAAAAGGCCGCGCGGACUUCAAAAGAAGAAGAAGACAAUCUGACGAAGAGGAUACCUCAGUGUAUGUCCGCAACAUGUUUGGAUCUACAGUGCAAUUUGGUUGUUAUUCAAGUUUCAGGUUGUGUUACUGAAAACAGACAUUGAUAUUAUCUCCAUGUUCAAAAGAAAAAAUAGGUUUUGCAGAUUGAUCCAACCAAAAUUAUAGGUUUUGCAAUAUGACUUCACUGUUACGUUUUGUGAGUCAAUUUGGUUGUUAUUUAAGUUUCUGGUCGUGUUACUGAAAACAGCCAUUGAUAUUAUCUCCAUGGCAAAAGGAAAAAUAGGUUUCGCAGAUUGAUCCAAACAGGGAACGCAACAACUUCGUUACUUUGAAUAUCCCUGACAUCAACGAGAUGAACGGAAGGGUGUACAUUUUUGGUUCGAUCUUUUUCAUUGGUUCUUUUGUUGACAUGGUCAAGUUUUGGCUUGAGACUUCUAAUGGAUGGUUGAAUGGGGCCAAUGGUGUGAAGACUAGAGGAGCUGGAUCAAGUUUUAGUGAUGAGAGGGACGGAGGUAGAGAGCAAAAACAGGUUCCAAUGGCUAUCGCUGCGAAAGGGCUUGCUGUAGAGAGCAAGACAGGUUUGGAGAUGAUGAUCCAAGCAGGGAAAGCGGCUCUGCCCAUUCGGGUGAUGAGGAUAACUCGAGCAAUCAAUUUGUGGACUGUGAUCAAGAUUUAGAUGACAAUGAGCCGGAGUACAACAGCAAGAACCAAGACAACUGUGCAAGGAAGCUGGGUCUUAGCCAUCUUAGGCCUACAUAAUGCAGGCCAAGCAAAUGGCUGGACAAGGUAAAUAUUUAUAAGAUCGGUUUUAUUCGUUUGCUUUUUGUACUGUCCUCUUUGUAUUUCUUUUAUUCUUUUUAUAUAUGUUGAAGUAAACAUGGUAUGAGAAAAGAAAAAAUUUCUAUUCUACCGGUUCUUGUAACUACAUAAUUUUGUUCAUGCAAUUUACUGAUUCAUUCACAUUACAAGUUUGUCGUGGAAAACAAUUGUCUUAUGAUUAUGUGGAACUUUUCUUGAGAAACUUCUGAUCUUAGCUAUUUGUGCAGGAUUCAUAAGAGCCAUUAAGGAGAUAGUUCUAGCUUGUGCCGUUUAUGCAAACGGGUUCUUUGUUGUAGCAAAGAUGGCAUUCUAGAACCACAUAUGUUGAAUCAAGAACGCCUUGACACCCUUUCAUGUGUGUUGCGAAAGGUCAUACGCUUAUAUAUUCUUUAGGGUAGUCGAUAUUUUGACCUUCAGGAGAGCUCAAAAUUGGACUGGGAGCUAAUGUUCGGUGAUCGUAUUGAUGUGCCAAGUGCUCAUUUUAGAAGCACGUCAAGACAGUCAAUUUUGAGGCUCCAAACAACUUUUUUGUCUGGAACGACAUUCAAAGUGCACUUCUAAAUCUUUUUUCCUAAUAAAUACAAUUCAUGAACUUGUCACUUAAAAGACAUUUAUCUGUAAUUUAUAAUUAUGGACUGCUCAUGUUUUCAAUUGAAAUUAGAUCAAUUGCAUAUUCUAGACGUGAUAAUGAGCUGUGGCAGCAACGAAAAGAACAUGAUAAAACGUAAGCAAAGUAAUGUGUGAUCAAUACAUAUCAUAGAGGUACGAAGAUACAUGGAAACAAACAUAAACAAAUAGAAUCCCAAGAGACAUCUCAUAAUAAACAAACGUUCUGAUAAAUUCUAAUUAAAGAUACGUUGAGACAAACGAUAGAUCAAUGGUACUAAAAUCUUCAGGGGCUUGUGGCUGGAGGUGGGGUGAGGAAAGGAAUAGAGGGGAUUUUAGGGAGAGAAGUAGGGAUGCUUGGCAUCGGCGGCAAGUUGGUCGGCAUGGCCGGUAAGCUCGGAAGUGGUGGCAAAGUAGUCUUGGGCAAUGUUGGCUGGGUUGCAGGCAGCGUCGGCAAUGUGGGUUGAGGUAGGGUCGUUGGGAUGGUGGGCAUGGGCGGCAUGGUGACUUUGGGCAAUGUUGCCAUGGCAGGCAAAGGAGGUAGAGACCCUGGUUUUGGUAUAGUUGGUAUGGUGGGAAGAGUCGGUAUAGAUGGAAUGGUUGCUUGUAGCAGAUGACGAGCUCCGAAGCUCAUAUUCAUGCUAGAGAAAAUUACGGCAAUGAAGAGGACAAAGCUUUUUGAGGAAUGAGCCAUAUUGGUAAAGUGGGCAAUGGAUGUUAUGUUGUGAUAAGCUCAGGGACUUGAAAUUGAUGAGCUGAGAGGAAGGGGAUUGGAGUUUAUAUAGCAAGAAAUGUCGGGUAGAAUUAGGGUUGUGAUGAUAAGUUGGUGACUUGCCGUUGGGCACGGUUGGGAAAUAAUUAGAAGAUGAUGUCUUGAUUGGUUCUUUAGUUAGUUCACCUCCUCAUGUCAAUCUUCCACCGGCAUAAAGAAAGGUCAAACCUGCUUGUUGCUGUUUGACCUGCCAGAUGGCAUUUUGUUCAUGAAGUCAAGCUUCAUUCGAAUCUUUGUCUUAAUGGAAGGUGACUAAAUAAACAACUUACUUUUCAAGAGUAAUCAUGUAAAUAACUUGCUUCCUCCUAAGUAGGGCGGUUAUUGCCGUACCAACUCGCUUCUUGAUUUUUGAACAUAUGGAGCUAGCGAUUCCAUGCGUUGUGUUGUGUGCUCCACCGCACUUUGUAGAUUACAUUUGACUUAAUAUUUUUUACUCUUGUUAGUUUCUAUCCGUUGAAUUAUAGCCUUUCAUGGGGAUGACCUUGGGAUGCAAGUCUCACUAUUGCGACCUCCCUUUCGACACCCUCUUACAUGCAGGGCGCAUGGAGGCUAAUGGCUCAUCAAGUGUUAGGCUUAACUUGGACUCUCCCAAGCCACCAAUUCAUGACUUAUGAUUUAACUUUUUAAUCUGCAAGUCAAUUUUAAAUCAGAUUAGCCAUUAAUCAAUUUGAGACGAGUUAAUUAGAAAUUCAAGUAAAAUAUUAUGAGAAAUAUCUCAUUUUUACACGAUCAGAAAAGAAACUAUGAUCAGAGACUUGAUUAUACUAAUUAAUCACUAAUGUCUUUCCGACACCUAACUUUGUUUAGACAUCAAGUAAAACAUUUAUAUAGCAUUUUAUACUAAUAAUGAGUUUUAGGAUUUUAUUAAUUACAGGAAUAUGGAUUUCCAUGCAUUAUAAGGAAUAGAAAUCCAUGCAUCAUAAUGACGCAAUUGGAAUAAAUCGAUAUUUGCUUAGAAGAAUUUAAACAUGAUUUUUUUUUCUUUUAUGCAUUUUCACACAUUUUUUUAAAAACACUAAAAAGACCUUUUUUAUUUUUUAUUUUUUUCGGAAGAUAAAAGUUAUUUCUGGGAUUUUCCGAUUUUUCUGAAAAUAUAAAUAUUUUUUAUUUUUCUGAUUUUUUAUUUUUUAUUAUAAAAAUAACAUAUUAUUAAAUUAUAAAAAGGGAACGGGGUCGGAUCUUCGCAUCCGACCCGGGUUGAAGCCAGCCCGGGCCCUCUUGGUCCAGGCGCAAGAAGCCGGACUGAGCUCAGCGAGUGGGCCCAGUCCGAUUAUAUUUUUUAAUAAAAAGAACCCAGCCCGUAGUCCAUGCACCAAAUUAAACCUAAAACCUAGACCAAGCCGGCCCACGAACGUCCCGCCCAAACCGACCGGAACCCUACCCGGCUAAGCCCCGCACCCGACCCGAUCGACAGCUCCGCAAAGCCAACUGAGGCGAGCGGCACCGGUCGCCGCGGCUGCGCACGACGGAUCUGCAGCAGCUCGCGUUGAGGGACCGGCGGAUGCGAUGGCGAGGCGGCAGCAACAGUAGGGAUGGCGGCGGGUCGGCGAAGCGGCGAGCAGCGGUGGACUGCGUGGCUUGUCUGGGGCGCCACGGCAGCGAAGGGCGGCAUCGUUGCGGCCGGAGCUUGUGCGCCGGACGACCGCGAGCUCCGGCCUGGCCCGACCAAAGCGAGGCACAAAAAAGGACCGAGGCCUGCCGGAGCUUCGGCGCUUGAAACCAGGCGCGGCCGUGGUUUCAGCCAUCCUCUGCUUGGAUCUGGCCCCGACCUCUCUCUGCUCUCCGGCUUGCUCGCACUCCGGACGCCCCACUGGUCUCUCGGUGGGGUCUUCUGAGCUUGCUGGCCUACUCCCUCUGGCGGGCUCGCGGACGCCCUUUUUAUAGGCCGAGGAGGCCGGUCGACGGAGGCUUCGGCCGCCGGUCCUUGGCGCGCCGACCGUGCCUCAUCUCCGCCGAACCGGUAUGCUCUCGGCCGUCCAUUCCGCAGCAGGAUUAGCCCUGCUCUGCUUCUUAGCUCGACGGCAUUGAUGACGCCUGCGAGCUGUCCCAUCCGUCACGCGCCUACUCCGCCGUAAGUCGUCCUCGUGCGCGUCGUCAUCUUCGCGCGAGUUGCAGAGGCGGAGGGGGAAGGAGGAAGGAAGAAGAAGAAGAAAGGAGGAGAGAGGUGGGCCGGGCCGGAAAGGGCUUGGCCCUGGGCCUGCGCAUAAAAGGAAAAGGGACUAGGGUCAGGCCCAGCCCCAAGUCAUUUCUCUCCUUUAAAAAAAAUUAUUUAUCCGAAAAUAUGGUAAAACAAGGGAAAAGAAAAUAGAAAAUUCAACUUCAUAGAUGCAAAUGAUAUUAAUAUCUAGGUAAUGUGAAAAAUCUUUUUUUUUGUUAGGGCUAGAUUGGUUCCUAAUUUUUAUGUAAUUUUAAUCCUAAAUAUUUAAUCAAAAUUUAAGUGUCAACACUCACAACACAGCAUCCCUAUUAGCUUCAGAUUGGCGAGUGCGUGGCGGAUCGCAGAAUAGAGAUAACAUUUUAUGGUGAUAUUCAAUUUAAAAUAAAUAUAAUAUAUGUUACAUUAUUUGAUUUCAUGUAUGAGAUAAUAUGAAAUGAAUAGAAUAAGAAUACCUAAAAUGUUAUUGAAGUGAAAAUUACAUGAAAUAAAGUGAAUAUCGAUUAAAGCAUAGAACUAUUCAUUUGGCAUUGUUUAAUAAACUUGAUAAAUUGUGGUUUUGUUCUAGACGAACUUACGCGGUUUUGUCUUAAUUUAAAACAUGUCCCACCUACCACUAAGUCAUUUUCAUUUUUUUGGAAAAUUAUCAAUUGCAUGUGCAUAUACACCCAAUGCACACAAUCCACCUAUUUGAUCGUGUGGAAUUCACUUGAGACUCACAUGAUUCAACGGGUCACAUGCAUUAAUCCAGUAUUUUCAAAGAUUAAAUAAAUCGGUAAUUAUUAAGAUUACUUGUAAUUAGUAGGGGGUGGAAUGAGCGGGUGUAACUGGGGCUGGCGCCUGGCGCCCCACUCUAGUGGUGUAAAUCCGCCCCAAAUGAUGCGGGGCCCCACCGAUCAUGGAGAAUCCGCACCCUAUGCCAUCCUCAGCUUGUGUCACCGCUCAUACAUUUAUAUUUAUCUAAACCAGACGAACGUGAACCAAGUGAAAUUCAACGAAAAGUAUUGCUUAAGAUGCAACUACCUAACCGAGACUAGCAUUUUCCAACUAUUUUUGCUCUUUAUUUUGAUAUUUAUAUUCAUCAUGCAUCCUUGUAAACUAAUUUUCAGGUGAAAUUCCAUUGCUCAAAUUUUAUAUUUCAUAGUCAUGGUACAAUUGGCAAUGCAUACCUCCCUCUGCAAAGCCUCAUCGAGUUCAAGAGUGAAACCAUUAGUACGCAAUUGCAUCAAUCAACUCUGCAUUGGGGCAACAUACAGAAGAAAAAAAUCAGCACGUUCAUAUUUCAAAAACAGAGAUGUAGGAUCUAAUGAGCAUACAAAAAGCAUAUUCAAUUGAAAAAAUUACAUUUACAAUCGUUCAAGUCUGUUCUCUUGAGACCAGAUCAAGUGUUUGGAUCGUCAAAGCAUCAAAACUUGUCAGGAAUGCCAGUUGGCCCACGAGCCUCUUCAAAGUUGGCACGCCAGAUGUGCCUAAGCCGUUGCCAAUUCUUCCUUUGCAAAAUCCCUUGUCUUCAUUUUGACAGGUCUCUAUAAUGGAAUUUGAAGUUCGUCUGCAAAGUUAGCCGCACCCAGAUAAAUCAUGUGAUAGUAUUAUGCCAUGGCCACAAUAGGAUCAAACGGGAUGGAAAUUAAGGGCGCGUUUGGUAACGAUUCUGUUCCCGGAAACUAAUUCUGAUCAGAAAUGAUUAUUUCUGAUUCUGUUUCCGGAAACUGAUUCUGAGUAAAAAAACACGUUUGGUAACGAAUAAAAUUUCUGAUUCUGGAAUAGAAAAAGAAUAGAAACGCGUUUGGUAACUAUAUAAAAUUUCUAUUCUGAUUCUUUUUUAAUUACAUUUUUAGAUUAAUAUAAAUUUGAUAUUGAAUUUUCAUAAACCAUUCACUGAUUAAUUAUAUUUUUAUACUAAGUAAUAAAAAUAUUAACUAAUCAAUUUUUAUUAUAUAGUAAAUAAUAAACCAUAGUAUAAACUAUACUAAUAUCCCUACAAUAUGUAAUAAAUAUAAAUACUAAAUUAUAAUAUAAAAUUAAAUAUGUAUUCUAUAUACAAAAAAUAUAUAUUUCAUAAUAGGAAGUAAUAAAAAUAAAAUAUAGAAAUAAAAAAUUAGAUAAAAUAAAAACAAAAAUUGUUGGUAUUUUAAAUUUGGUUUUCUUAUUAGAAUUUCAAUAUUAUUUAUAUUUAAAUAAGAGUUUUUUUUUAUCGGGGGCGAUUUCUCAUUUUCAAUUAAUAUUUACUUUUAUAUGAUUAAAUAUCUAAUCCAUUUUGAAUUUAAUAUGAAUGAAUGUUAAUUUUAAUUUAGCCAAGAUACUUCUCUCUCUCUCUCUAUAUAUAUAUUCCCUUCCCCAAAACCGAACAUCCAACGUUUAAGAAGAUAAAAGUCUUCAAACCAACAUGACUCUUUGAAAGAGAGAAAAGGCUUUGAUGAGAAACUCAACACUACAACUUAUCCAUAAAUGAAUAAUGAAGUAACAUAAUCCAUUGUUCAACUUUGAAUAUCGACUUUGAUAAGUCAAUAAUUAAUAACAAUAUUACAAAAGUCGUAAACAUAAAGUUAUUGAAUCUCCGGCAUAUUGUAAUCCAUUGCCAUUUGAUUUGCAAUACUUCAAUGAAUAUGAAGUUUGCCUUCGGAUGGGUGCUCGAAACCGGAGUCCACAGUAGCACGAAGCAACUCUGGCUUCAAAAGGAAGUCUUGACGUAACCCUGCACGACAUCGAAACAAGAAUAAGCUCUCCGCGCAAAGAAUCGGCAAUAGUGGUAUGCAGGAACUCAAGAUCAAAAUGAAUCCACGUGAAACAAGGAAACCAUUCUAUUUCACUCCAACUUCCAUGCGUAAAAGACCAUCAACCAUUUUCGCGUUCAUUAACUUCUGUUUCAUCAUACUGCCUCACCUCUACAAAGCUAGAGCCCAAAUUUGACUCUCCAACAAACACAUAAACUCUAUAAAACCAAAUCUACUCUCGUCCUAAUCAAAUUGGGAUCUGAUCACCAAGAACAACCCUUUGUGAACCCGAGUGGCAAUGCAAUGCCCAGUUUUUGUCCGGAUCGAGGAGAUAAACUCAGUCUGGGGCGCGAAAAAUAAUCAAGAUAAUAGACACGGCUCCUACGCAACCUUAAAAGACAAGGACUACCUGACCUCCACUUCGCUUACAUGAUACAUCCAUACACCUAAUCGUUAGCAUCAUUCCGGAUCUAAGAUUUGCACUAUAAGUCAAAGAUCACAAUUUCCAGAUUCAAAUUCGACCAAGCACAGCACACAAAAUUACAGAUCCAGCACAAUACAAAAAAAGGCCAGCGACCCCUCGGCCAGCUCGCCGUCGCUCGCCCUCGGCCAGCUCGCCGAGGGCGCCCGCCGAGUCGGCCCCAAGGGUCGGAUGGCGAGCAACCCCUCGGCCAGCUCGACGAGGGCAAGCGAAGCCGAAUUGGCCCCAGGGGUCGGACGGCGAGCGGCCCCUCGGCCAGCUCGCCGUCGCUCGCCCUCGGCCAGCUCGGCGAGGGCGAGAGAAGCCCGAAUCGGCCCCAGGGGUCGGACGGCGAGCGACCCCUCGGCCAGCUCGGCGAGGGCAAGCGACGCCGAGUCGGCCCCAGGGGUCGCUUGCCCAAGGUUUGCUCGCCGAGCGACCCUUGGGCUUGAAUCGGCGGGCGCCCUCGCCGAUCUGGCCGAGGGGUCGCUCACCGAGCGAGCGCCACCCGUCGCAGACGCCGAACCAACCAUAGAAGGGAACUCACCUUGAACGACGCCCUUCAAUGAUGAAGAAGCAGCAGUCGCCGUCGCCGUUCUUGCGGAGAGAGGAGCAGCCGUCGCCGUUCUUGAGGAGGGAGGAGUAGCCGUCGCCUUUCUUGAGGAGGGAGAGAAUGAGACUAACGAGCAGAGUCGAGAUGAGAGGACGAGAGAGAGUAGAGAGGAGAUAAGGCUCGGCACUUUUGAUUCUCUUUUUUGAUUCUCGGAUGGAGAAUCAUAAUUUUUUUGAUUAUGAAUUCUUGUCCAAAAUUGAUUCUAGGAGUAAAUUUGUUCCUAGAAUCAGUUUUGGACAGAAAUUUACCAAACGCGAUUCUGUUCCCAAACUAAUUCUGGGAACAAAAAAUCAGAAUCAGGCACUGUUUGGAUGGUUACCAAACAGGGCCUAAUUAGUAAAUUCUUGAGCACUGUUCUUAGAUUUUGUUGAAGGCGACGAUGCCACAACUCUGAACGUAUUCAUUGAUAGGCUCAGCUUGAAGAUGCUCCUCGAUGAGGGUGUCCAUUGAGACAAGGUCAUCCACAAUGGUCAUCAUGAUCUACAACUUCUUAAUCCCGUAACCCACCGGAACCAUUUUUGCUGCAAGGAAGAAAGCAAAAGAAGAAAUCCUCAUAAGGGGAUAAACAUGACAUUCAAUGACAAAGCAUUAUGGUCAUACCGGCAAUAUAGUGAGACAGUCAAAACUUACAAGCUCCCAGAAGAGCCCAGACAUCUCCACACUCCUAACAGCCUCUUCCAGCUUCUUCAUGUCUGUCUCAUUGUCCCAAGGUUUCACAUCCCAGAGGACAAAUGACUUUUCACCUAUAACAGGAACCAGAUACACACACAAGCCAAGAUAUUGAAAUCACUUAUGAGAAUUUUAUCCGAAAGAGAAACAAGUUGAGGCUAGCAAGCAGCCUAAUCAACGCGAUAAAUAAGUUUCUAAGAAUUAGGUUAACACCUUCAAGCAGGCAAGCUGUAUACAUCUAUCUAUCUUGUGCUUUCUUUAUUGCAGAGCAUACUUCACUUACUGAUCAUAUCAAAAACGNNNNNNNNNNNNNNNNNNNNNNNNNNNNNNNNNNNNNNNNNNNNNNNNNNNNNNNNNNNNNNNNNNNNNNNNNNNNNNNNNNNNNNNNNNNNNNNNNNNNNNNNNNNNNNNNNNNNNNNNNNNNNNNNNNNNNNNNNNNNNNNNNNNNNNNNNNNNNNNNNNNNNNNNNNNNNNNNNNNNNNNNNNNNNNNNNNNNNNNNNNNNNNNNNNNNNNNNNNNNNNNNNNNNNNNNNNNNNNNNNNNNNNNNNNNNNNNNNNNNNNNNNNNNNNNNNNNNNNNNNNNNNNNNNNNNNNNNNNNNNNNNNNNNNNNNNNNNNNNNNNNNNNNNNNNNNNNNNNNNNNNNNNNNNNNNNNNNNNNNNNNNNNNNNNNNNNNNNNNNNNNNNNNNNNNNNNNNNNNNNNNNNNNNNNNNNNNNNNNNNNNNNNNNNNNNNNNNNNNNNNNNNNNNNNNNNNNNNNNNNNNNNNNNNNNNNNNNNNNNNNNNNNNNNNNNNNNNNNNNNNNNNNNNNNNNNNNNNNNNNNNNNNNNNNNNNNNNNNNNNNNNNNNNNNNNNNNNNNNNNNNNNNNNNNNNNNNNNNNNNNNNNNNNNNNNNNNNNNNNNNNNNNNNNNNNNNNNNNNNNNNNNNNNNNNNNNNNNNNNNNNNNNNNNNNNNNNNNNNNNNNNNNNNNNNNNNNNNNNNNNNNNNNNNNNNNNNNNNNNNNNNNNNNNNNNNNNNNNNNNNNNNNNNNNNNNNNNNNNNNNNNNNNNNNNNNNNNNNNNNNNNNNNNNNNNNNNNNNNNNNNNNNNNNNNNNNNNNNNNNNNNNNNNNNNNNNNNNNNNNNNNNNNNNNNNNNNNNNNNNNNNNNNNNNNNNNNNNNNNNNNNNNNNNNNNNNNNNNNNNNNNNNNNNNNNNNNNNNNNNNNNNNNNNNNNNNNNNNNNNNNNNNNNNNNNNNNNNNNNNNNNNNNNNNNNNNNNNNNNNNNNNNNNNNNNNNNNNNNNNNNNNNNNNNNNNNNNNNNNNNNNNNNNNNNNNNNNNNNNNNNNNNNNNNNNNNNNNNNNNNNNNNNNNNNNNNNNNNNNNNNNNNNNNNNNNNNNNNNNNNNNNNNNNNNNNNNNNNNNNNNNNNNNNNNNNNNNNNNNNNNNNNNNNNNNNNNNNNNNNNNNNNNNNNNNNNNNNNNNNNNNNNNNNNNNNNNNNNNNNNNNNNNNNNNNNNNNNNNNNNNNNNNNNNNNNNNNNNNNNNNNNNNNNNNNNNNNNNNNNNNNNNNNNNNNNNNNNNNNNNNNNNNNNNNNNNNNNNNNNNNNNNNNNNNNNNNNNNNNNNNNNNNNNNNNNNNNNNNNNNNNNNNNNNNNNNNNNNNNNNNNNNNNNNNNNNNNNNNNNNNNNNNNNNNNNNNNNNNNNNNNNNNNNNNNNNNNNNNNNNNNNNNNNNNNNNNNNNNNNNNNNNNNNNNNNNNNNNNNNNNNNNNNNNNNNNNNNNNNNNNNNNNNNNNNNNNNNNNNNNNNNNNNNNNNNNNNNNNNNNNNNNNNNNNNNNNNNNNNNNNNNNNNNNNNNNNNNNNNNNNNNNNNNNNNNNNNNNNNNNNNNNNNNNNNNNNNNNNNNNNNNNNNNNNNNNNNNNNNNNNNNNNNNNNNNNNNNNNNNNNNNNNNNNNNNNNNNNNNNNNNNNNNNNNNNNNNNNNNNNNNNNNNNNNNNNNNNNNNNNNNNNNNNNNNNNNNNNNNNNNNNNNNNNNNNNNNNNNNNNNNNNNNNNNNNNNNNNNNNNNNNNNNNNNNNNNNNNNNNNNNNNNNNNNNNNNNNNNNNNNNNNNNNNNNNNNNNNNNNNNNNNNNNNNNNNNNNNNNNNNNNNNNNNNNNNNNNNNNNNNNNNNNNNNNNNNNNNNNNNNNNNNNNNNNNNNNNNNNNNNNNNNNNNNNNNNNNNNNNNNNNNNNNNNNNNNNNNNNNNNNNNNNNNNNNNNNNNNNNNNNNNNNNNNNNNNNNNNNNNNNNNNNNNNNNNNNNNNNNNNNNNNNNNNNNNNNNNNNNNNNNNNNNNNNNNNNNNNNNNNNNNNNNNNNNNNNNNNNNNNNNNNNNNNNNNNNNNNNNNNNNNNNNNNNNNNNNNNNNNNNNNNNNNNNNNNNNNNNNNNNNNNNNNNNNNNNNNNNNNNNNNNNNNNNNNNNNNNNNNNNNNNNNNNNNNNNNNNNNNNNNNNNNNNNNNNNNNNNNNNNNNNNNNNNNNNNNNNNNNNNNNNNNNNNNNNNNNNNNNNNNNNNNNNNNNNNNNNNNNNNNNNNNNNNNNNNNNNNNNNNNNNNNNNNNNNNNNNNNNNNNNNNNNNNNNNNNNNNNNNNNNNNNNNNNNNNNNNNNNNNNNNNNNNNNNNNNNNNNACGUCAUGAUGACAUCAGCUGGCACAUGCCGCGCACGCUCCGCGCAUGCCCCCUGCACGCAUGCGGUUACCAUGCACGUGCGUUGCACGCGCUUGCGGUUUCCCCUGCUUCGCAUGUGCCAGCAAAUUAUGUGUGCUCAACAAGUGGCCUCCCCUGUCAAUCCCCAAGGAGGGCAGUUGCUGCUCACCCUUUGCUUCCUUACAUAACUGAUUACCAACCAUACAAACGAGACUAAGCUAUCAAAAAAUGAGUUGAUCAAUAGGUACCUUAUAAUUGCCACUUUGUCGCCUCUACAAAUUAGUUGAGGCAACACGAAGUUUCAAGGUCUUAAGCGAAGCUUCGAGAGGUAUUCAAGUGGAUGACUUCCAUAAUAGAUCAAGUUUUUCUAGGUGGAUUAGGUAAGAAAUCUCUGGCAACGUGAGCCCUCGAUAAGAAGCCCCCAGAUAUUUUAAGCUUCAAGGAAGUUUUGGCAGCAAUAUGAGAUUACAAUUCCAGAGUUCAAGGUGUCGGAGAGAAGAAAGAUUUUGGAUGGUUUCUGGUAGGCUGGAUAUCAUGGACCAACUAAUUUCUAGAUGUUGCAAAUACGGUAAAUCCCCGAUUGAGCUAGGGAUUUCUCUUAACGAUGGACAAUUGCAAACACUCAAUUUUUCCAGCUUCCGCAUAGAGCCAAUUGAUGUAGGAAUCUCUAUAAUUCCAGAAUAAUCUAAAAUAAGUUCUUUUAGUUCUUCUAAUUCACCCACUUCUCUUGGUAGAUUCUUGAGACUCUCACGGUGGCUCAAAUCCAAGUGAAUGAGGCUCUUCACUUUGCCAAUAGGAAGGGGGAUUUGCUUUAGUUUUUGACAUAAACUCAAGUUGAGAAUCUCUAACUUUGUAAAGGCUGAGAGAUUAGGUUUUUCCAACCAUAUAAUAACAUUGGGCAACUUUUGAAUUGGAGACUUCGUAAUGUAUAGACGUUGCAUAUUCUGUAAAUCCCAAAUUGAGUUAGGGAUUUCUCUCAAUGACUGACAACGAUGAGAACUCAGCUUCUCCAACUUCCUCAGAGAACCGAUUGACGUAGGAAUCUCUGUAAUUCCAGAAUAAUCUAAAAUAAGUUCUUUUAGUUCUUCUAAUUCGCCCAUUUCUCUUGGUAGAUUCUUGAGACUUUGACAGCGGCUCAAAUCCAAGUGAAUGAGGCUCUUCACUUUGCCAAUACAAGGGGGAUUUGCUUUAGUUGUUGACAUAAACUCAAGUUGAGAAUCUCCAACUUUGUAAAGGCAGAGAGAUUAGGUUUUUCCAACCUUAUAAUAACAUUGGGCAACUUUUCAAUUAGAGAAUCCAUAAUGUAUAGACAUUGCAAAUUCUGUAAAUCCAAAAUUGAGUUAGGGAUUUCUCUCAAUGACUGACAAUGACGAGCACUCAGCUUCUCUAACUUUCUCAGAGAACCAAUUAACUUAGGAAUCUCUAUAUUCCAAAAGAAUCUAGAGUAAGUUACUUUAAUUCUCCUAAUUUCCCCAUUUCUCUUGGUAGCUCCUUGAGACUUCCACAGCCACUCAAGUCCAAGUGAACGAGGCUCUUGACUUCGCCAAUAGAAGGGUGGACCUGCUUUAGGUCUUUACUAUUUUUGAAGAUUAGAAUCUCCAAUUCUGUGAAAGUCGAGAGAUUAAGAGUACAUCUUAAAGAAUCAAAAUAUUCAAGUUGCAGAACUUUUAGCCGCUUUGCUACCUAUACAAAAGGGAAUAAGCUGUUAACAAAUGAGUUCAUCGACAAAACAAGAUAAACAAAAAAUCAUAGAGGGUAUCUUUUGUGAAUCUUACCAUGAUUGAAUUCCAUCCUCUCCAAUCCUCCGUGAUUGAGCUGUAUGACAACUGCAGCAGCACUAAGUUUGGUAGAUGCAAAUUGGUUGCCCAAAAAGACAAAUUGGGUUCAAUGUGAGGCCACCGAAGCCACCUUACUUGGGAAAAGAAUUCAUUUAAGUCUCCACUUGCAGUUGCGUUCCUCAAUCGAAGGAACUUUAGCCUCGGUGACAUUAUAAAUUGCCCACAUGUGUAUGUCAACAGAUGUUCAACGGUCAACGGUCUGUGAUUGCAUCAUUGAUCAUAAUCACUGCAUCAUCCCGUAUGUCAAUGACUUGAUGAGGCACGACGUUGUACCCCUUGGCCUCCUUCAACUCGCAUUCCUCUACAAUUGAAAAAAGAAACACAUUUUUUUUAACGGUCAACGGUCAACGAGUCACCAAAGACGGGUUGGGUUGGGCCGAACCAACCAACUCGGCACAUGGCUAGCGUGCGCGGGCAACUACUGGUUGACGUCAUCGUGACGUUAGGUGGCACGUGCCGUGCACGCGCUGCGCACGCGUCCUGCACACAUGCGUGCGGUUACCGUGCACGUAUGUUGCACGCGCCUGUGGUCUCCCCUGCUCGCACGUGCUAGCAAAUUAUGUGUGCUCAACACAUGGCCUCCCCUGUUGAUCCACAAGCAGGGCAGUUGCUGCUCACCCUUCUAAUUUGCCCAUUUCUCUUGGUAGCUCCUUGAGACUUCCACGGCCACUCAAGUCCAAGUGAACGAGGCUCUUGACUUCGCCGAUAGAAUGGUGGACCUGCUUUAGUUCUUUACAAUUUUUGAAGAUGAGAAUCUCCAAUUCUGUGAAAGUCGAGAGAUUAAGAGUACAUCUUAAAGAAUCAAAAUAUUCGAGUUGCGGAACUUUUAGCCGCUUUGCUACCUAUACAAAAGGGAAUAAGCUAUUAACAAAUGAGUUCAUCAACAAAAUAAGAUAAACAAAAAAUCAUAGAGGGUAUCUUUUGUCGAUCUUACCAUGAUUGAAUUCCAUCAUCUCCAAUCCUCCGUGAUUGAACUGUAUGACAACUGCAGCACCAGUUUGGUAGAUGCAAAUUGGUUGCCCAAAAAGACAGAUUGGGUUCAAUGUGAGGCCACCGAAGCCACCUUACUUGGGAAAAGAAUUCAUUUGAGUCUCCACUUGCAGUCGCGUUCCUCAAUCGAAGGAACUUUAGCCUCGGUGACAUUAUAAAUUGCCCACAUGUGUAUGUCAACAGAUGUUCAACGGUCAACGGUCCGCGAUUACAUCAUUCAUCAUAAUCACUGCAUCAUCCCAUAUGUCUAUGACUUGAUGAGGCACGACGCUAUACCCUUUGGCCUCCUUCAACUCGCAUUCCUCCACAAUUGAAAAAAGAAUCACAUUUUCUUUUAAAUGGUCAACGGUUAACAUGUCACCGAAGACGGGUUGGGUCGGGCCGUACCAACCGACCCGGCAAGUACCUGGCGCAUGUGCGGGUAACCGCUGACGUUAGCUGGCACGUGCCGCGCAUGCGCCAGCGGUUGCCGCACGCGUGCAAUUACCGUGCACGUACAUUGCACGCGCCUGCGGUUUCCCCUGCUCAUGCGUGCUAGCAAAUUAUGUGUGCUCAACACGUGGCCUCCCAUGUCGAUCCACAAGGAGGGCAGUUGCUGCUCACCCUUCGCUUCCUUACCUGUGAUCAUCUCAAGAAUUAGUUCCCUCAUAUAGCUUGUCAUGUCCUCGCGACCGUGGUAGAGAAACUUCACCCCCAUCUCGUCAACGUGCAAUAGCUUAAGGAAUUUCAACUAGCAGAAGUCAUUUUCUUUGAAGGAGCACCUCAUUAGGCUGAAUUGGCCGAUGGAAUUGAACCACUUACGCCUUUUAGACAGCGGUUUGAUUUGGUUGACAAAAUUGAACACAGCUGAUUGCUGGUUCUUUAUGAGCCAACAGACGAAUUGGUCGGAGAAAAGGAUAUGAGACAAUGCGUACAAGGCUACUCUAACACCAGCAGCUUUGCUAGGGAAGCUAAACAAUUGAACAAAAGUAGGAGACAUUAGGAAGCAUUCGACUCUAAAAUUAAAUUAAAAUACUAUAACAAGAUGAGAUGCAACAAUGCCGAAAAUUUCUCAACUUCAACAAUUUCAAAGUACAUGACGCGGGCAUGCACUGAUCUUUUCUACAAACCAUACCAAGAAAAUUAGGCAAUCGAUAUUGUUGACCUUCAAUUGAAGAUAAGGGCCUCCGAACAUGCUUUCAUGCAAGUCUAUAAAUACAAUAGGCACUCGUAAACACAGAAAAAUCCUCGCUUUUCAUGACCCUUCUCGCAAAAAUAAAUGAUGAUGAUGAUGAUGAUGAUGAAUGUCAUGAUUGUUGGGCCGGUUAUUCGCAUUGCAUGCGCUUAUUAGCUUUUGAAAGAGUUUCAGUGUUACACCUUUGGUUAGGACUAUUUUACAAAUGAAUCAAUAGAAUAAAAUGAAAUUAAAAAACAACAAUAAAAGUAGACCAUAAUCCCCAAAAUUUUUGUGGGAAAAAAUACGUGCUUAGGUUUUUCUUCGCCAAGGAAAAUGAAUGUAUGAAUAUUUAUUCACAUCUGAUAAUUCUAAUUAAAUUUAUUGAUGAUAAUUAAGAUUUAAUGUAUUCUUUCUAAAAUUUGUUGGGCCAUGCAUCUUACUUGUUUCAGUUGGAAAUCCAGUAGAUGAUUGGUAAUAAACGAAAAGGCCGCGCCGACUUCAAGGUAGGACUUCAGCCAGUGUCCUGGUGAACACUAAUUUUAAACUUUUGAAAAUUGGAACAGGUCUCCGAUUAAACAACCCGAUCUUGGAUCCAGGUUCCAAAUCCGAUGUAUAUUGUAACUAUUUUUGUUUCUCUGAGGGCACUGCAAGGGAUACAUAGAACAAAAGAAGAAGAAGACAAUCUGACGAAGAGGAUACCUCAGUGUAUGUCCGCAACAUGUUUGGAUCUACAGUGCAAUUUGGUUGUUAUUUAAGUUUCACGUUGUGUUACUGAAAACAGCCAUCUCCGUGUGCAAAAGAAAAAAUAGGUUUUGCAGAUUGAUCCAACCAAAAUUAUAGGUUUUGCAAUAUGACUUCACUGUUACGUUUUGUGAGUCAAUUUGGUUGUUAUUAAGUUUCAGGUCGUGCUACUGAAAACAGCCAUUGAUAUUAUCUCCAUGGCAAAAGGAAAAAGAGGUUUCGCAGAUUGAUCCAAACAGGGAACGCAACAACUUCGUUACUUUGAAUAUCCCUGACAUCAACGAGAUGAAUGGAAGGGUGUACAUUUUUGGUUCCAUCUUUUUCAUUGGUUCUUUUGUUGACAUUGUCAAGUUUUGGCUUGAGACUUCUAAUGGAUGGUUGAUUGGGGCCGAUGGUGUGAAGACUAGAGGAGCUGGAUCAAGUGUUAGUGAUGAGAGGGACGGAGGUAGAGAGCAAAAACAGGUUGCAACGGCUAUCGCUACAAAAGGGAUUGCUGUAGAGAGCAAGACAGGUUUGGAGAUGAUGAGCGGCUCUGCCCAUUCGGGUGAUGAGGAUACCUCGAGCAAUCAUUUUGUGGACUGUGAUGAAGAUUUAGAUGACAAUGAGCAGGAGCACAACAGCAAGAACCACGACAACUGGGCAAGGAAGCUGGGUCUUAGCCUACUAUAAUGCAGGUCAAGCAAAUGGCUGGACAAGGUAAAUAAUUUAUAAGAUCGAUUUUAUUUGUUUGCUUUUCGUACUGUCCUCUUUGUAUUUCUUUUUAUCUUUUUAUAUAUGUUGAAGUAAACAUGGUAUGAGAAAAGAAAAAUUUUCUAUUCUACCGGUUCUUGUAACUAUAUAAUUUUGUUCAUCAAAUUUACUGAUUCAUUCGCAUUACAAGUUUGUCGUGGAAAACAAUUGUUUUAUGAUUAUGUGGAACUUUUCUUGAGAAAUUUCUGAUCUUAGCUAUUUGUGCAGGAUUCAUAAGAGCCAUUAAGGAGAUAGUUCUAGCUUGUGCCGUUUAUGCAAACGGGUUCUUUGUUGUGGCAAAGAUGGCAUUCUAAAAUCACAUAUGUUGAAUCAAGAAUGCCUUGACACCCUUUCAUGUGUGUUGCGAAAAGUGAUACGCUUAUAUAUUGUUUAGGCUAGUCGAUAUUUUGACCUUCAGGAGAGCUCGAAACUGGACUGGGAGCUAAUGUCCGGCAAUCAUAUUGACGUGCCAAGUGCUCAUUUUAGAAGCACGUCGCUACAGUCAAUUUUGGAGACUCCAAACAAUUUUAUUUCUUUCUGGAACGACAUUCAAAGUGCAAUUCAAAGUGCACUUCUAUCUGAAUCUUUUUUCCUAAUGAAUACAAUUCAUGAACUUGUCGCUUAAAGAGAUUUGUUUGUAAUUUAUAAUUAUGGACCACUUGUGUUUUCAAUUGAAAUUAGAUCGAUUGCAUAUACUGGACGUGAUAAUGAGCUGUGGCAGCAACGAAAAGAAUAUAAUAAAACAUAAGCAAAGUAAUGUGUGAUCAAUACAUAUCAUAGAGGUACGAAGAUACAUGGCAACAAACAUAAACAAACGGAAUCCCAAGAGACAUCUCAUAAUAAACAAACGUUCUAAUAAAUUCUAANNNNNNNNNNNNNNNNNNNNNNNNNNNNNNNNNNNNNNNNNNNNNNNNNNNNNNNNNNNNNNNNNNNNNNNNNNNNNNNNNNNNNNNNNNNNNNNNNNNNCAUUGGUACUAAAAUCUUCAGGGGCUUGUGGCUGGAGGUGGGGUGAGGAAAGGAUAGAGGGGAUUUUAGGGAGAGAAGUAGGGAUGCUUGGCAUCGGUGGCAAGCUGGUCGGCAUGGUCGGCAAGCUCGGAAGUGGCGGCAAAGUAGUCUUGGGCAAUGUUGGCUGGGUUGCAGGCAGGGUUGGCAAUGUGGGUUGAGGCAAGGUCGUUGGGAUGGUGGGCAUGGGCGGCAUGGCGACUUUGGGCAAUGUUGGCAUUGCAGGCAAAGGAGGCAGAGACCCUGGUUUUGGUAUAGUUGGUAUGGAUGGAAUGGUUGCUUGUAGCAGAUGACGAGUUCCGAAGCUCAUAUUCAUGCUAGAGAAAAUUACGGCAAUGAAGAGGACAAAGCUUUUUGAGGAAGGAGCCAUAUUGGUAAAGUCGGCAAUAGAUGUUAUGUUGUGAUAAGCUCAGGGACUUGAAAUU
rnacentral:lncRNA from 1 species